rnacentral:lncRNA from 1 species
AUGAUAUCUUGAGGUCACAGCUUUGUUCGUCCAACCGAAUAACAAGCAUCCGGACGAACCAUUUACUUGAUCUAAUUCUAGCGUUGAAGAUAUUUGCUUGAAGCCAUCAUUACUGAUGCUCAACUAGUCUAUUUGACAAGGCCCUAACUAGUAGCCUUAAUAAUAAUAUAUAUAACAACAUGAUAAACCGGGGAUUUCAGAUCGUUAGGAACAUAAAAGAAUUACAGUAGUAAAGUUCGUUGCACAUUUGCUAGAACCAAUGGCACAUGCAUUCUUUGGUUCUAACAUCACACUGAUAAAGAGUAGUGAAAUCAUCCCCACAAACAGAAGGGAAAAAAUAGUGAAAUCAAACAUGUAACAGUAGUAACAUGCAUACAUGCUCUGCAACCAAGCUAGCUCUUGCGGAGCCAUGAUUGAGAGAUCAAGCUCGCAAUCCCGUACAUAGCAGUACCAAAUGUUUCUUGCAAUACAUCAUCAAGCUAAUAGACCCAAAUCUAGUGAUCGACUACUAAGUAGUAACUGCAGGGAGGGAUCCAUACUAUAGAGAGUCCCGUAGCAGCUCCGGAUUCCGGCUCAAGCCAUGCCUGCUUCCUGCGCUGCAGCUCCUCUAGCUAGCAACCACCACAGCCUCCACCGUCACUGCUACCGCCCCCUCCGCCGCAGCAAGCACCACCGCACCGCCUCCGCUAGAUGAAGCUACAGCUGCCGCAGCAAGAAAGAGGGCGGUAUUACCGUCGGCUGAUGUGGUCGACGACGAACUUGCAGUGGUCGCCGCCGCCCGCGGUGCCCUGCUGGCCUUCUUCUUCUCCGGCCUGUUGCCGAGAGGAGGGCCGUGACCGAUAUGGCCACCACCCCCAGCAGCAGAAGGAGCCACGGCGUCUGCUGCGCCUGCGUCCCCAAGCCCGCAGCAGCAGCUGAGGCCAGAAAAAAAGCUCGCCGCAUUCUGCUAUGGUCCCUCGCUGGCCUCUACCACUGGAUAUCUCUCAGGAAUUUGAGAUUGGAAUCAAGUGCAGAGGAAGAUUUAAGGAGGAAGACAGAGUAGCGAGGGAGAGAGAGGAAGAGGGGAUACUGCAGGAACCCACGCCUCUCUCUGCAAUCCCCGCCGUGAAUAAGUAGUCGAGGGCUGGAGGCUAGUAAUCUCUACUCCUAAUGUCUCAGUUGGUAGUUUCCGUUCCGGGUUUAUUUUCGUCCGGUUUUUUUUCGUCCUCCUCUUCCACCACACUCUUUCACCUUGUUUUUUUUUACAUCAUCCUUUCCCACGCACGCGCACAAAAAAAAACCCCGAGUGACCCAUCUGCCCUAUCCCUAACCCGCUCUCGUCUCCCUCUCUAGGACGCAGCCGCCCACCGAAUCAAAUCCCGUCGCCGGGCUCGUCUGCCUCGCCGUGGCCGAUGAAUGUGUCGGCUGCGGCCACGCCCCCUCUCCAAACGGCGGCGAUGAUGGAGGGAUCAACUCACGCUGCCAGGCUCCCGACCGAACGCGUCGGGUCAUCUCUCCUCGGGGCCAACCCCUCCUAUUCAUCGCAUCUCUCCCUGACUCCGUCUCCUCCACGAGAUAUAGCACCACCCCACGCCAUGGACGCCCUUGCCGGCUGCAUCUCUCCAUGCGCCGCCACUCCUAUGACACCGCCGCCCGGUAGUCUCCACCAGCACCACGACGGGCGUGGCCUCUGCACGCGCCGUCACCUCCCCUCCAGAUCCGGCCGUCGUCGAGGGCAUAUCCAUCCAGCAGUGCGUCGUCACCUCCCCUCCAGAUCCAGCCGUCGUCAAGGGUGUAUCCAUCCAGCAGCGCGCCGUCAUCCCAAUCAUCACCGUCCACGGCGUCAUCGCCCAGGCCCAGUCACGGGCCGGCAAGACCUCCAUGAUCUCCCUCUUCGUCUGCCAGGUCAUUGAGACCAACAUCCACGAGUAAGAUGCCCAGCCCUCCCCCUCUGCUACCAUCGCUGGAUUUGUCAAAUUGAUUUUUUGGGCGAAGAAUUUGAUUUUAGGGUUAACCUGCUCGUCUCAUUCGCGGAGAUUCAUUCAUGUGUCGGACCACAUGUGUACAGAUGAUUUCCGCAUAGCUUUUGUGUAUGACGGCUGGAGGACCAAUUCAGACCUCACUUGCCUCAGGGUCAGGAGGUCCAAGGCGCCGCAAGACCGGGCCAGGAGUUUGCGUAAACCUGGGCCAGGAGUUUAUUUGAUAAAGGUUUCAAUUUGCGCCCCAUUUCAUGGAUUAACGAUGCCAAGAGCAUACCAUUUGUACAAAGUCCCAAGAUCGAUGUCUUCUCACAUAUCUCACAUAAUAACUACUCGUGCUCUGUUUUUUUCUUUGUAUUCAGGUUUCCAGAAUGAUUGGCCACACCUACCUAAAAAGUUCGGAAUUUAACCAUGAGCCCCUUCUGGCCUGGUUCCAUAUUCCAAGGCCCUUCCAUAAUCCAAUUCUUUGUCCCGAACCAUCCAUUGAAGAACAUAGACUGUGCAGAAUAUUAGUUUGUUAUAUUUGCAUCAGAUGAACUAUGGGAGCACUUGAACAAUCAGGAAGCCGUGGAUAUAGUUCAUUGUUUACCUCGGAAUGUAAGAUGAUUUGCCAUACUUCCUCAUAUAUUACGCUUUCCCAGUGUACUAAAAUAUGCUUCCCAUUUUAGUCUUGCCUUAUAUUGUUGAUAUGUAACCCAAAUAGGUUAAACCGAAUGUUGUAUCGAAACAUGUAGUAUUUACUUGUAAAAGAGCAACUGAGAGCCUGGUGGGUCGGGAUGAAGGAAGAAUACCCCUGAGAGCCCAAACUCGAGUUCGAAAAUAUAUGCAGAAUAUAUGUUUGCCUCUGCUAUAUACAUAUGUAAUUUUCCAGUCUGUGUUUUCUGCUCCUCUUUGGCGCAAUGUGGAAGAUGUUGGUUUUAAAGGCUAGCAGGGAAGCCAGUGGUGGAGUAAUCAGUGGUUUAUGAGGUCAUGGAGCCCAAGACCGGAUGCAGCAGAAGAAGCAGCGUCGUUGCCGUGCACUAAGAAGGUCAACAGAGUCUGUGAGGUGGAAGAUCCAUAGCAUACAGGUGAGUCAGUAGGUGCUCAUUUUAUCUUUCUUCUUAUGUUCCAAUUUUAUUGUUCUUUUCUGCAUUAGAGUAGAAUGAAUAUUUGUAUUACCAUCUCUUCUUAUAGUUGUAAAUCCUGUGCAUCAGUUGGGGUAAGCUUCUCAAAUGCCUAACACCAAUUAGUCUUCUAAAACUGAAGCAUAGACAAAAUUCAGUUAAUGAUCGAAGUUUCUUUUUAAGCGGUACACUAUAUAUUGCUAACCGAGGGAACUUCUAUUUGUGUUGCUUGUUUUUUCUAACAAUCACUUGAGUGUGUUGUUUGCAUUUUUUCAACCAUCCAUCGCUGAACCUACAAGAGCCUGGUACCAAUCAUACUACUUGGAGAACCUAAGAAAGUUGUUUCUUCUGUCUCCACUAGAAACCGGAAAUGAGAACACCAUCUCUGAGUAACUGAACCAAGUGACUGAAAAUUUAUGUUAUAUGGUACAACCUCAUGAGAGAAUUUUUUCUGUACACGUAGAACACAGUUACAUUUCUGAAGGCUUGGAAAUCACACAACUUGCCUUGGACGCUUAUUGACUUAUAGUAUUAUAAACUGUCAUUGUAAAGGUGGUUGUCUCUUUACCGAAUUGCUCCUCAAUUUUGUAGAUUCGAGCAGUUUUUUAUGCUCAUAGGACUACUAGAGAAGAUUUACAUGUAGCCUGAGAAGAAGACCGAUGAAGAUCUUGAUUGUAUCAGGCAUUCAGGCUAUGAUUUGGAGAGGUGGCUCUUUAUUUUAUUUGCCUGUGCCACUGGAUGUGUACAUGUACUUUACUCUGAAUGUAUGCAUCAUCUAAUUUUGACUCAAUCUAGGCAGGAAGAAAAUGUAUCCAACCAAAGGGAACAUCAUAUUUUGUUAGUUGCCAAUGUAUGAUACCUAAGCCUGAACACUAACCUAAGGUUCAUGUUUCUCCUUAUUAGCUUAUUUUAAGAGGAACCGGGCAUGUUUGCUUCUGUCUUUCUUUAUUGGCUAACAAGCAAAAUAAAUACAGCAAGAUCAGUCUGGAAUCUGAAAUAUAUAUAUAUAUAUAUAUAUAUAUAUAUAUAUAUAUAUAUAUAUAUAUAUAUAUAUGUAUGUAUGUAUGUAUGUAUGUAUGUAUCUUGAACUCUUCUUCUUGCAGCGGAUGCGUUGGAUAUGCCAUUCCUCAAUGUGUACCUGGAUUCUCUUUGGGCAUCUAAUUUUUGGGCAGGUGUUAUUCUAGCAGCCCGCUUCGCUUUGGUCUUCAGAUUAAGCAAUUCUCUGCAUUCAAGGGAAAGGUCAAUAGCUGCUCUCCAAAGGUAUGCCAAAUUAAUAUGUUGUCUUGUCACCAUACCUUUCGAUUAUCUGGAUGCAAAUAAAAGUAGAAAAAUCUUCUGAAGUAUCCUAGAAGAAGCUCUCAGUUCUAAUGAAACCCUUCAAUUUAAACUAGGAUAUGACUUGCCAUCUGUUGUAAAAGUGGACAUAAUGUUGACUCAAAAUCGUGUUUGUGAAAGACCAACUGAUUUCUUAUAUUUCAUUCGAGUAAUUUCGACUGUACAAUGACACAUUAGCCAUAAGUCAUAACACAUCUAGAAUUCAUGUACUGAAUGCAAUCAUGAAACCUGAACCUUGAUGUUGUAUUAGAUCUAUGAUUAUCCUGUUUAUACAAACUUUUAUUGGUGCAGCCAACGCUGGUCUGUAUUCAUCUGCUGAAUCAGGUUGGCCACGACGAGGAGACGGACACGACCGCGUUGUCCCAUCGACCUCCGGGGCCUUUGAUAUCUCAGGUUAGCUCGAAAUGUUAUGUUUCUUCUUAGGUUAUAAUAUAUUAAUAUUUGCCGAUUCUUCACUAGAUUCCUCGGUUCUUGCAGGGUGUGUGUCAUGUUAUGUUGGGUUUCGUGUGAUUUCGGUGCGGGUAGCUACAUAGCGUCCGUGGGCCAUGCGUGUGACAUGCAUGCUAGGUAAUCUUGACUCCGGUGCGACGGUGCUGGAACCGCCUCCGCUGGUUAUGACCGCCGUGGCUAUGCUUGAAGGCAGAAUCACCACGAUGACUGUAGUUGCCGCACUCAGAUCAGAACGGCAGCCACGGUAUAUGAUCAAGCCUUUACUGUCGUCCUCUGAAUUUGGGAUCACGUGCAUCUGCAAGAGAAAGAGCAUGAGAGCCUAAGAGGGUAGUACCACGUUACGAACAAGUUGAUUUUUAUCCAUGGAAUUGAUCUGAUGCGAAGCUGAUGCCACAUAAAAGGUUAACUGAGUUCUUAUCUCCAAUAUGUCAUGAUGUUACAGUUCAAUUAUUUUCACCUCUCUAGCUACUAUGCACGGAAGGUGUUUGCUAAUUUGCACAAUGAUAUUUUCUGGUAAAAUACGCUAAUAUUACCUUCAUUUUUUCACAUUUUAGUGAUGUCCUCUUAUUAAUCCCUUAUAUAAUCAAAUCUGAUAUGUAUUUGUUCAUCUAGGCAUCUAGCUGCAGGUGGAAUAACAAGAUUCAGUGUGUGCAACGACAACAAUAAAUAACAUGUCAUUAGGGAGAUUUCUGACAAUUGAACCCUGCAUUUUUUUGGCAUUAGUACAACUGUUCUACUGCAUUAUUCAACUAUGCGCGAUGAAGCUGAUAUAGGGUGUGGACUAGACAAUUUAUUCAGUUUUCUUCAAGAAGGUAUGCAGAUUGGGCAUCAAAGUAGACGACAAAAGAUGCUGCACCUUACAACUUAAAAAUUGAAAGAUACUUUCUAUUUUAUAUUGAUGUGAUCGCCAGCGAGAACAAUUUUUUGACUGAAUUUGUUUCAUUAAAGUGAAGUUGUUCGGACUUUUCUUUGAAUGUUUCUUUUAGUUGCGUAAAAAAGCAUUGUGGGUAAUGUUAUUUUGAGCUGAUUAUGAGUAAUGUUUGGUUCCAUGCAGGACCAAGGAAUGAACACAAAGCAAAUUAUAACUCUCAGGUUCAUGGUUUAGGAGCAGGAAAGAACACUUCCAAUUGUGUAGAUGGGUCAUCAGUAGCAUUUCUCUAAUUAUUCUUAUAGAGACUGAUUUGGAUUGUUGAAGGAAAGGAUCUCAAUUCUCAAUAGCAAACUGCACUGGGACAUCUUGGACCUAUUCUCCACAUUUCUGAGCUAGGUUAGUUGGACAGCAUGUCAUGGGGGGAAACCAUUUCUUCCUUCCAAUCCGUGGGCUAAAUUUGUUAUCACCAUAUGUUUUAAAUUUUGUGUCAUCCUUGAACUUUUGAGGAAUUGUUAGAUAUGUUGGUGAGCGGGCAGGCGGUGCUAGACAUGGCAGGGCAAGAGAGCACGAGGGAGAAUGUCGAAGGGGGCAACAUAAAUGAGAGUUCACCGUUAUGCUCAUGUGGUCAGAACCUAGAGCAUGGAUACAAGACCUCCAUCGUCGUGUAUGGACAUCAGAGCAGAGGAGAAGUGAUGAUGGACAUCAGACCAGUGAAGACAGUGAGCAUGGGCUCCUAGACGAUACUUAUCAUAUCAUAUUCUCAGUAUAUAGUCAAAAACUGUAUGCCACAUAUACGUUGUGAAUUACUACGAUAUUUGAUCAAUGAAUUUAUUUCUAAAAAAAUAUGUGGCAACACACGGCAUUCAACUAUAACUUUCAACUUCAAGGGUGAACUUGUGGGUUUAGUCUUUAUUUAAGCAAUUAAUGGGCAAAAUAACCAUCUCUCUAUCUAACCAAUUGAUCAGUGAAUUGGAUAAGUCGAUCAAGAGUAAAAAAUGGUAUCAGGUAAUAACUGCAUAAAUUAAUCACAUGACAAGUAUAACUACACGAACAUUGGCAAGGCACAUGCAGCCGACUAUAUAGAUCAUAUUGGCAAACAGACUAAGCUAAAUUCUUGAGGAAUUCGACAUAGGUCUUGCAAAUUAAACAACAAAAAAAGUGCGCAAACCACAAAGGUGCAGUAGUCAUAUCAUACAUCUCUAACAGAAGUGUCGAACUGCAGUUACAUUAUAUUAUAGCUGAAGAUGGAGUGGGUUCUGUACUUGUAUAUACAUGUAUUGACCAAUAUGUAUAUCAAAAUCUUCUAGAAGAUCCACAUUGAAGAAGAUUUUUCCCUGUAUGAUCAUAUUGUUUUCACUUCCUUCACCAACAAGGCAAAGAACUAAACAGAAAACAAUCACUGAUCUGCCAUUACCUGUGAGAAAGAAUUGGUUUGUAAAGGGAACAAACUCGCCUGUGAAUAGGAUAUCUACUAGGACGAUGAGGUCGCAACCUUCUUGGUGGAUUCCUCGAGAAAUAUGACAACAUCCACCAUCUGAUCAAACAUAGGCCCCACACUAUCACCAUUUGAUUCUGAAUGCCCGAGUCAGUCCAAGUAUCUAAACUAGAGGGAGCAACUGAACAAGAGUCUUCCCAAAGCCAAUGCGGGAGCCAAGCACGCCACUGCUGCCGGCGAGCACAUGAGGCACACCGACAACGCACCGCAUCUUGGACGGCUUAGAGAUGCCCACCUCUCGUGUCACGGUCAGCACCUCAUCCUCUAGCCGGCCCUCCACCGAGUACAUCAAACUUUACAUGACGCAUUGCUCCCGCGCCUCCCCAUACACUAGCGCGGGAGGGACGUGAGCUGGUUNNNNNNNNNNNNNNNNNNNNNNNNNNNNNNNNNNNNNNNNNNNNNNNNNNNNNNNNNNNNNNNNNNNNNNNNNNNNNNNNNNNNNNNNNNNNNNNNNNNNNNNNNNNNNNNNNNNNNNNNNNNNNNNNNNNNNNNNNNNNNNNNNNNNNNNCUCGUGUCACGGUCAGCACCUCAUCCUCUAGCCGGCCCUCCACCGAGUACAUCAAACAUUACAUGACGCAUUGCUCCCGCGCCUCCCCAUACACUAGCGCGGGAGGGACGUGAGCUGGUUGAAACAAUCCAAGCCGAAGGAGGACAUCUGCAUCUAUGCCGACACCACGGUGGGUGGGUGGGUGGGGGGGGGGGGUUCUUGGCUGCGUGGGGGAGAACAUCUUCAUUUCCCUAAUAUGUUGAGAGAGUAAAAAAACUCAUCGAGAUACAUACACUUCAAGCGAAGUGCAUUUUUGUUAAUUGCAGAAUUUUAUGUCACCGUCUUUUUUAUACACGCUGAACUCAUGCAGUGUGUUUAUAUAUGGGACCAGAAAAUAUGUAUUAGAAGGACUGAAAUUUAUAGCAAUACAACUAUAAGUCGCAUGCAACAUCCAUAUGAUGAAUUACAGUUUAUUUGGAUGAUACUAUCUCUCUAUAUAUAAUUAUUUUGGCCCGUGGCAACGCACGGGCAUUAUACUAGUUCCUCCUAGUUGACGCCGACGCCUGCGGUCGUUCGCUCGCUGCUGGGCCGCAACCCAAGUUGGCAUUAUGUCAGCUUCCCAGUCGUUUUACUGAUUUUAUUUUGCGGUUUUGUGUGACUUUUUCACUGUGUGUCCGGUUUUCAGUGGUUUUGUUUUUGUUUCUGUUCCUUUUCUCUUCGUUUUUUGUCUUUUAUUUUAUUUUUCCAUGUUUCCUUUUCCUAUUUAUCUUUUCUUUUUUAAAGGCUUGGUCAGUAUAUUUUUAAUACACAGUGAAUUUUUUCAUUCACAUUGAAUAAUUUUUUAUAUAUGUUUAGCCUUUUUUAAUGCAUGCUGAACUUCUUUAACCUUUUCGAAAUAUGCGUUGACCAUUUUUUUCAUUAUGAUGAUUUUUAUAAAUAUACAUUGAACUUCUAUAUACAAUGUUAUUUUUUAAUAUACAUUGAUGUUUUAUUUUAAUAUGCGUUGAACUCUUUUUUUAAUGGAUGAUGAAUUUUUCAAAAUAUAUGGUGAACUGUUUUAUACACAAUAACUUUUUAAAUGGAAGGCAAACUUUUCUUAAUACCCAUUGAACAUUUUAAAUCAUUUCUUAAUUUUUUAAUAGGUUUAAUAUAUAUUAGAUCCGUAAAACAAUAUCCAACAGGCAUGUUCUAAAAUAUUCAAAUUAAAAACAAAAGAGAAAAACAGAAGAAAAAACCCCGCUCAAGUGAGCUUGCUAUAUAUAGUGGGCCACCCCAUUUGCGCCUUGCUCCAAGCGUGGUUGCCCCUAUUUGACACCAACAUACGUCAACCAGAAGGUCACGUCGAGGCUACGUCUUCACGUCGCACAGGUCACUGGGUCGUAUCGGUGAUUGGGUCGAUGUUUCCUCUUGGCACGGGCCGAACCUUCUGGAGUUGUAGAGAUGGAAGUAGUGGACGUGACAUCCCUUCCCCCUUGAACGAAGCUCAAAGUAAUCUUCCCAAGAUGCCAACAAUGUUGACUGCAAAGACCACUUGACGAGCAAUGUCGAUGUUGCCGCAACAGAAAAUAUGGCAUUUCAAUACUUGCUCCGGAACUGGAGGUAGUAUGUUAGCAGGUAGUUGCGCUGGCAGGACUGGUUUGACCAUGGAUGAAGGUGGCAGUGUUUCACGGAGUAGGAAGACAUAGAAGACUUGGUGGAUGCGACUUGUCUCUGGGAGCUUGAGGUGUUGGGGAACGUAGUAAUUUUAAAAAAAUUCCUACGCACACACAGGAUCAUGGUGAUGCAUAGCAACGAGAGGGGAGAGUGUUGUCCAUGUACCCUCAUAGACCGAAAGCGGAAGCGUUAGCACAACGCGGUUGAUGUAGUCAUACGUCUUCACAAUCUGACCGAUCAAGUACCGAACGCACGGCACCUCCGAGUUCAGCACACGUUCAGCUCGAUGACGUUCCUCGAACUCUGAUCCAGCCGAGCUUUGAGGGAGAGUUCCGUCAGCACGACGGCGUGGUGACGAUGAUGAUGUUCUACCGACGCAGGGCUUCGCCUAACCACCGCUACGAUAUUAUCGAGGUGGAUUAUGGUGGAGGGGGGCACCGCACACGGCUAAGAGAUCAAGAGAUCGAUUGUUGUGUCUAUGGGGUGCCCCCUGCCCCCGUAUAUAAAGGAGCAAGGGGGGAGGUGCGGCCGGCCAGGAGGAGUCCUACUCCCACCGGGAGUAGCACUCCCUCCCUUCCUUGUUGGACUAGGAGNNNNNNNNNNNNNNNNNNNNNNNNNNNNNNNNNNNNNNNNNNNNNNNNNNNNNNNNNNNNNNNNNNNNNNNNNNNNNNNNNNNNNNNNNNNNNNNNNNNNNNNNNNNNNNNNNNNNNNNNNNNNNNNNNNNNNNNNNNNNNNNNNNNNNNNNNNNNNNNNNNNNNNNNNNNNNNNNNNNNNNNNNNNNNNNNNNNNNNNNNNNNNNNNNNNNNNNNNNNNNNNNNNNNNNNNNNNNNNNNNNNNNNNNNNNNNNNNNNNNNNNNNNNNNNNNNNNNNNNNNNNNNNNNNNNNNNNNNNNNNNNNNNNNNNNNNNNNNNNNNNNNNNNNNNNNNNNNNNNNNNNNNNNNNNNNNNNNNNNNNNNNNNNNNNCCGGUACUCCGGUAUAUAUCCGAUAACCCCCGGAACCAUUCCGGUGUCCGAAUAUAGUCAUCCAAUAUAUCAUUCUUCAUGUCUCGACCAUUUCGAGACUCCUCGUCAUGUCCGUGAUCACAUCCGGGACUCCGAAUAACCUUAGGUACAUCAAAACAUAUAAACUCAUAAUAUAACUGUCGUCGAAACGUUAAGCGUGCGGACCCUACGGUUUCGAGAACUAUGUAGACAUGACCGACACACGUCUCCGGUAAAUAACCAAUAGCGGAACCUGGAUGCUCAUAUUGGCUCCCACAUAUUCUACGAAGAUCUUUAUCGGUCAGACCGCAUAACACAUAUGUUGUUCCCUUUGUCAUCGGUAUGUUACUUGCCUGAGAUUCGAUCGUCGGUAUCUCAAUACCUAGUUCAAUCUCGUUACCGGCAAGUCUCUUUACUCGUUCCGUAAUACAUCAUCCCUCAACUAACUCAUUAGUUGCAAUGCUUGCAAGGCUUAAGUGAUGUGCAUUACCGAGAGGGCCCAGAGAUACCUCUCCGACAAUCGGAGUGACAAAUCCUAAUCUCGAAAUACGCCAACCCAACAAGUACCUUUGGAGACACCUGUAGAGCACCUUUAUAAUCACCCAGUUAUGUUGUGGCGUUUGGUAGCACACAAAGUGUUCCUCCGGUAAACGGGAGUUGCAUAAUCUCAUAGUCAUAGGAACAUGUAUAAGUCAUGAAGAAAGCAAUAGCAACAUACUAAACGAUCGAGUGCUAAGCUAACGAAAUGGGUCAAGUCAAUCACAUCAUUCUCCUAAUGAUGUGAUCCCGUUAAUCAAAUGACAACUCAUGUCUAUGGCUAGGAAACAUAACCAUCUUUGAUCAACGAGCUAGUCAAGUAGAGGCAUACUAGUGACACUCUGUUUGUCUAUGUAUUCACACAUGUAUCAUGUUUCCGGUUAAUACAAUUCUAGCAUGAAUAAUAAACAUUUGUCAUGAUAUAAGAAAAUAAAUAAUAACUUUAUUAUUGCCUCUAGGGCAUAUUUCCUUCAGUCUCCCACUUGCACUAGAGUCAAUAAUCUAGUUCACAUCGCUAUGUGAUUUAACAUCAAUGGUUCAUAUCUUUAUGUGGUUAACACCCAUAGUUCACAUCGAUAUGUGACCAACACCCAAAGGGUUUACUAGAGUCAGUAAUCUAGUUCACAUCGCUAUGUGAUUAACACCCAAAGAGUACUAAGGUGUAAUCAUGUUUUGCUUGUGAGAUAAUUUUAGUCAACGGGUCUGUCACAUUCAGAUCCGUAAGUAUUUUGCAAAUUCUAUGUCUACAAUGCUCUGCACGGAGCUACUCUAGCUAAUAGCUCCCACUUUCAAUAUGUAUCCAGAUUGAGACUUAGAGUCAUCUGGAUCAGUGUCAAAAACUUGCAUCGACGUAACCCUUUACGCCAAACCUUUUUUCACCUCCAUAAUCGAGAAACAUAUCCUUAUUCCACUAAGGAUAAUUUUGACCGCUGUCUAGUGAUCUACUCCUAGAUCACUAUUGUACUCCCUUGCCAAACUCAGUGGUAGGGUAUACAAUAGAUCUGGUACACAACAUGGCAUACUUUGUAGAACCUAUGGCAUAGGGAAUGACUUUCAUUCUCUUUCUAUCUUCUGUCGUGGUCGGGCUUUGAGUCUUACUCAAUUUCACACCUUGUAACACAGGCGAAAACUCUUUCUUUGACUGUUCCAUUUUGAACUACUUCAAAAUCUUGUUAAGGUAUGUACUCAUUGAAAAAACUUAUCAAGCGUCUUGAUCUAUCUCUAUAGAUCUUGAUGCUCAAUAUGUAAGCAGCUUCACCGAGGUCUUUCUUUGAAAAACUCCUUUCAAACACUCCUUUAUGCUUUGCAGAAUAAUUCUACAUUAUUUCCGAUCAACAAUAUGUCAUUCACAUAUACUUAUCAGAAAUGUUGUAGUGCUCCCACUCACUUUCUUGUAAAUACAGGCUUCACCGCAAGUCUGUAUAAAACUAUAUGCUUUGAUCAACUUAUCAAAGCGUAUAUUCCAACUCCGAGAUGCUUGCACGAGUCCAUAGAUGGAUCGCUGGGGCUUGCAUAUUUUGUUAGCACUUUUAGGAUUGACAAAACCUUCUGGUUGCAUCAUGUACAACUCUUCUUUAAUAAAUCCAUUAAAGAAUGCAGUUUUGUUUAUCCAUCUGCCAGAUUUCAUAAAAUGCGGCAAUUGCUAACAUGAUUCGGACAGACUUAAGCAUAGAUACGAGUGAGAACUCUGAUCGUAGUCAACACCUUGAACUUGUCGAAAACCUUUUGCGACAAUUCUAGCUUUGUAGAUAGUAACACUACUAUCAGCGUCCGUCUUCCUCUUGAAGAUCCAUUUAAUCUCAAUGGCUCGCCGAUCAUUGGGCAAGUCAAUCAAAGUCCAUACUUUGUUCUCAUACAUGGAUCCCAUCUCAGAUUUCAUGGCCUCAAGCCAUUUUGCGGAAUCUGGGCUCAUCAUCGCUUCCUCAUAGUUCGUAGGUUUGUAAUGGUCAAGUAACAUGACCUCCAGAACAGGAUUACCGUACUACUCUGGUGCGGAUCUUACUCUGGUUGACCUACGAGGUUCAGUAACAACUUGAUCUGAAGUUUCAUGAUCAUCAUCAUUAACUUCCGCACUAAUUGGUGUAGGUGUCACAGGAACCGGUUUCUGUGAUGAACUACUUUCCAAUAAGGGAGCAGGUACAGUUACCUCAUCAAGUUCUACAUUUCUCCCAGUCACUUCUUUCGAGAGAAACUCCUUCUCUAGAAAGGAUCCAUUCUUAGCAACGAAUAUCUUGCCUUCGGAUCUGUGAUAGGAGGUGUACCCAACUGUCUCCUUUGGGUAUCCUAUGAAGAAAUAUUUCUCCCAUUUGGGUUUGAGCUUAUCAGGAUGAAACUUUUUCUUAUAAGCAUCGCAACCCCAUGUUGGGAAUCGUAGCAUAAUUUUAAAAUUUUCCUACGCUCACCAAGAUGCAUCUAUGGAGUGUACUAGCAACGAGGGGAAGGGAGUGCAUCUACAUACCCUUGUAGAUCGCGAGCGGAAGCGUUCCAAUGAACGUGGAUGACGGAGUCGUACUCGCCGUGAUCCAAAUCACCGAUGACCGAGUGCCGAACGGACGGCACCUCCGCGUUCAACACACGUACGGUGCAGCGACGUCUCCUCCUUCUUGAUCCAGCAAGGGGGAAGGAGAGGUUGAUGGAGAUCCAGCAGCACGACGGCGUGGUGGUGGAUGUAGCGGGUCUCCGGCAGGGCUUCGCCAAGCUUCUGCGAGAGAGAGAGGUGUUGCAGGGGAGGAGGGAGGCGCCCAAGGCUGUNNNNNNNNNNNNNNNNNNNNNNNNNNNNNNNNNNNNNNNNNNNNNNNNNNNNNNNNNNNNNNNNNNNNNNNNNNNNNNNNNNNNNNNNNNNNNNNNNNNNNNNNNNGCUCCCCCCUAGGGUUCCCAACCCUAGGCGCAGGGGGGGAGGCCCAAGGGGGGCGCCCCAGCCCACUAAGGGCUGGUUCCCUUCCACUUUCAGCCCACGGGGCCCUCCGGGAUAGGUGGCCCCACCCGGUGGACCCCCGGGACCCUUCCGGUGGUCCCGGUACAAUACCGGUAACCCCCGAAACUUUCCCGGUGGCUGAAACUUGACUUCCUAUAUAUAAUUCUUCACCUCCGGACCAUUCUGGAGCCUCUCGUGACGUCCGGGAUCUCAUCCGGGACUCCGAACAACUUUCGGGUUUCCGCAUACAUAUAUCUCUACAACCCUAGCGUCACCGAACCUUAAGUGUGUAGACCCUACGGGUUCGGGAGACAUGCAGACAUGACCGAGACGCCUCUCCGGUCAAUAACCAACAGCGGGAUCUGGAUACCCAUGUUGGCUCCCACAUGUUCCACGAUGAUCUCAUCGGAUGAACCACGGUGUCGAGGAUUCAAUCAAUCCCGUAUGCAAUUCCCUUUGUCAAUCGGUAUGUUACUUGCCCGAGAUUCGAUCGUCGGUAUCCCAAUACCUUGUUCAAUCUCGUUACCGGCAAGUCUCUUUACUCGUACCGCAAUGCAUGAUCCCGUGACUAAUGCCUUAGUCACAUUGAGCUCAUUAUGAUGAUGCAUUACCGAGUGGGCCCAGAGAUACCUCUCCGUCACACGGAGUGACAAAUCCCAGUCUCGAUCCGUGCCAACCCAACAGACACUUUCGGAGAUACCCGUAGUGCACCUUUAUAGUCACCCAGUUACGUUGUGACGUUUGGCACACCCAAAGCACUCCUACGGUAUCCGAGAGUUGCACGAUCUCAUGGUCUAAGGAAAGGAUACUUGACAUUGGAAAAGCUCUAGCAAACGAAACUACACGAUCUUUUAGGCUAUGCUUAGGAUUGGGUCUUGUCCAUCACAUCAUUCUCCUAAUGAUGUGAUCCCGUUAUCAAUGACAUCCAAUGUCCAUAGUCAGGAAACCAUGACUAUCUGUUGAUCAACGAGCUAGUCAACUAGAGGCUUACUAGGGACACAUUGUGGUCUAUGUAUUCACACAUGUAUUACGAUUUCCGGACAAUACAAUUAUAGCAUGAAUAAUAGACAAUUACCAUGAACAAAGAAAUAUAAUAAUAACCAUUUAUUAUUGCCUCUAGGGCAUAUUUCCAACAGUCUCCCACUUGCACUAGAGUCAAUAAUCUAGUUACAUUGUGAUGAAUCGAACACCCAUUGCGUCCUGGUGUUGAUCAUGUUUUGCCCUAGGGAGAGGUUUAGUCAACGGAUCUGCUACAUUCAGGUCCGUAUGUACUUUACAAAUAUCUAUGUCUCCAUUUUGAACACUUCCACGAAUGGAGUUGAAGCGUCGCUUGAUAUGCCUGGUCUUCCUGUGAAACCUGGGCUCCUUCGCAAGGGCAAUAGCUCCAGUGUUGUCACAGAAGAGAGUCUCGGGCCCGACGCAUUGGGAAUCACCCCUAGGUCGGUAAUGAACUCCUUCAUCCAGACUGCUUCCUGUGCUGCCUCCGAGGCUGCCAUGUACUCCGCUUCACAUGUAGAUCCCGCCACGACGCUUUGCUUGCAACUGCACCAGCUUACUGCUCCUCCAUUCAAAAUAUACACGUAUCCGGUUUGUGACUUCGAGUCAUCCAGAUCUGUGUCGAAGCUAGCGUCGACGUAACCCUUUACGACGAGCUCUUCGUCACCUCCAUAAACGAGAAACAUAUCCUUAGUCCUCUUCAGGUACUUCAUGAUAUUCUUGACCGUUGUCCAGUGUUCCAUGCCGGGAUUACUUUGGUACCUUCCUACCAAACUUACGGCAAGGUUUACAUCAGGUCUGGUACAUAGCAUGGCAUACAUAAUAGACCCUAUGGCCGAGGCAUAGGGGAUGACACUCAUCUUUUCUAUAUCUUCUGCCGUGGUCGGGCAUUGAGCCGUGCUCAAUUGCACACCUUGCAAUACAGGCAAGAACCCCUUCUUGGAUUGAUCCAUACUGAACUUCUUUAAUAUCUUAUCAAGGUAUGUACUCUGUGAAACACCAAUGAGGCGUCUUGAUCUAUCUCUAUAGAUCUUGAUGCCUAAUAUAUAAGCAGCUUCUCCAAGGUCCUUCAUUGAAAAACACUUAUUCAAAUAGGCCUUUAUACUUUCCAAGAAUUCUAUAUCAUUUCCCAUCAAUAGUAUGUCAUCCACAUAUAAUAUGAGAAAUGCUACAGAGCUCCCACUCACUUUCUUGUAAACACAGGCUUCUCCAUAAGUCUGUGUAAACCCAAACGCUUUGAUCAUCUCAUCAAAGCGAAUGUUCCAACUCCGAGAUGCUUGCACUAGCCCAUAGAUUGAGCGCUGGAGCUUGUAUACUUUGUUAGCAUUCUUAGGAUCGACAAAACCUUCCGGCUGCAUCAUAUACAACUCCUCCUUAAGGAAGCCGUUAAGGAAUGCCGUUUUGACGUCCAUCUGCCAUAUCUCAUAAUCAUAGUAUGCGGCAAUUGCUAACAUGAUUCGGACGGAUUUCAGCUUUGCUACGGGUGAGAAAGUCUCAUCGUAGUCAACCCCUUGAACUUGUCGAUAACCCUUAGCGACAAGUCGAGCUUUGCAGAUGGUCACAUUACCAUCCGCGUCCGUCUUCUUCUUAAAGAUCCAUUUGUUUUCUAUGGCUCGCCGCUCAUCGGGCAAGUCAGUCAAAGACCAUACUUUGUUUUCAUACAUGGAUUCUAUCUCGGAUUUCAUGGCUUCUAGCCAUUUGUCGGAAUCCGGGCCCGCCAUCGCUUCUUCAUAGUUCGAAGGUUCACCGUUGUCUAACAACAUGAUUUCCAGGACAGGGUUGCCGUACCACUCUGGUGCGGAACGUGUCCUUGUGGACCUACGAAGUUCAGUGGCAACUUGAUCCGAAGCUUCAUGAUCAUCAUCAUUAACUUCCUCCCCAGUCGGUGUAGGCACCACAGGAACAUUUCCCCGCGCUGCGCUACUUUCCGGUUCGGAAGGGGUGACUAUCACCUCAUCAAGUUCCACUUUCCUCCCACUCAAUUCUUUUGAGAGAAACUCCUUCUCCAGAAAGGACCCGUUCUUGGCAACGAAGAUCUUGCCUUCGGAUCUGAGGUAGAAGGUAUACCCAAUUGUUUCCUUAGGGUAUCCUAUGAAGACGCAUUUUUCUGAUUUGGGUUCGAGCUUUUCAGGUUGAAGUUUCUUGACAUAAGCAUCGCAUCCCCAAAUUUUUAGAAACGACAGCUUAGGUUUCUUCCCAAACCAUAAUUCAUACGGUGUCGUCUCAACGGAUUUCGACGGAGCCCUAUUUAAAGUGAAUGCGGCAGUCUCUAAAGCAUAGCCCCAAAAUGAGAGCGGUAAAUCGGUAAGAGACAUCAUAGAUCGCACCAUAUCCAAUAGAGUGCGAUUACGACGUUCGGACACACCAUUUCUCUGAGGUGUUCCAGGCGGCGUGAGUUGUGAAACUAUUCCACAUUUCCUUAAGUGUGUACCAAAUUCGUGACUUAAAUAUUCUCCACCACGAUCUGAUCGUAAGAAUUUUAUUUUCCUGUCACGUUGAUUCUCAACUUCACUCUGAAAUUCCUUGAACUUUUCAAAGGUUUCAGACUUGUGUUUCAUUAGGUAGACAUACCCAUAUCUAUUUAAAUCAUCAGUGAGAGUGAGAACAUAACGAUAUCCUCCGCGAGCCUCAACACUCAUUGGACCACACACAUCGGUAUGUAUGAUUUCCAAUAAGUUGGUUGCUCGCUCCAUUGUUCCGGAGAACGGAGUCUUGGUCAUCUUACCCAUGAGGCAUGGUUCGCAUGUGUCAAAUGAUUCGUAAUCAAGAGACUCCAAAAGUCCAUCUGCAUGGAGCUUCUUCAUGCACUUGACACCAAUGUGACCAAGGCGGCAGUGCCACAGAUAUGUGGGACUAUCGUUAUCAACUUUACAUCUUUUGGUAUUCACACUAUGAACAUGUGUAACAUCACGUUCGAGAUUCAUCAAAAAUAAACCAUUGACCAGCGGGGCAUGACCAUAAAACAUAUCUCUCAAAUAAAUAGAACAACCAUUAUUCUCGGAUUUAAAUGAGUAGCCAUCUUGAAUUAAACGAGAUCCAGAUACAAUGUUCAUGCUCAAAGCUGGCACUAAAUAACAAUUAUUGAGGUUUAAAACUAAUCCCGUAGGGAGAUGCAGAGGUAGCGUGCCGACGGCGAUCACAUCGACCUUGGAACCAUUCCCGACGCGCAUCGUCACCUCGUCCUUCGCCAGUCUCCGUUUAUUCCGUAGUUUCUGUUUUGAGUUACAAAUAUGAGCAACCGCACCGGUAUCAAAUACCCUGGAGCUACUACGAGUACUGGUAAGGUACACAUCAAUAACUUGUAUAUCACAUAUACCUUUGGUGUUGCCGGCCUUCUUCUUGUCCGCUAAGUAUUUGGGGCAGUUCCGCUUCCAGUGACCACUUCCCUUGCAAUAAAAGCACUCAGUUUCAGGCUUGGGUCCAUUCUUUGACUUCUUCCCAGUAACUGGUUUACCGGGCGCGGCAACUCCCUUGUCGUCCUUCUUGAAGUUUUUCUUACCCUUGCCCUUCUUGAACUUAGUGGUUUUAUUCACCAUCAACACUUAAUGUUCUUUUCUGAUCUCUACCUCAGCUGAUUUCAGCAUUGAAUAUACCUCAGGAAUGGUCUUUUCCAUCCCUUGCAUAUUGAAGUUCAUCACAAAGCUCUUGUAGCUUGGUGGAAGCGACUGGAGGAUUCUGUCAAUGACCGCGUCAUCCGGGAGAUUAUCUCCCAGCUGAGACAAGCGGUUGUGCAACCCAGACAUUCUGAGUAUGUGCUCACUAACAGAACUAUUCUCCUCCAUUUUACAGCUGAAGAACUUGUCGGAGACAUCAUAUCUCUCGACCCGGGCAUGAGCUUGGAAAACUAGUUUCAGCUCCUCGAACAUCUCAUAUGCUCCAUGUUUCUCAAAACGCUUUUGGAGACCCGGUUCUAGGUUGUAAAGCAUGCCGCACUGAACGAGGGAGUAAUCAUCAGCACGUGAUUGCCAAGCGUUCAUAACGUUUUGGUUCUCAGGGAUUGGUGCAUCACCUAGCGGUGCUUCUAAGACAUAAUCUUUCUUGGCUACUAUGAGGAUGAGCCUCAGGUUCCGGACCCAGUCCGUAUAGUUGCUGCCAUCAUCUUUCAGCUUGGUUUUCUCUAGGAACGCGUUGAAAUUGAGGACAACGUUGGCCAUUUGAUCUACAAGACAUAGUGUAAAGAUUUUAGACUAAGUUCAUGAUAAUUGAGUUCAUCUAAUCAAAUUAUUUAAUGAACUCCCACUCAGAUAGACAUCCCUCUAGUCAUCUAAGUGAAACAUGAUCCGAGUUUAACUAGGCCGUGUCCGAUCAUCACGUGAGACGGACUAGUCAAGAUCGGUGAACAUCUCCAUGUUGAUCGUAUCUUCUAUACGACUCAUGCUCGACCUUUCGGUCCUCCGUGUUCCGAGGCCAUGUAUGUACAUGCUAGGCUCGUCAAGUCAACCUAAGUGUAUUGCGUGUGUUCCGAGGCCAUGUCUGUACAUGCUAGGCUCGUCAACACCCGUUGUAUUCGAACGUUAGAAUCUAUCACACCCGAUCAUCACGUGGUGCUUCGAAACAACGAACCUUCGCAACGGUGCACAGUUAGGGUGAACACUUUCUUGAAAUUAUUAUAAGGGAUCAUCCUACUUGCUACCGUCGUUCUAAGCAAAUAAGAUGCAAAAACAUGAUAAACAUCACAUGCAAUCAAAUAGUGACAUGAUAUGGCCAAUAUCAUCAUGCUCCUUUGAUCUCCAUCUUCGGGGCACCAUGAUCAUCUUCGUCACCGGCAUGACACCAUGAUCUCCAUCAUCAUGAUCUCCAUCAUUGUGUCUUCAUGAAGUCGUCACGCCAACGAUUACUUCUACUUCUAUGCCUAACGCGUUUAGCAACAAAGUAAAGUAAUUUACAUGGCAUUAUUCAAUGACACGCAGGUCAUACAAAAUAAUAAAGACAACUCCUAUGGCUCCUGCCGGUUGUCAUACUCAUCGACAUGCAAGUCGUGAUUCCUAUUACAAGAAUAUGAUCAAUCUCAUACAUCACAUAUAUCAUUCAUCACAUCUUCUGGCCAUAUAAUAUCACAUAUAUCACUUGCUGCAAAAACAAGUUAGACGUCCUCUAAUUGUUGUUGCAAGUUUUUACGUGGUUUGUAGGUUUCUAGCAAGAACGUUUCUUACCUACGUAUGACCACAACGUGAUUUGCCAAUUUCUAUUUACCCUUCAUAAGGACCCUUUUCAUCGAAUCCGUUCCGACUAAAGUAGGAGAGACAGACACCCGCUAGCCACCUUAUGCAACUAGUGCAUGUCAGUCGGUGGAACCUGUCUCACGUAAGAGUACGUGUAAGGUCGGUCCGGGCCGCUUCAUCCUACAAUGCCGCCGAAACAAGAAAAGACUAGUAGCGGCAAGAAGAAUUGGCAAACUCAACGCCCACAACUGCUUUGUGUUCUACUCGUGCAUAGUAACUACGCAUAGGCCUGGCUCAUGAUGCCACUGUUGGGAAUCGUAGCAUAAUUUUAAAAUUUUCCUACGCUCACCAAGAUGCAUCUAUGGAGUGUACUAGUAACGAGGGGAAGGGAGUGCAUCUACAUACCCUUGUAGAUCGUGAGCGGAAGCGUUCCAAUGAACGUGGAUGACGGAGUCGUACUUGCCGUGAUCCAAAUCACCGAUGACCGAGUGCCGAACGGACGGCACCUCUGCGUUCAACACACGUACGGUGCAGCGACGUCUCCUCCUUCUUGAUCCAGCAAGGGGGAAGGAGAGGUUGAUGGAGAUCCAGCAGCACGACGGCGUGGUGGUGGAUGUAGCGGGUCUCCGGCAGGGCUUCGCCAAGCUUCUGCGAGAGAGAGAGAGAGAGGUGUUGCAGGGGAGGAGGGAGGCGCCCAAGGCUGUNNNNNNNNNNNNNNNNNNNNNNNNNNNNNNNNNNNNNNNNNNNNNNNNNNNNNNNNNNNNNNNNNNNNNNNNNNNNNNNNNNNNNNNNNNNNNNNNNNNNNNNNNNNNNNNNNNNNNNNNNNNNNNNNNNNNNNNNNNNNNNNNNNNNNNNNNNNNNNNNNNNNNNNNNNNNNNNNNNNNNNNNNNNNNNNNNNNNNNNNNNNNNNNNNNNNNNNNNNNNNNNNNNNNNNNNNNNNNNNNNNNNNNNNNNNNNNNNNNNNNNNNNNNNNNNNNNNNNNNNNNNNNNNNNNNNNNNGGGGGGAAGGGGUGCCUUGCCCCCCAAGGCAAGGGGGAAGCUCCCCCCUAGGGUUCCCAACCCUAGGCGCAGGGGGGAGGCCCAAGGGGGCGCCCCAGCCCACUAAGGGCUGGUUCCCUUCCACUUUCAGCCCACGGGGCCCUCCGGGAUAGGUGGCCCCACCCGGUGGACCCCCGGGACCCUUCCGGUGGUCCCGGUACAAUACCGGUAACCCCCGAAACUUUCCCGGUGGCCGAAACUUGACUUCCUAUAUAUAUAAUUCUUCACCUCCGGACCAUUCCGGAGCCUUUCGUGACGUCCGGGACCUCAUCCGGGACUCCGAACAACUUUCGGGUUUCCGCAUACAUAUAUCUCUACAACCCUAGCGUCACCGAACCUGAAGUGUGUAGACCCUACGGGUUCGGGAGACAUGCAGACAUGACCGAGACGCCUCUCCGGUCAAUAACCAACAGCGGGAUCUGGAUACCCAUGUUGGCUCCCACAUGUUCCACGAUGAUCUCAUCGGAUGAACCACGGUGUCGAGGAUUCAAUCAAUCCCGUAUGCAAUUCCCUUUGUCAAUCGGUAUGUUACUUGCCCGAGAUUCGAUCGUCGGUAUCCCAAUACCUUGUUCAAUCUCGUUACCGGCAAGUCUCUUUACUCGUACCGCAAUGCAUGAUCCCAUGACUAACGCCUUAGUCACAUUGAGCUCAUUAUGAUGAUGCAUUACCGAGUGGGCCCAGAGAUACCUCUCCGUCACACGGAGUGACAAAUCCCAGUCUCGAUCCGUGCCAACCCGACAGGCACUUUCGGAGAUACCCGUAGUGCACCUUUAUAGUCACCCAGUUACGUUGUGACGUUUGGCACACCCAAAGCACUCCUACGGUAUCCGGGAGUUGCACGAUCUCAUGGUCUAAGGAAAAGAUACUUGACAUUGGAAAAGCUCUAGCAAACGAAACUACACGAUCUUUUAUGCUAUGCUUAGGAUUGGGUCUUGUCCAUCACAUCAUUCUCCUAAUGAUGUGAUCCCGUUAUCAAUGACAUCCAAUGUCCAUAGUCAGGAAACCAUGACUAUCUGUUGAUCAACGAGCUAGUCAACUAGAGGCUUACUAGGGACACAUUGUGGUCUAUGUAUUCACACAUGUAUUACGAUUUCCGGACAAUACAAUUAUAGCAUGAAUAAUAGACAAUUACCAUGAACAAAGAAAUAUAAUAAUAACCAUUUAUUAUUGCCUCUAGGGCAUAUUUCCAACACCCCAAACUUUAAGAAACGACAACUUUGGUUUCUUGCCAGACCAUAGUUCAUACGGUGUCGUCUCAAACGAAUUUAGAUGGUGCCCUUUUUACGUGAAUGCAGCUGUCUCUAAUGCAUAACCCCAAAACUAUAGUGGUAAAUCGGUAAGAAACAUCAUAGAUUGCACUAUAUCCAAUAAAGUACGGUUAUUACGUUCGGACACACCAUUAUGUUGUGGUGUUCCAGGUGGCACGAAUUUGUGAAACUAUUCCACAUUAUUUUAAUUUGAAGACCAAACUCGUAACUCAAAUAUUUGUCUCCGUGAUCAGAUCGUAGAAACCUUAUUUUCUUGUCACGAUGAUUUUCCACUUCACUCUGAAAUUCUUUGAACUUUUCAAAUGUUUCAGACUUAUGUUUCAUCAAGUAGAUAUACCCAUAUCUGCUCAAAUCAUCUGUGAAGGUCAGAAAAUAACGAUACCCGCCGCGAGCCUCAACACUCAUCGGAUCGCAUACAUCAGUAUGUAUUAUUUCCAAUAAGUCAGUUGCUCGCUCCAUUGUUCCAGAGAACGGAGUCUUAGUCAUCUUGCCCAUAAGGCAUGGUUCGCAAGCAUCAAGUGAUUCAUAAUCAAGUGAUUCCAAAAGCCCAUCAGCAUGGAGUUUCUUUAUGCGCUUUACACCAAUAUGACCUAAACGGCAGUGCCACAAAUAAGUUGCACUAUCAUUAUUAACUUUGCAUCUUUUGGCUUCAAUAUUAUGAAUAUGUGUAUCACUACGAUCGAGAUCCAACGAACCAUUUUCAUUGGGUGUGUAACCAUAUAAGGUUUUAUUCAUGUAAACAGAACAACAAUUAUUCUCUAACUUAAAUGAAUAACCAUAUUGCAAUAAACAUGAUCAAAUCAUAUUCAUGCUCAACGCGAACACCUAAUAACACUUAUUUAGUUUCAACACUAAUCCCGAAAGUAUAGGGAAUGUGCGAUGAUGAUCAUAUCAAUCUUGGAACUACUUCCAACACACAUCAUCACCUCGCCUUUUACUAGUUUCUGUUUAUUCUGCAACUCCCGUUUCGAGUUACUACUCUUAGCAACUGAACCAGUAUCAAAUGCCGAGGGGUUGCUAUAAACACUAGUAAAGUACACAUCAAUAACAUGUAUAUCCAAUAUACCUUUGUUCACUUUGCUAUCCUUCUUAUCCACCAAAUACUUGGGGUAGUUCCGCUUCCAGUGACCAGUUCCUUUGCAGUAGAAGCACUUAGUCUCAGGCUUAGGACCAGACUUGGGCUUCUUCACUUGAGCAGCAACUUGCUUGCCGUUCUUCUUGAAGUUCCCCUUCUUCCCUUUGCCCUUUUCUUGAAACUAGUGGUCUUGUCAACCAUCAACACUUGAUGUUUUUCUUGAUUUCUACCUUCGUCGAUUUCAGCAUCACGAAGAGCUUGGGAAUUGUUUCUGUUAUCCCUUGCAUAUUAUAGUUCAUCACGAAGUUCUACUAACUUGGUGAUGGUGACUAGAGAAUUCUGUCAAUCACUAUCUUAUCUGGAAGAUUAACUCCCACUUUAUUCAAGUGAUUGUAGUACCCGGACAAUCUGAGCACAUGCUCACUGCUUGAGCUAUUCUCCUCCAUCUUUUAGCUGUAGAACUUGUUGGAGACUUCAUAUCUCUCAACUUGGGUAUUUGCUUGAAAUAUUAACUUCAACUCCUGGAACAUCUCAUAUGGUCCAUGACGUUCAAAACAUCUUUCAAGUCCCGAUUCUAAGCCGUUAAGCACGGUGCACUAAACUAUCAAGUAGUCAUCAUAUUGAGCUAGCCAAACGUUCAUAACGUCUGCAUCUGCUCCUGCAAUAGGUCUGUCACCUAGCGGUGCAUCAAGGACAUAAUUCUUCUGUGCAGCAAUGAGGAUAAACCUCAGAUCACGGAUCCAGUCCACAUCAUUGCUACUAUCAUCUUUCAACUUAGUUUUCUCUAGGAACAUAUAUAAAACAUAGGGAAGCAACAACGCGAGCUAUUAAUCCACAACAUAGAUAUGCUAAUACUACCAGGACUAAGUUCAUGAUAAAUUAAAGUUCAAUUAAUCAUAUUACUUAAGAACUCCCACUUAGAUAGACAUCCCUCUAAUCUUCUAAGUGAUCACGUGAUCCAUAUCAACUAAACCAUGUCCGAUCAUCACGUGAGAUGGAGUAGUUUCAAUGGUGAACAUCACUAUGUUGAUCAUAUCUACUAUAUGAUUCACGCUCGACCUUUCGGUCUCAGUGUUCCGAGGCCAUAUCUGUUAUAUGCUAGGCUCGUCAAGUUUAACCUGAGUAUUCCGCGUGUGCAACUGUUUUGCACCCGUUGUAUUUGAACGUAGAGCCUAUCACACCUGAUCAUCACGUGGUGUCUCAGCACGAAGAACUUUCGCAAUGGUGCAUACUCAGGGAGAACACUUAUACUUUGAUAAUUUAGUGAGGGAUCAUCUUAUAAUGCUACCGUCAAUCAAAGCAAGAUAAGAUGCAUAAAAGAUAAACAUCACAUGCAAUCAAUAUAAGUGAUAUGAUAUGGCCAUCAUCAUCUUGUGCUUGUGAUCUCCACCUCCGAAGCACCGUCAUGAUCACCAUCGUCACCGGCGCGACACCUUGAUCUUCAUCGUAGCAUCGUUGUCGUCUCGCCAAUCUUAUGCUUCUACGACUAUCGCUACCGCUUAGUGAUAAAGUAAAGCAUUACAGGGCGAUUGCAUUGCAUACAAUAAAGCGACAACCAUAUGGCUCUUGCCAGUUGCCGAUAACUCGGUUACAAAACAUGAUCAUCUCAUACAAUAAAAUUUAGCAUCAUGUCUUGACCAUAUCACAUCACAACAUGCCCUGCAAAAACAAGUUAGACGUCCUCUACUUUGUUGUUGCAAAUUUUACGUGGCUGCUACGGUCUUAGCAAGAACCGGUCUUACCUACGCAUCAAAACCACAAUGAUAGUUUGUCAAGUUGGUGCUAUUUUAACCUUCGCAAGGACCGGGCGUAGCCACACUCGGUUCAACUAAAGUUGGAGAAACUGACACCCGCCAGCCACCUGUGUGAAAAGCACGUCGGUAGAACCAGUCUCGUGUAAGCGUACGCGUAAUGUCGGUCCGGGCCGCUUCAUCCAACAAUACCGCCGAACCAAAGUAUGACAUGCUGGUAAGCAGUAUGACUUGUAUCACCCACAACUCACUUGUGUUCUAUUAGUGCAUAUGACAUCUACGCAUAAAACCUGGCUCGGAUGCCACUGUUGGGGAACGUAGUAAAAAAUUCCUACGCACACAGAGGAUCAUGGUGAUGCAUAGCAACGAGAGGGGAGAGUGUUGUCCACGUACCCUCGUAGACCGAAAGCGGAAGCGUUAGCACAAUGCGGUUGAUGUAGUCGUACGUCUUCACGAUCCGACCGAUCAGGUGCCGAACGCACGGCACCUCCGAGUUCAGCACACGUUCAGCUCGAUGACGUCCCUCGAACUCCGAUCCAGCCGAGCUUUGAGGGAGAGUUCCGUCAGCACGACGGCGUGGUGACAAUGAUGAUGUUUUACCGACGCAGGGCUUCGCCUAAGCACCGCUACGAUAUUAUCGAGGUGGAUUAUGAUGGAGGGGGCACCGCACACGACUAAGAGAUCAAGAGAUCAAUUGUUGUGUCUAUGGGGUGCCCCCUGCCCCCGUAUAUAAAGGAGCAAGGGGGGAGGUGCGGCCGGCCAGGAGGAGGCGCGCCAGGAGGAGUCCUACUCCUACCGGGAGUAGGACUCCCUCCCUUCCUUGUUGGACUAGGAGAGGAGAGGGAAGGAGAGAGNNNNNNNNNNNNNNNNNNNNNNNNNNNNNNNNNNNNNNNNNNNNNNNNNNNNNNNNNNNNNNNNNNNNNNNNNNNNNNNNNNNNNNNNNNNNNNNNNNNNNNNNNNNNNNNNNNNNNNNNNNNNNNNNNNNNNNNNNNNNNNNNNNNNNNNNNNNNNNNNNNNNNNNNNNNNNNNNNNNNNNNNNNNNNNNNNNNNNNNNNNNNNNNNNNNNNNNNNNNNNNNNNNNNNNNNNNNNNNNNNNNNNNNNNNNNNNNNNNNNNNNNNNNNNNNNNNNNNNNNNNNNNNNNNNNNNNNNNNNNNNNNNNNNNNNNNNNNNNNNNNNNNNNNNNNNNNNNNNNNNNNNNNNNNNNNNNNNNNNNNNNNNNNNNNNNNNNNNNNNNNNNNNNNNNNNNNNNNNNNNNNNNNNNNNNNNNNNNNNNNNNNNNNNNNNNNNNNNNNNNNNNNNNNNNNNNNNNNNNNNNNNNNNNNNNNNNNNNNNNNNNNNNNNNNNNNNNNNNNNNNNNNNNNCGAUAACCCCCGGAACCAUUCCGGUGUCCGAAUAUAGUCAUCCAAUAUAUCAAUCUUCAUGUCUCGACCAUUUCGAGACUCCUCGUCAUGUCCGUGAUCACAUCCGAGACUCCGAACAACCUUCGGUACAUCAAAACAUAUAAACUCAUAAUAUAACUGUCAUCGAAACGUUAAGCGUGCGGACCCUACGGGUUCGAGAACUAUGUAGACAUGACCGAGACACGUCUCCGGUUAAUAACCAAUAGCGGAACCUGGAUGCUCAUAUUAGCUCCCACAUAUUCUACGAAGAUCUUUAUCGGUCAGACCGCAUAACAACAUACGUUGUUCCCUUUGUCAUCGGUAUGUUACUUGCCUGAGAUUCGAUCGUCGGUAUCUCAAUACCUAGUUCAAUCUCGUUACCGGCAAGUCUCUUUACUCGUUCUGUAAUACAUCAUCCCACAACUAACUCAUUAGUUGCAAUGCUUGCAAGGCUUAAGUGAUGUGCAUUACCGAGAGGGCCUAGAGAUACCUCUCUGAUAAUCGGAGUGAAAAAUCCUAAUCUCGAAAUACGCCAACCCAAAAAGUACCUUUGGAGACACCUGUAGAGCACCUUUAUAAUCACCCAGUUACGUUGUGACGUUUGGUAGCACACAAAGUGUUCCUCCGGUAAACGGGAGUUGCAUAAUCUCAUAGUCAUAGGAACAUGUAUAAGUCAUGAAGAAAGCAAUAGUAACAUACUAAACGAUCGAGUGCUAAGCUAACGGAAUGGGUCAAGUCAAUCACAUCAUUCUGUUAAUGAUGUGAUCAUGUUAAUCAAAUGACAACUCAUGUCAAUGGCUAGGAAACAUAACCAUCUUUGAUCAACGAGCUAGUCAAGUAGAGGCAUACUAGUGACACUCUGUUUGUCUAUGUAUUCACACAUGUAUCAUGUUUCCGGUUAAUACAAUUCUAGCAUGAAUAAUAAACAUUUAUCAUGAUAUAAGAAAAUAAAUAAUAACUUUAUUAUUGCCUAUAGGGCAUAUUUCCUUCAUGAGGUUGUACACCAACUUGACUGAAAUAGUCCAAAAUAUUGAAAAGAGAGUUUAUGGUUAGCAUGCUCGGUGAAAGAGAUUUGGACAUAAGGCUGCAGCUUGAGGUAGCCAACUCCAAAAGUGCGGUCUGGGUGUUUGUCGUCCACUUAUCCCUACUUCCUCUAGUUUUCUCAGAACAAGUGUUGUUUUAGUAGACUGACAACUAAUUUUCAUUCUUGCAUCCAUGACGCCAGCUCACGAACUUCACAUGAUGAAGGAUCUACAAACCGGAAGUGUUUUGGAGGAUGGCCAUAUAGGUCUUCAAAAGGUGAGCUCCCCAAAGUGGAAUGGUAUGUGUUGAACUCUUUUUUUAAUGGAUGAUGAUUUUUUAAAGAAUAUACGGUAAAUUUUUUUUAUAUAUAAUAACUUUUUAAAUGGAAGGUUAACUUUCUUAAUAACCAUUGCACAUUUUAAAAUAUUUCUUAUUUUUAAUAGGUUUAGUACAUAUUAGAUCCGUAAAACAAUAUCCAAUAGGCAGGUUCUCAAAAAAAUCAAAUUAAAAACAGAAGAAAAGAACCCACACAAGUGAGCUUGCUAUAGUGGGCCACCCCAUUUGCGCCUUGCUCCAAGCGUGGUUGCCCCUAUUUGACACCAACACACGCCAACAAGGAGGUCUCAUCGAGGCUACGUCUUCACGCCGCAUAGGUCAUUAGGUCAUAGCGGUGAUUGGGUCUUCACGUCGCACAAGGCACUGGGUCGUAGCGAUGAUUGGGUCGAUGUUUCCUCUUGGCCUGGGCCGAACCUUCGGGAGUAGUAGAGAUGGAAGUAGUGGACGUGACAUCUCUUCCCCCUUGAACGAAGCUCAAAGUAAUCUUCCCAAGACGCCAACGAUGUCGAUUGCUAAGACCACUUGACGAGGAAUGUCGAAGUUGCCGCGAUAGACAAUAUGGCAUUCCAAUACUUGCUCUGGAACUGGAGGUAGUAUGUUAGGAGGUAGUUGCACUGGCAGGACUGGUUCGACCACGGAUGAAGGUGGCAGUGUUUCAUGGAGCAGAAAGGCAUGGGAGACUUGGUGGAUAGGAGUUGUCUCUGGGAGCUUAAGAUUGUACACCAACUUGACUGAAAUAGUCCAAAUAUUGAAAAGAGAGUUUAUGGUUAGUGUGCUCGGUGAUGGAAAUUUGGACACAAGGUUGUAGCUUGAGGUAGCCAACUCCAAAAGUGCGGUCUCGGCGUUUCUCGUCGCUUGUCCCUACUUGCUCUGGUUUUCUCAGAACAAGUGUUGUUUUAGUAGACUGACCACUAAUUUUUAUUCUUGCAUCCAUGACGCCAGCUCAGGAACUUCACAUGAUGAAGGAUCUACAACCCCGAAGUGUUUUGGAGGAUGCCAUAUAAGACUCCAAAAGGUGAGCUCCCCAAAGUGGAAUGGUACAAGGUAUUGUACUAGUUUAUGACUGGUUUAUAUGACACAUUUCAUCUUCCAAUGUCUUUGAGUGUUGUUCAGCAAAGUUUCGAGCUACCUGAGCUUCUAAUUAGCAUCUAUGAUACUAGUGUUACUGACAGUUGGAAAUUUGGAAUUCUACUGGUCAAGCAAUAAUACUGCACCUAGGAUAUACAUUAAACUAUUUAGAUAUGGAAAUAAGCCACCCACCACCGCCAAUCAUUGUGUUGGGCAUGUUGUUGCUUAGGCAGACAACAUGAUUUCAAGAUCCAUUGGAAAAGCUUAGGUGUUCGUCCUAUGUGUUCAGCUGAGUAAGCCAACCACCACCGCCACUAUCUUUUUCCUCAACUUCCGCAUCUUCCUCCUGAAUAAUUUGAGGGUUGCCAUCUUCCAUCACGUGUUCCUUUCUUGGUUUUGUGAAAGGAUUCCAAUCUUUGGUUCUGUAUAUGUGGACUUCCCUUCAUACAUGCAAAACUAAAGGACUGGAAGCUUUCUACAGAAAUAAAUCGCCAGUGAUAUCUUCCGGCGUGGGAUUGAUUUUUUUCCUUCCGUUAUUUGAUGUGUAGCACACAUGAAGAAUGGAGAUCGCCAGGGCCCAGGGAUCGGUUGUCCCAUUUUUCCGGUUACCAAUGCAUGCAAACUGGCUAUCCAAGAGUAAAACCGGGAACCAAACGGGUGGAGAGUGUUAGAAAAAUUAGGGUUUGGAGCUAAACGGCCUAACCUCUAUUCCUAUGCCUUAUCGGUGGUGCCGCUCACAAUGCAUAUUGAGGCUAGAGGGUGGGACCUUAUAUAGACUCCAAGUUCCAGUGGCAUGGCUAAGGUCAGGUCAUUAUUCUUUCUUUUUCCUCUUGAGCUCAAACAUAAUUCCUCACAUAGUAUAAUUCCCUUUAUCAAAGGUUUUAGAUAGGUUUGCAGUUUUCCAUUGAAAAACAUUUCAAAACAUUCUUUGUGAGUUCCACUCCCAAAAAUAUAGGAAGCAUCACACAUACCUUUCAUUAGAAAGUUUGAGGAUAACCAAGUUUUCACUUCCAUCAAUGUGAUAUUUAUAAACAACAAAAGCAUAUUUAGCGCAUAUAGUAGUAACACAAAAUAGUUCACACUAACCUUUGUAUAUGAUCAUCUUCCAUCAUUAAGAAAACCAUAUGACCUGAUAUACCAUUGAUGUGAAGCUUGUAACAAGAUCAUGAAUUAAUCUAUUCAGUUAGCAAACCUUGUCCUUGUUCCCACUUUCUCUAAAUUCCAGAGAAGCAACAAUUCCCAAAGGAGAAAGAGUUUCCACAAAGUAUAAUCAUUUCCUUUGUACAAAGGAUUUAAUGACUAGAAUUGUAAUUUCCAUUGAACAUGUUGCUUUAAACUUUCAGUAAACAAAUACAUUUACUACCGAUAGGCUUGCGGUUGUUUGGAAAAAUAACAAGUUCCCAAACUUUUGUUCUUCCUCAUUGAGUUUAUUCCUUCUGGCAAUGCUGCUACCCAUAGCUUGCGCUGAUGGAAAAUUUAAGCCUUUUUUAAGAGACCUCAGUUAUUCCUCUAAAAAUUCAGAGUCACUUCCCCAAAGAAUACAUGAUAAUUAUUCAGACUCGAUAUUCCAAGUUAUUUCCUCCCGCUUAUCCUAAGCAUGUAAGUGUCAAGAGUUUCACUUGUAGUUUCCUUAGGGGUCAAGCUUAUAUUUAGUAUGAUUGCAAAUAAUUCCACCAUUAUCCAUAAAAAUAUCGGCUCCCAGUUUCCACCAGUUUUCCUUUUCCAGAGUUUUCCUUUUCCGGAUAAAAACAUACAUGUGACCCAGUAGAAUAACGAUUAACAAAUUCCCGGUGUGUGCUUUAUAGUAAUUGAUAAUUUCAUUCCAAAAUAAAAAUACUCCAUUCCAGUCUACAAACCAUAAGGAGUGACUAUGCUAGAUAAAAGAAAAUAUAAACACAAUAUGUAAUGCUUCUUCCAAAAAAAGGAAUAUCAAUGAUAUUCAGUUCCUCCACUCAAUUGUGAAGUAUACGGUAUAGCACAAUGGUGAAUGUAGUUCCAUGCUCUUUACAUAUUAAAUUGAUAUAUUCCUGAGGUUUAUUUCACCCACCAAUCAGUUGUUAGACUAUGAUAUUCUUUAAUCAACUGAUUUUCCACUUCAGUACAACAUGUGAACAACACAAUAAAACCUUCCGACUUGUAUAAUGAAAGGUAAACAUACAAACAUAUAAAGUCCAAUCAUCGAUGAGUGAAAUGAAAUAAACAAUCUGACCUCUAGUGGGAGUGUCAAAAAAUUACCAUAAGUAUACCAGAAAAUAAAUGAUGUGAACCUUUAUCUCCUUCCACCUUAAGACAAGGUGUUUAUCUCCUUCCACCUUAAGAAAAGGCGUGCAAGUCAAAUAUCCAUUAUAUCUGUGCAUCAGAAAACCAAAUUCCUCCCACUAAGGUUUUGAAUUCCAGAAUUAGUGAGCCACUUGAUUCGGUUCCAUGAUAUGUGACCAAGUCGUCCAUGACAAAGAAUAAUAAAUUCCAAGCAUGUGUUCCCAUUAUCAGCAUUCCUCUCUAUGGAGUUAUCUUCCCGAAAUAACAACUUAGGUUGCUAACUUCCAAAGGACCAAAGAGAAUAGACCAUUGUGUGAAAUUCCGCACUGCACUAAUUUUGUCAUUGAUCCAUGCUUUUUACUCUUCCAUAUAGAGUGUCCUAUAACAAUAAUAUUUUUUCCUCCACGAGGGAGUGUCAUGGCAAAAUUUCCAAUUCCAAAGUGCAUAAGAUUUAGAAGCAAUGACAAAACACACAAUAUAUAUAAUUUCCUUUGGUACUGUUAGCAUGUGAAAAUUGCUAUUGUAUUCCAUCAAUACAAUACAUAGAAUCUUAAAUCCAAAAUCCAACUUUAUGUGAGAGAAAAUUUCCUUAAUUUUCCACGAAGUGGUUCCCAUCUUCCUCCAUAUAUAUGUGAUUGUCAUAAUGACCACCUUUUAUUUUUAAUUCCUUCUCAUGCAAGGUUAGUAUAAUAGCGUAUUCGUCAAUAGUAAUUUUCCUCCAGAAUGGAGUUUGACGGCAUAAUUUCCAAUUCCAAGUUUAUUAACUUUAGCAUUUCCUUGGAAUUGUUUCUAUGGAAGUAAAUGAUAUAUAACUAAAAUGUGCAACACAACUAUUCUGAAAAAAUAGUGGUAAAUCAAAAUGUGCAUGCAUACAAUUAUAGACAUACCAUCCACUUUGCCAAUUGCAUUGACAAAUUAUUAUAUCUUCCUCUUCGAGGUGUAACCAACAAUAUUUGGUCAGAUCCUUCCCUCAUAGAGCUUCUAUCUUCCUCCAUAGAGCAAAUAAUAUCCCAUAUCGCAAUGAAGUUAAAUUGAAAAUUCAAUUAUUUCAAUAAAUUCCGCAUAGAGUUAACCAAUAUAUAUCCAGCAAUAUGUAUUACCGACAGAUGUCGCAAAAAAUAUAUAUUCCAGAUUGCACUAGUUUCCCAUGCAAUUUGUGCAGUAUGAUUUUCAACAGCCAAAGAAUAAUAAAAUGAACAUGAUAUAAAUAUGCAAGCUAUUUGCUAUCCAUAUCCAAACCAGCAUAUACCAUAUAUUUUAAUGUGGCCUUUCCGGUUUGUUUUCUCCACCGCAAUAAAAAAGAUGAUUUGUCUUUUCCAAACCGUAAAAUCUCCGUGAAGACUAACCACUGACCCAAUUCAUCAAUUCGCCUGAACAUCCAAGUGGUACUGUACAAACAACAGCAACAAUUACGCUUCCGACUUGUUCCGCAGUGGCGAGAGAUUUCCUGCACUCUCCUUCCUCAAUUUGAGUGGUGGAUCACGUGCGCGUAACAAAUUCAGGACAUCAAGAAAAUUCCUCCGGUCCUUCCAAGAUCCAAGUGCUUGAUUUUGGCAACAAAAUUACUUAGCCAGCGAAAAGUAAUCUACUACUCUUCCUCCGUGAUCAACAAGAAUUAGUAUACUACUAGAACACCUCAGAUAGAGACACUGAGACAACCGAUCCAGAAUAAGGACUAGUGCUACUACUAGUCUUCCGAUGCAUGUUCUUCAAAAAAUUGAAUUAAUAACUAGCAGAACCAGUUUUCAGAUCCGGUGAAGCCUUGGGCAACUUGAUGCGUGCUCGCAUGGGGCUCAACACAUCGCAACAUGGGGCUUCGGCAGAUGCAGCGGGAGGGGCGAGCUCGUCUGUCGGAGUGAGGAUUCCUGGAAGCUGCGGCAGGGGCGGCGAGCGAGGCCGUGGAAGAACAUGGUGCAGCGGGAGGACGUCGGUUUCCACGAGAUCGCCAGGACAUGGUAGUAGGCGCCGGUUCUCCACGAGGACGGCCAGAUCGAUGAGUGAGAGGGCGAGCUAGUCCGGCGGCGAAGGUGCAGAUCAAAUCGAUCUGGAGCGACUUGUGUGCGGGGCCAUAUGAAUCAAUCUGUAACGAUUUAUAUCACGAAGCACACAACAGAUCGAUCUUAAUUCCCAAGGUGAACAGGUGUGGGUCGGCAGAGUACGCAGCGGAAUUGAUCAUGGAUCGAUCGAGUUGACAACGAUGAUGUUAACCCUAACCGGCUCGGAUGCCAAUGUUAGAAAAAGGUAAUGAUAACUCCCGAACGUUUGGGAUUUAAGCAUGGCAACCCGAACAUUUUAGGUGGCAAGUUUAGUUUGCAUGACAGUAGGAAAACAUGGCAAUUUUCUGACAAAAUAACGAAAAGAAGAAAGUUGCCAUCCCCUAUCAACUAAAGUUGCCACCCCCUACGAACUAAAGUUGCCAUGUAAAAACGUUCGGAACGAAAUGCUCAAAAUCCGAAAGUUCGGGAGUUAUUGGAUUCCGAAAAUUAGGGUUUGGAGCUAAACGGCCUACCCUCUAUUCCUCCGCCUUAUCAGUGGUGCCGCUCACAAUGCAUAUUGAGGCUAGAGGGUGGGACCUCAUAUAGACUCCAAGUUCCAGAUAUUUCGAUUUGUUUCCAGUUAGGACUCGUGACUUGUCAAACCAACCACAAUAAUUAACAGCCAGUUACCAAGUCCAAAAACUGUUAAUCAAUUAGGUCCCAUACAUGCAUGUGUGAGUCAUGCGCCGACUUUGAAUUCAAAAUCAAACUCACAGGCUUUAACAAUCCAUAGAGCCAAUCCUACGGACAACCUGGCAUUCCGCUCUAUACUGUUCCCGGGUAUAAUUCCUGUGUAUUCAUAUACACUGUGUUCCAGUAUAGCCGUACCGGCUUCCUUAAGUAUAUUUUCUUAAGUAUAAUUCCACAUCAACUAUUCCCUGUUAUUUCCAUGAAUACUUCCACACUGAGGUUUUUUAUUCCGGGAGUAUAACAAUGUAGUGGACAUAUAAAAUAUUACAAGCCACAAAUUCCUACAGAGAGAAAAUAAACCUUAUAAUUUGGAAUACCACUCUAAACCUUAUGCACCUAAUAUUAUGGAACAGGGGUCGGGGUACAACAGUUCAUUAUCACGUAGUUCAAAAGUACAUCAUUAUACAAAUGUAAUUAGAAGUUUAUUUGGUCCAGAAAACUACACUUUUUAACUUCUGUUUGGAUUUUGAACUUCAAGUAAACCAAAGAAAAUCCUAAAAUAAAAUAAAAGACAACAAAUUAUUUCUCACUGCAUAGAACUGCUAGUGUGUUUGUAUCCUACCUAUAGUACACAGAUGUGAGAAAACAUGAUUUUUUUAGUCCAAAUUGUUAAUAAUUUUUUUGUUUUUUCUGUACAACUAGUGGUAAUUAGAUACAUUGAACAUGUCGUGGUUUUGUCACGGCAGAUGUCCUAAAGAAAGGACUUAGUCGUGGAGCCAUCGCUACGGGUUAGCUUAAAGGGGUUAAAGCGGACAAGGGACGCAAGAGAGUUUUAUACUAGUUCGGCCCCUUACGAUGAAGGUAAAAACCUACGUCUAGUUGUGAUGGAAUUGAUGGGGUUUCGAUGACCAGGGAGCGAAUACGCUUUGCCUGAGUCUCGAGGUGUUGUUUUUUGUCCUUUGAACCGCCGCCGGGUCGUCCCCUUAUAUACAUGGGUUGACGCCCGUCGGUUUACAGACUCCGAGGCCGGCUCAUAAUCGUGUCCGGCUCGGUCUCUGCUACUUCUAUCUUACAACACAAGUUUACAUCUCAAUGCCGGUUUGUGUCUACAGGCCUUAAACCGGCUUUGGGCCCUGGGCCUUCAUGAAGCGUCACCGUCUGUCUUCAUGGGCUUCAGAUACAGAUGAACUACUUAUGAAGUUAACCCGGCCUCUCCUGGUCGGUUUACGCCCAGUGGUAAUAUCCCCAACAUUAGGCCCCAGAUUGAUUUGAACUGGUUCAUGUCAAUCCUCAAUACUUAAUAAAAUUUCUUCUUCAACAUCUUCACACAAUCUUGUAAACCGCCAUGACAUCAUUUUCUAGGAUCAUGGUAAACCGCCGUGACGUCACCUGUCAUUAACGAGCCUCCAACAAUCGAUGCGACAGCAUCACCUCAUAUCCAAAAAUCCGUCUCCUUGAUUUUCGCAUCUGUCGUUUAUCUCCCUUAUAAAUAGGGCCAGGGGGUCUUUCCAUUUUCCCCCUCGUGCCUCUUCGCUUCAUCGUCAUCCUCGCGACGCCCGACCCUUCGACCUCGGCCGCCGCCGUCAACCUUCGACUGCUGCACCAACCUUGGCCGCUGCAUCGACCUGAACAUACCAGAGCUCCUCCGCGCGCCGCCGCUGCUCAACAGCAUCCGUAAGUCUCCCCUUUCUCUUACCAUAGAUCUGCACUUAGGGUUUCUGUCGUUCAUCAGUGUUCGUCGCCGCCCUUCUUUUUCCUUAUUUAUAUCCAUGGAUUAGAUCCAAAAACCACAUAGAUCUCGCGCGGUAGUAGUUUCAGCACCUGUUUGAUAUCCAACUCAUCUUAACUUGGUGAACUUUUAGUACGCUGGAAUUUAGGUCAGAAUAUAUUUUGUUUUCCUACGCGCGGUAGAUCUGAAAUUACCAUAGCAAGAUGUGAAACUUGUUUCUUCCUUCACUUACACACUUUGAAUACCAGAUUGGCCGGUUUAACUUCACAGAAAAAACGAUGACCCGGUAGAUACCAUUUGUCCCCUGUUGAACCGUCAAUGCAUUAUACUGUUCCAUUGUCAGACUCCGGUUUUACGAAUAACCAAAUCCGGUUUACCAAUAUGCUUGUAUCCUCAUACCGCUGUAUAGUUGUCCACUGUAAAUCUUAAACCGGUAAUAAUCAUUUUUCAGAUUUUCCUUGUCAUGGCUAAACAAGUCUAUGAGUGCAAUUGGGCUCCCUCUCGAGUAACCGAGGAGCAGUUAAACAACCUUGUUAAAACGGGCACUUUAGCCAAGAAAGAUGUCAUCCACUGGAGGGUCCCUGGCCCGGAAAAUCCUCCUACACCCAAGGAUGGAGAGGUAGUCGUGUUUGCUGAUCAUCUCGGUCAAGGUUUUAGCCCUCCUGGUUCAAAAAAAUUCCGAGAUGUGCUAGCCAAUUUUCAGCUGCGCCCUCAAGACAUCGGUCCCAACUCUGUUACCAACAUCUGCCACUUCCAAGUAUUCUGUGAAGUUUAUCUGCAAGAGGAACCUACAGUUGAACUGUUUAGGGAUUUCUUUCACUUAAACCAUCGCACUGAGUUCUCAGAUGGACCCAAUACGGAACUGGGCGGAAUGGCAGUGCAGAAGAGGAAAGAAGUCACCUUCCCCCAUCCCAAACUCCACAGUCACCCCAAAGAGUGGAACCAAACUUGGUUUUACUGCAUGGAUACCUCUCCAUCUGACGAAAACCCCCUGCCGGGUUACCGCCCUGAACGCCUGAGCAACACACACCCGUUUCCUCAGAGGUUGACAGCAAGAGAACGGGCCAACUAUGCUCCCCAACUGUCAAAGCUUAGAGCCUUCAUGGCGAACGGUUUGACAGGAGUUGAUCUUGCUCGUUGCUGGAUAAGCUGGAGCAUUCUGCCCUUAAGCCGGCGCCCCGGUUUGAUGUGUGAGUACACGGGGAGUUUGAAGGAUGCUCAACGGCACAUUAACAUUCAGCUUACAGACGAAGAAGUCACUGAGACUGUAAAGAAAAUACUGAACGAACCGGAGGCCGUCUGUGCCCAAACCGGACUACUCCCUUUCUGCACCUUCAACAAACCACCAGCUGUAAGAAUCAUAUAAUCCUUUGUAUCUGAAUUUGCUUCUGUCCAAAUAUUCUCUGAAAGUGUGAUUAUUUUCUGACAGGGUGAUGAUCCGUUCUGGAACAAGAAAUCAUCACAAGACAAACCGGCGAAGCCGCAAGACAAACCGGUCAAGCCAGUUCGUCCAAAGACCAAGGUUGUUAAGAAACCUGCCAAAAGAAGGACCACCGCAUCCUCCGAUCUACCCGCUGAUGACGAUGUGCGUAAUCCAGAACCAGAGGUAGAACUUGACUCUUUUGGUUCAUUUUUCGUACAUCUCAUUGACAAUGAUUAUUAUCAGGAUGACGCUGGAGGUAGUCACGUUGAGGACAUAGAGGUAACCAUUCUUUCCUCCGAUUCAGAUCCUCUGCCAACACCAAAAAUCCGUCAAGCAAACCGGAAAGUAAAAUUUUCUCACCCUCUUGCUUACUUGGACCCAAACUUUCUUUUGAAGACGCAGCAGCACGAAGCUCGCCGUACAACCCGGCACAGCGGCCAGAUAGUUACCUCCGCCGGUUUACCGAACAGUCUGGUUCGGAAACGCCGAUAAGAGGUAUCUUGUCCCAUUGAUACUUCAUGCCCAAAAGCAGGUUGUUUUCGCCAGCCUCUUAACCCGUCUGAUUCAAAUUAUCAGGGUACUUCUCACUCAUCCUCUGGCGAGUCAUCGGCCACACAGCUUCCACCCCUCAAAACAGUUCCUGGGUGAGCUAUGCACAUGUCUUUACUCUUGAUGUGUUUUACAUACUGUACUGAUCCUUAUGUCUAUCUUUUCUCAGCGCCAAGCCAAGACCCAGCAAGAAAGCUCGGUUAAACAAACCGGCUGAUGAUAAUGUAGCUGCUGAACCGGAAACAACUCCAGAGGCAGAAGAAACCGAUGUUGACGCCAUGCUUCACGAUCCGCCGCCUCAAGACCAUGACUUCCUUGCUGAACAAGUGCAAGUUGACACUACCAGCCAUGCAGACCGGCCAACCAGCCCUGUCCGAACUGAUGACAAACCGGCCAGUCCAGUUAAGGACACUGAUAAACCGCCAACUCCGGUGAAGGCUGCUGAUGAAGAAGAUGAUGAUAUUAUGAUUACUAGCACUGGCCACACCACUCCUGGCAAUCCUGUAGCUUUGUCAAAGCAUACUACCAAGGAUGAUCUCUCUGCUAUUGGCAAAGGCAAAUGGAAUGCCGAUUUAUCAAGCUACGCCCAUCUCAAUGCUCAAGACAUUCACUCUGGCUUCUUGAACCGUCUGUAUACCAGCCGUGAUUAUGAAGCUAGUUUGGUAAACUUGAUGAAGGAGCGAUUGAGGUAAGUACCAUUUUUCUCUUUUGUCCAAUUGUAGUUUAUCAAUUCCUAGUAGCCCCCAAGUGACGGUUUAUGAUACCGAUCUAAACCGGGACUUUUGUCAUAACUUAUCUUUGCAUAUUUAGCCUCCAGGGACCGGAUUACCUCGUUAAGAUGAACCGGUUUCUUUAAAAUUUUCCAUACUGCUCUUUCACCGGUAUAGCCCCUAAGGGCCGGUUUAACUUUAUAAAGAUGAACCGGGACUGUAGAAGAACUUCCAUACCAACAGCUUUUUGAGCAAAUACACAUUAGCCCUCAAGUGCCAAGAUUAAUACUUGUAUUGUGCUUGGGACUUGUAGAAAUUUCUGAUCAAGAGCAAACAUGCAUUAGCCCCCAAGUAUCAAGGGCAUAACUUGUUAUGGGCUUGGUACUUCAAAUAUGUAAUGUCAACUCAUGAUACAUCUGUCCCUUUACAGGCGGAGCUGAGCAAGAAGGAACGCCAAACCGCUGAUCUGCAAGAGAACAUCAAAACCCAGCAAGCUGAAGCCUCCAAAGCGAAGGAAGAGUUGACCCGCGCUCUAGGCGCUAUGGAGAAACUGAAAGAGGGCUUCAAGAAAGAGCGGGCGGAUUGGGAGACUGAAAAAGCCGCUUUGAUAAAAAGGGCUAAAAACGCAGAAGCCGCUUUUAAACCGGUGGUUGAUGAGCUGACUGGUGUAAAGCGGCAAGUGCAUGCUAUGACCGCUGAUGUGUUUGGUAAGCAUCCUUCCUUUAUGCCUUCAACAUAUCCUCCCAUGCGUUGCCGGUUUACUGAUGUUUCUAAUGAUACAGGAACUCGCAUUAGCCAUCUGGGCUCUGAUGUGCAGAAGAAGUUGAAAUCUGCCUACACGCUGAUAGAGCAACUGUAUACCGGCGCACAACGGAUUAUCUGCACCGCUUCUCACAAUAAGCCACCCCCGACGUUGAUCAAGGAUACCUUAGACAUGCUAUCUAUGCUGCCUGCCCGGAUAGAAGAGCUGAAGUGGUCUGCUACAAGGGCUGGCGCUCUGACCGCACUAACCCGGGCAAAAGCAUGGGUGCCUGAUCUUGAUCCGACGGACGUGGCUAAAGGCUACCCAAGCUUAAAAGAAGACGUAUCAGAGUUUGGCACUGAAGAUCUCCGCGCCAUAAACCGGGAAGUACUGGCUUGUCAACUUGCUGAAGAGGCUGAUCUUUCAUUUUACCAAGCGAGCUAUGAUACCAAUAACAAGCGGGUUGCUGCACCAACUCCUGGGGCUCAAAACCUGAUCCCUCCAAUCCAUAAGCACACUUAUGCCCUUGACAUUGAACCGUCCACCCUUAUAAGCGAUGAAGCUGUUUUCCAAGCUUUAACCGGGAUCGACUGGACAACUGUUGACUUCUAGCCGCUGGGUAGAGACGAAGAAGAUGAACCGGUGCAAGAUGAUCUGCAGCCGUCAGGUCAAGCUGCUCAGCGAUCAUAACCCGGGGCCCGGUUUAAUCUUCCAUACUGCAAUGUUUAUUGAGAAACAAUUAUUCCUUUGGGCACUGAAACGCCUUGUCAUGCCUUCGUGCAUAUUUAUCUGCAACUGAUGCGUGUUAAUCCGCCAUGCUUGAGAUAUGAUGUUCAUAAUCCAUAGCUAUUUAUUCCAGUUGUUCCUGCAGAUAAAAAGCUUAAAGCGCCCUGGCGGUUUACCACUGGGCGGGUCAUGAUACCCAACUAUAUAUAUGACCAAGGUUGUAAAGAUAACCAAAUAUGGAAAUAUAUGAUACCUGCGACCUUUAGGCAUAGUGUUGGCUGACCUACCUUGUAAUGAGGGUAAUAACCUUAAUCCGGAGUAAAAGUAUCUCCUGUUAUAUAAUGCCGGUUUACAACAAAACCGUUUCGGGUUGUGAUAAACACCGGUUUAUUCCAUACUGGUGACUAUGAGUCAAAACCAGACCGGGUUGAUAGUCUCCGGAUUAUAACUUGGUCAUGUACUGACAACUUGUAGUUGACAGCCUAACCGGGUUGAUAAACACUGAUUUGAAAACAUCACAAAUCUUAGCAAAAGAAAAGAAACUUAGCAAAAGGCAAAUAAAACCGUUGUAGUCGAGGCUUUUCACGGGCUGCCAGACCCCAAAUUUGAUCAAGAGGUGUUGCUAUGGUUCGGGUUCGACCAAGCCCCCAAGUGAUGCUGUGGCAUUACGCCGAUCAAGAGGUGUUGCUAUGGUUCGGGUUCGACCAAGCCCCCAAGUGAUGCUGUGGCAUUACGCCGAUCAAGAGGCGUAGCUAUGGUUCGGGUUCGACCAAGCCCCCAAGUGAUGCUGUGGCAUUACGUCGAUCAAGAGGCGUUGCUAUGGUUCGGGUUCGACCAAGCCCCCAAGUGAUGCUGUGGCAUUACGCCGAUCAAGAGGCGUGCCUAUGGUUCGGAUACGACCAAGCCCCCAAGUGAUGUUGUGGCAUUACGCCGAUCAAGAGGCGUGGCUAUGGUUCAGAUACGACCAAGCCCCCAAGUGAUCUAAUAUAAAGNNNNNNNNNNNNNNNNNNNNNNNNNNNNNNNNNNNNNNNNNNNNNNNNNNNNNNNNNNNNNNNNNNNNNNNNNNNNNNNNNNNNNNNNNNNNNNNNNNNNNNNNNNNNNNNNNNNNNNNNNNNNNNNNNNNNNNNNNNNNNNNNNNNNNNNNNNNNNNNNNNNNNNNNNNNNNNNNNNNNNNNNGUGGCAUUACGCCGAUCAAGAGGCGUAGCUAUGGUUCGGGUUCGACCAAGCCCCCAAGUGAUGCUGUGGCAUUGCGUCGAUCAAGAGGCGUAGCUAUGGUUCAGGUACGACCAAGCCCCCAAGUGAUGCUGUGGCAUUGCGCCGAUCAAGAUGCGUAGCUAUGGUUCGGAUACGACCAAGCCCCCAAGUGAUGCUGUGGCAUUGCGCCGAUCAAGAGGCGUAGCUAUGGUUCGGAUACGACCAAGCCCCCAAGUGAUCUAAUAUCAAGCUUUAAGAAGCUAAAUCAAGGGGUAAACCGGACGCCGCUUUGUAAGCUCCAUGUAACCACACGUGAUGUAAGAAAACAACAGAUACCCCGCUUUAGCUGAGGUUCCGGUUUAUUAUAUUGAUCAUAAUAUAUACAAUGUCAUAAUAUGUACAUAAGCAGAGCCUGUAGCUCAAGUAUAGUAGGGCCGAAGAUGAGCAAUAUUCCACGGCCAGUUGGUCUCCUCCUCCGAUUUUACGUGAGUCUUUGCGCUCUCGAACAUCGAUUAGGUAGUACGACCCAUUGUGCAGAUCCUUACUGACCACAAAAGGUCCUUCCCAAGGGGGGGAUAGCUUGUGCAUAUCCGUCUGAUCCUGGAUGAGUCGAAGCACCAAAUCUCCUUCUUGAAAGGUUCUGGUUCUAACCCGGCGGCUAUGAUAACGACGCAGAUCUUGCUGAUAAAUCGCCGAACGGGCUGCCGCCAUGUCACGCUCCUCAUCUAACAAGUCAAGAGCUUCCUGUCGUGCCUUCUCGUUAUCCGCUUCAACAUAUGCCGCUACACGAGGCGAGUCAUGACGGAUGUCACUAGGAAGAACCGCUUCCGCUCCAUAAACCAUGAAGAACGGCGUGUAGCCUGUCGAUCUGUUGGGUGUGGUAUUGAUGCUCCAUAACACUGAAGGUAACUCCUCAACCCAACAACCCGGCGUCUGUUGCAAAGGAACCAUAAGCCGGGGUUUGAUGCCUCUCAAGAUCUCUUGAUUGGCCCUCUCCGCUUGACCAUUGGACUGGGGGUGAGCCACUGAUGACACGUCAAGCCGGAUGUGCUCACAUUGACAAAACUCCUUCAUGGCACCCUUUGACAGAUUGGUACCAUUGUCUGUUAUAAUGCUGUGUGGAAAGCCAAACCAGAAGAUCACCUUUUUGAUUAAUUGAACUGCCGUGGCUGCGUCACACUUACUAACUGGCUCUGCCUCCACCCACUUCGUGAACUUAUCAACCGCCACCAAAAGGUGGGUCUUCUUGUCCUUGGACCUCUUGAAAGGCCCAACCAUAUCCAGCCCCCAAGUUGCAAACGGCCAGGUGAUUGGAAUCAUCCUUAAUUCUUGAGCUGGUACAUGAGCACGCUGUGAGAAUUUCUGACAACCAUCACAUCUUUUAACCAAGUCCUCGGCAUCAGCAUGAGCUGUCAACCAAUAGAAACCGUGACAAAACGCCUUGGCCACCAAAGAUUUUGAACCGGCGUGGUGUCCAAAAUCUCCUUCGUGGAUCUCACGCAAAAUUUCAUGGCCUUCCUCAGGAGAUACACAACGUUGAAACGCCCCUGUCACACUGCAAUGAUGUAACUCUCCAUUGAUAAUAGUCAUGGACUUGGACCGCCGGUUUAUCUGUCUGGCCAAAGUUUCAUCCUCUGGUAACUCGCCCCGGUUUAUAUACGCCAGAUACGGAACCGUCCAAUCCGGGAUAACAUGUAGAGCUGCCACCAACUGAGCCUCCGGAUCAGGAAUAGCCAAAUCCUCUUCACCAGGGAGCUUGACGGACGGAUUAUGCAAAACAUCCAGGAAGACAUUAGGUGGAACCGGUUUACGUUGGGAACCCAGGCGGCUUAAAGCGUCUGUCGCUUCAUUCUUCCGCCGGUCCACAUGAUCCACCUGAUAACCUUUGAAGUGACCUGCAACAAUAUCCACCUCACGACGAUAUGCUGCCAUUAGUGGGUCCUUGGAAUCCCAAGUGCCGGACACUUGUUGAGCCACCAGAUCCGAGUCACUGAAGCACUUAACUCGGCUGAGAUUCAUCUCCUUAGCCAUCCGAAGACCAUGGAGUAAUGCCUCAUAUUCAGCUGCAUUAUUAGUGCAAGGGAACAUUAAACGGAGAACAUAACAAAACUUAUCACCUCGUGGGGAAGUUAACAUGGCUCCAGCCCCCGAGCCCUCCAAUAUCCUGGACCCAUCAAAAUGAAUAGUCCAAUAAGUGUGAUCCGGCUUCUCUUCUGGCGCUUGUAAUUCUGUCCAAUCAUUGAUGAAAUCCACAAGUGCCUGAGAUUUGAUCGCCGUUCGGGGUAUGUAUUUCAACCCGUGAGGCCCGAGCUCGAUAGCCCACUUAGCAAUCCGACCAGUUGCCUCCCUAUUCUGGAUUAUAUCCCCCAAAGGAGCAGAGCUGACCACCGUGAUGGGAUGACCUUGGAAAUACUGCUUAAGCUUCCGGCUUGCCAUGAAAACCCCAUACACCAAUUUUUGCCAAUGCGGGUACCUCUGCUUGGAUUCAAUGAGUACCUCACUAAUAUAGUAAACCGGCCGCUGAACCGAAUAUUCCUUUCCUGCCUCCUUGCGCUCCACCACAAUAGCCACACUAACAGCCCGAGCGUUAGCUGCCACAUAUAGCAACAAUGGCUCUUUGUCAACCGGAGCAGCGAGAACUGGCGGAUUAGCUAGCUGCCGCUUUAAGUCCUCAAAUGCUUCAUUAGCAGCGUCACUCCAGACGAAGUUAUCCGUUUUCUUCAGCAUCUGAUACAAAGGGAUGGCCUUCUCGCCGAGGCGACUGACAAAACGGCUCAACGCGGCAAUCCGGCCUGCCAGGCGUUGAACAUCAUUGAUACAUUUUGGUUUAGCCAAGGAGGUGAUGGCUUUGAUCUUUUCCGGAUUAGCUUCAAUGCCCCUGUUAGACACCAAAAAGCCCAGGAGCUUCCCUGCAGGUACACCAAAGACACAUUUGGCUGGAUUAAGCAUCAUUUUAUAAAACCGCAGGUUAUCAAAGGUUUCCUUCAUGUCAUCAAUCAAUAUCUCCUUCUUCCUUGAUUUUACCACAAUAUCAUCCACAUAGGCAUGAACAUUGCGGCCGAUCUGUUUAUGAAGACAAUUCUGCACACACCGUUGAUAAGUUGCCUGUGCACUCUUGAGCCCAAAGGGCAUGGACACAUAGCAGAAGGCUCCAAAGGGAGUUAUGAAGGCUGUCUUCUCCUGGUCCUUAACUGCCAUUUUGAUCUGAUGAUAACCAGAAUAUGCAUUCAAAAAACUUAAACGCUCACAACCCGCCAUAGCAUCAAUAAUUUGAUCAAUACGGGGGAGGGCAAAAGGAUCUGCUGGACAAGCUUUGUUGAGAUCUGUGUAGUCCACACACAUACGCGAAGUGCCAUUCUUCUUGAGGACCAGCACCGGAUUAGCCAACCACUCAGGAUGGAAUACUUCAACGAUAAAUCCAGCCGCCAAGAGCCUGGCUACUUCUUCUCCAAUAGCUUUGCGUCUUUCUUCAUUGAACCGGUGGAGAAACUACUUGACCGGUUUAUACUUAGGAUCAACAUUGAGAGUGUGCUCAGCGAGUUCUCUCGGUACACCAGGCAUGUCAGAAGGUUGCCAUGCAAAGAUGUCCCGAUUCUCACGGAUGAACUCGAUGAGCGCGCUUUCCUAUUUCGGAUCCAAGUUAGCGCUGAUGCUAAACUGCUUGGACGAAUCGCCAGCCACGAAGUCAACAAGUUUAGUCUCAUCAGCCGAUUUAAACUUCAGGGCCGGAUCAUGCUCCGUAGUUGGUUUCUUCAAUGAAGUCAUAUCUGCCGGAUCAACAUUGUCCUUGUAAAACUUCAACUCCUCUGUUGCACAAACCGACUCAGCAUAAGCCGCAUCACCUUCCUCACACUCCAGAGCAAUCUUGCGGCUUCCAUGCACGGUUAUAGUUCCCUUGUGACCCGGCAUCUUGAGCUGUAGAUAGACAUAACAAGGCCGUGCCAUAAACUUAGCAUAAGCUGGCCGUCCAAAUAGGGCAUGAUACGGGCUUCUGAUUUUCACCACUUCAAAGGUCAAGGUUUCUGAUCUCGAGUCAUGCUCAUCUCCAAAAGCCACCUCCAGAGCUAUCUUACCAACAGGAUAUGCCGACUUACCAGGCACCACACCAUGGAACACCGUAUUGGACGGUUUAAGAUUUUUAUCUAUUAGCCCCAUGCGACGGAAAGUUUGAUAAUAAAGGAUAUUGAUACUACUCCCUCCAUCCAUGAGUACCUUAGUGAACUUAUAACCUCCCACCUGAGGUGCCACCACUAGAGCCAGAUGACCCGGAUUGUCAACCCGGGGUGGAUGAUCUUCUCUACUCCACACAAUGGGCUGCUCGGACCAGCGCAAAUAAAGGGGCACCGCCGGUUCAACGGCAUUCACCACCCUUUUAUGAAGCUUCUGAUCGCGCUUGUCCAACCUAGUGGUGAAGACAUGAUACUGUCCGCUAUUCAACUGCUUUGGGUUGCUCUGGUAACCCGACUGCUGCUGCUGCUGCUCAUUGCCCUGAUGAUUAUAGCCACCUUGGUUACCUUGAUUACUUUGAUUGUUAUGUCCACCCUGAUUGUCAUGGAAUCCUGAACCGGAAUUUCCUCCGCCAUAACCUGGCCCAUGAGAGACAGAGCACGAACCGCCUCCUGAUCCAUGAUCAUACCGGAAAGAAUCAGAAUUUUUGAACUCUUGCAUGAUGUAACAAUCUUUCCAGAGGUGUGUAGACGGUUCCUCCUUCGUCCCAUGCUUUGGACAGGGCUGGUUCAACAGAUACGACAAACGGUCCGGAUUAGGAUUCGGCAUUCCACUGUGCCGGGGCGGUUUACCCUUACGCCGCUGGCCCUUGUCGUGUGUAUUAGUGUUAGCCACAAAGUCUAAACCGUGGUCCGCUUUACGCUUGCCGCCGUUUCUAUGACCCGCCGGGUUGUGGUGCUGCCCCUUGGCAUUGCCGCUCUUCUUUCCCUUCCUUGUCUUAUCAUCGUCAGACUCGGGAUCAUUGGCACUAUCAGAGUCGGCAUAGUUCACCAGUGCAGCCAUGAGGGUUCCCAUGUCAUUACAAUGACGUUUGAGCCGUCCCAACUUCAACUUCAAGGGUUCAAACCGGCAAUUGCCUUCCAAUGUUAAUACUGCGGUGUCAGCGUUGAUGCGGUCUGAUGAAUGCAAAAUCUCCGAAACCCGGCGCACCCAAUGGGUUGUUGACUCUCCUUCCUCCUGGACACAGGCAGCUAAGUCCACAAUUGACAUGGGCUGCUUGCAUGUAUCCUUGAAAUUCUGAAUAAACCGGGCUCUCAACUCGGCCCAUGACCUGAUAGAAUUAGCCGGUAAGCUCUUUAGCCAAGUGCAGGCCGUUCCUUCUAGCAUCAUGGUGAAGUACUUCGCACAUGCCGCAUCAUCCACGUCCAGCAUCUCCAUGGCCAUCUCGUAGCUUUCAACCCAUGUUUCAGGGGAUAAAUCGGCGGUGUAAUUCGGCACCUUGCGCGGGCCCUUGAAAUCCUUGGGCAGUCGCACAUUGCGCAACGCUGGGACAAGACAUGGCACUCCCAAGGAACUAGAGGUAACUCCUGGUUCCACCGAUGUGGUUGAACGAACCGGAGUAAGCUGACGGGCCUCGUGCUGCGCCGCUAACUCGGCCUCUCUGCGUGCCCGAGCCCGGUCCACCACCUCCUGAGCAUCACCAGCACCACCCGCCGGGUUAUGGCCACGGGGUGGAUCACGGUUCCGCGCAUUGCUUGAUACUGCUGGUUCAUCCAUACGCCUGCUGUAACUCCGGCUUGGACGGGGAGUGGAAUGAAUCCGAUCGCGACUAUAUGAAUAAGCCUCCUGUUGAACCAAGGCUGUCUGAAGAAGCUCCUUAACCCGACGCGUCUCGACCGCUGCUGGAGAAUCGCCUUCGAUCGGGAUGGCUGCCAGCCAUGAAGCGGCAGCGACAAUGUUGUCCAUUGGGUUAGAAUAAUGACCCGGUGGCGUGGGGACAUGAGGUACCACAAUGUUGUUCUGACGAGGCGGAUCCACCAAACGUUGCUGAACCGGCGACCCUGCUCCGGGUGCCUCUGCCCGGUUUACCACCGGCGGAUUACUAGUCCCUGCUCCUGGGGUGUUAAAGAGAUUUCUAGCGUCAUAAACCGGCGGCAGGCGAGAUCGGUGCCUCCUCUUCAGGACUUCGUUCGACGCACUCUGAUCCAGCAUAAUCCAGUAAGCUUGUGCAUCCAAAGCGGCCCACUCCGCGGCUAUCCUGGUAUCCUCAGCUGCCAAGUCGGCUUUUGCGUGGGUGAUCUGAUCUUUCACUUUCGCGAUUUCCGCAUUGUGUGCAUCCUGAUCCGCCGGAUUAACCUCCGCCAUCAGCGUUGCCAACACAUCAAACAAAUCAGAUAGAACCUGAGCUGGCGGUCGCACAGGGCCUCCUGCCCCAGCCGCUGCCGCCGCUGCUGAUCCGGAAAUCAUCGCCACUGCGGUCGAAGAGUGGAGCACUGGUUGCAUGCCGGCCAUGAAGAUCGCCACCCGGUUUGGCAGAUCAAAGGGGUCCGGAAUACUGUCGCCAUGGGAACAGCCCCCAAUCCGGCCAUCUUGUAACUGAUAUAGCGACUCGGUCUCUCCAGUCAAUGACUCGUCGCCGGAAUAAACGAUGGUCUCACCACCAGAUUCCGAUCUAUCUUCAGAUUCCCCUCCAUGGAUAACUCCCACGAAGGCACGCUUCAUGACAGGCUUGACCCGAGCAGAUCUCGCACCUGAGCCGUUUCGACGAGGUCGAUGCAGAUGUCCGGCUCGGCGCCCAGUUCGCCGAUCUUGCCAAUGAAAACGUGUAUGCCACCAAAGGGGACCCGGUACCCGUACUCGACUGAGCCGGCCUCGGGGCCCCAGCCUGCAUCGUCGAUGUAGAGCUUGCGCGACGACUCUUGGUCAUCCGGCCCACAGCGUAACCCUUGAGUCCUUUGAAGUUGCCCUCCAAGGACUUGAAACCAUCGUGCGAUAGCCCCACGGUGGGCGCCGACUGUCGUGGUUUUGUCACGGCAGAUGUCCUAGAGAAAGGACUUAGUCGUGGAGCCAUCGCUACGGGUUAGCUUAAAGGGGUUAAAGCGGACAAGGGACGCAAGAGAGUUUUAUACUAGUUCGGCCCCUUACGAUGAAGGUAAAAACCUACGUCUAGUUGUGAUGGAAUUGAUGGGGUUUCGAUGACCAGGGAGCGAAUACGCUUUGCCUGAGUCUCGAGGUGUUGUUUUUUGUCCUUUGAACCGCCGCCGGGUCGUCCCCUUAUAUACAUGGGUUGACGCCCGUCGGUUUACAGACUCCGAGGCCGGCUCAUAAUCGUGUCCGGCUCGGUCUCUGCUACUUCUAUCUUACAACACAAGUUUACAUCUCAAUGCCGGUUUGUGUCUACAGGCCUUAAACCGGCUUUGGGCCCUGGGCCUUCAUGAAGCGUCACCGUCUGUCUUCAUGGGCUUCAGAUACAGAUGAACUACUUAUGAAGUUAACCCGGCCUCUCCUGGCCGGUUUACGCCCAGUGGUAAUAUCCCCAACAGAACACCACAAAAAUGACACGCUAAUUUCACUCUUUGUAUUUUUCUUGGUUUUAAUCAUCCAAGUUAUAAUUCUUAGACAAUAUCUCUAUUAUCCUCCCUCUCUCAUGAUUUUUCUUUCCAUCUCUUUAGCGCCACACUUAAAUUUCAAUUUUGAAACAACAAAAAUCAUUAGCAAAGAGAUAGAAAAAAUUUCAAAUUUAUAUCAUUUCUCAAUUAUGUAAUCAACACCUAAAACUAAUAUGCUGCCCAAUGUGUCUAGCUAAUAGAGGGACAUUUAUCAGCGCCCAGUCUUCAAUUUUCAAAUCGCUGGCUUACAUAAAUAUGCUCUCUUAUGAUGAUGGUCCAUGCGUAUCUAUUUUUACUCUGUGUUUUUAUAAAGAAUUUGCGGGCUAUUUGGUAAAAAGUUGUGCAUUGUACGCAUGCACGAUAAGCAAUACAUACUCCCUCCAUUCAUGGUGUAUUAAGUUUGAUCAAACAAGGUUUUGACCAUGAUCUAAGGUUUCUACACCAUCACCCCUACUCUUAUGGUAGAUCAUCAUGCGGGGAGGCCCUGAUCUACCUGAGGGAGCUGUACCGUCUUGAGGUUAUAGGUAGAAACCCCUACUAGUGUUAUGCUCUAAACCCUUUGUAGUGAAGAUUUGAGAUGCCCAUCGCUGGUAACUCAUCACUGAGGAUUGGUGACCCAUUACAGGCGACCACUCGUCAUUGGUAAUGACAUAGCAAUGAUGGGUGGUCGGAAAGUGCUCGGUGGCCUUAUUAGUGACAUGUGCUCUGAAAGUGCCAUGUGGCCUUAACAGUGACAUGGUCCCACACUUCUGCCUGUCACUGGUGUUAUUUUGAUUUUUGAAAAAUAAAUAAUGCAUAGUUAAUCUUAAUCAGGGAACAAAUUUAAUUCCAUUUCACCAAAACAACACAAAAAAUAAUUUCAUUCCAUUUCAUCAUAACAACACAAAUAUAAACUUCACUAGAUUUAUUUCAUUUCAUCAGAAAAUACAAAACUUUACAUUAUUUCUUUGGAGGAGAUAUACAUGCGUGACUAGACUAGCUUAGCGGGUCGAAGGAAUGGGGAUGAGACGAAAUCUUGCCCUAAACCUCAACUGGUCGAAGCAAAAGGUAUUGUUGUAAUCCUAUCCUCGUCGAAAGAGGGAAAGGAGUAGGGUAUAUAUGNNNNNNNNNNNNNNNNNNNNNNNNNNNNNNNNNNNNNNNNNNNNNNNNNNNNNNNNNNNNNNNNNNNNNNNNNNNNNNNNNNNNNNNNNNNNNNNNNNNNNNNNNNNNNNNNNNNNNNNNNNNNNNNNNNNNNNNNNNNNNNNNNNNNNNNNNNNNNNNNNNNNNNNNNNNNNNNNNNNNNNNNNNNNNNNNNNNNNNNNNNNNNNNNNNNNNNNNNNNNNNNNNNNNNNNNNNNNNNNNNNNNNNNNNNNNNNNNNNNNNNNNNNNNNNNNNNNNNNNNNNNNNNNNNNNNNNNNNNNNNNNNNNNNNNNNNNNNNNNNNNAUGGCAGCCCAAGAAAUGACAUCACCUCCAAAUAAUAAAUCAUGCUAUUUGCCAUACUAUUUGGAGGAGGUGUAGGACCAAGAGCUGCAUAAACCCUAAUAAACCCCAACAAUUAUGGUACACACUGGAACAAACUAGGAAAAAAACAGAAAAAGAAAACAUUAUAAUGGCUCCAAAACACGAUGAAAUCCAAAAACACAUGGUGUGAAACACAACGAAACAUUGUGGUGCGAACGGAAGAAGUCAAAAUAAAAAAUAAGGCGACACAGAAGUACAAAACCAAAUAUUACAAUUCACCCCAAAAUACGGUGAAACCCAACCGAAUUGGUUGAAGCAUACCGAAACACAAUGAGACAUCGUAGUGCACACCAGAUUAAGGCAGCGGACUGACACAAAAUGAACCAUUGUGGUGCGCUCUAAAACAUGACGAAACCCAAGAAAAAUCAGAUAAUUUAUUACUCUUAUAUUAUAGGAAGUUGAGUUUGUGUGUUACAUGUUAGACGAUGCACUAAAUAUAAACCACUGUCCAUAUGAAUAGUUAAAAAAAUAUUGCAUUUCUGUUGUGAAUAAAUUAUUAUUUUUAAAUAUAUUUAAUUUUUGUCUUGUUUUAAAGAACUCAUCCGAAUAAACAAAAAUGUUUGAACAAGAAUGUGAAUCAAGCUUAGCUUUUGUUACGAAAGAUAUCAGACAUCUAAGUUUGAAAUGAAACUCAGCUAGUUGUGGCUACCUUGGAGAGACAAUCUGGCUUGGUUGAUACUAGCUAGGAACUAUAAUAGCACAUGGUAGGAUGUUAGGUGAGAGAAAGCACUAUGCAUAUGCCAAUAAAGCAUGCAACGGUGGAUCCAUGCACGAACAACGGUGGUGGGGCGCUUGCAUAUGAAUGUCCAAGCCACCGAAAAGAUAAGGCUGCAGUAACUAGCUAGUGUUUGCUGGCACUCCUCACAGCGCAUUUCAUCUUUCCAUUUUGGUGCAAUGGGACGAUCAGCACAUGAGGCCUGUUGUUGCUGUAGGCUAGGUAACAUGCAUCAAAAACAUUUUGGUGCAAUGGGAUGAUCAUAACUCACACGCAUCCUGCAGCUGCAUCUAUCAAACAAAAUAACAAACAACGACCGUGAGUCCAUGUCCAUGCAUGUCUCCAUGAUGAUGAUGAACAUGAGUGUUGAGAUCACAGUGUUGAUGAUAUCUUGAGGACAAAACUUUAUUCGUCCAACCAGGUAGAUACAUACUAUCUAGAUUAGGUGACCUCUUCCUCAACUCCUCCCCUAUCCCUUGGCAGCUGGGGCAAACUCUUCCCUCCAGACUCUCGCUGUGAACCUGUUUUCAUAACAUUUUACUAACACACUUGGCAUAAAAAAAUAGACAAAUAUGUAUUUUUGAAUGGGCCACUUUUUUGUUCUUGUUGGGCCGGAAUAUUGUUUUUUUGUAUAGCUUACAAAUCAUUUUUUUAAAAUAGAAUUUCAUGGAUCCGUAGUGAACACUACAAGUUUCCACUUUUUUAAAACUUCUAAAUAAGGUUAUUUAUUUAUUUUUCAAAACAAUGUCCUCCAUGGUGCUCGAGCACCAUAACUUCACACUCCUAAAUAGUGUUCAUUUCACGUGACACCUUUUUCCAUCAAGCGUGGGAAUGUUUUCCCUAGUCCCUCCACCUCACUACUCCCUUGCCUCUCACACCGCACACACAUAUCACUAGUACAAUGAUAUAUUUUACUUCUUAAACUUGAAACAACUAUACAUUAAAACAAAUCUCAGAUAAAUAUUACGCUUGAAUGUGUGUCUUCCUUUUUGAUGAUAUCUUCAAAACAAGCCUAAUAUCGAAUAUGCUUUUUACAAAUUUGAAACACGGUGAAACUUAUAGGAAAUGGCCCGAACCACAAGAAACACAAUGCAACGUUAUGGUACACACUGGAACAAAGUAGCACACAAACAGAAAAGCAACAUUAUAAUGCCAAAACACGUUGAAAUCCAAAAACAUUCUGUGAAACACAACGCAACAUUGUGGUGUGCAACUAAAGAAGUCAGAAAAAUAAAGUAACACAGAAGUACAAAACCAAACAUCACAGUGCACCCCAAAAUACGGUGAAACCCAACGAAAUUGGUUGAAGCAUACCCAAAAACAAUGAGACAUUGUGGUGCACACCAGAUUAAGGCAACACACUGACACAAAAUGAAACAUUAUGGUGCACUCUAAAACACGACGAACCCCAACAAAAAUUAGAUAAUUAUUACUCUUAUAUUAUAGGAAGUUGAAUUUGUGUGUUACAUGUUAGAUGGUGCACUAAAUAAAAACCACUGUCCAUAUGAAUAGUUAAAAAAAUUGCAUUUGUGUUGUGAAUUGAUUAAAAAAAAUUAAGUUUGGUCUUGUUUUACAGAACUCAUUGGAAUAAGCACAAUUGUUUGAACAAAAUGUGAAUCAAGCUCAGCUUUUGUUACGGAAGAUAUCAGGCAGCUAAUUUCCAAACGAAACUCAACAAGUUUGUGGCUACCUUGGAGAGAGAAUCUGGCUUGGUUGAUACUUGCUAGGGAAUAUAAUAGCACAUGGUAAGAUGUUAGGUGAGGGAAAUCACUAUGCAUAUCCCAAUGAAGCAUGCAUGCACGAACCAGUCUCCCCAAUGAAGCGCACAACAACGGUGGUGGGGCGCUUGCAUAUAUACUAUGAAUGUCCAAGCGACUGAAAAGAUAAGGAUGCAGUAAAUAGCAUUUCAUGUUUGCAUUUUGGUGCAAUGGGACGAUCAGCACACGAUGCCUGCUGUUGCCGUAGGCUAGGUAACAUGCAUCCAAAACGUUUUGGUGCAAUGGGACGAUCAUAACUCACACGCAUCCUGCAGCUGCAUGUGUCAAACAAAAUGAGAAACAUGGACCUUGAGUCCAUGUCCAUGCAUGUCUCCAUGAUGAUGAUGAACAUGAGUCUUGAGAUCACAGUGUUGAUGAUAUUUUGAGGUCAAAGCUUUGCUCGUCGUCCAACCGAAUAACUAGUCCAUUUGACAAAGCCCUAACUAGUAGCCUUAAUAAUAUACAGUACUCCCUCCGUCCCGAAAAACAUGUCGUGCCCGUAGUUCAUUGGUGAUUUUGCAAAAAAAACUCGUAGUAUCCAAACCGUCGCAAACAAGUCCCUCCACCCCCGUCUUCUUCCUCCGCCGUCGCCCGUGCGUCGCUAGGGGCCGGCGCCGCCAAGCGGCGUGAUUUGGCGCCCAUCAGGAAGUGCUCCGCCUCCGUCACCACGUACCUUCGCCGCCGCCGCCGUCGCCAAGUACCUGCUCCGCCACCGCCGCCCGAACCUGUGCCGCAGCGAUCCCCACUCGCUGGAUUACCUGCGGACGUCGCCGGAAUUUCCCACCACGAUCCGGCGGAGCAGGAGCUCCCUCUCAUCUUCCUCGAGCUACCGCGAGUCAUCCUCUCACCUUGAGCUGCCUCCCGUGUGCCGCCGCGAUCCCUCCCGCCGUGAUCUCCUAUGGGCAUCGCCGGAACCGGCCUCCACGAUCCGGUGGACAAGAGCUUCCGCGCGUCCUCCUCUAUCUCCCGCAAGUCCUCGUCGAGCUCCCACCGGCUGCCGUGCUGCUCCUUCUCAUCUGGCCGCGUGCCUGCUGCUGCUCUGUUUCUCCUCUGCUUCUCCCCUGCCGCCGGUGGAGCUAGCCCGUGCUGCUGCUGCUCCUCUGCCCGUGUUGAUGCUGCUGCUGCUGAUCCAAGUGAACAUGCCGUGUUGCUGCUGCUGCUGGUCCAAGUGACUGCGCCGUGUUGCUGCUGCUGCUAUUUGCACUCUGAAGAAGGUACAGUUGCAUGUAGAUUGAUCUGCUGCUAUGUGCUGCUGAUGCUAUUUGUUCCAUGCUCCAUGGCAUCAGAUGGCAUGGAAAACAAUUUUGUUCCAUGCUCCAUGGCAUCAGAUGGCAUGGAAAACAAUUCAUGUUCUACAGUGCCGUGUUCAACUUGCUCAUCCUCUGAUGAUGACAUCUCUUUUAAUACAUUAUUCACCUCAGGAGCUGCAUGUAAAAUUUAAAAUCAAUAUGGUUUUCUUAUUAAUGUUAAAUCAGCAAAGCUAUCAGCAUGGAACAAAUAAAAAAGGACUGUGGAUGACAAGAAAUCGCUUCUAUUUAGUUAAGAGGUCCAUUUCAUGCUAUCAAGGACACUUCCAGUUUUUCUUUAGUUUCAUCAAAGGUUCAUCAAUACAGAUGCUAAAAUCUAGCAUAUCACAUGGGAUGGAUCAGCUAAAGUAAGAAAGACCAUCUCAAGCAUAGUCACAAAACAAUUUGCAAGAAAUACUACUGUAUAUUCUAAUUUACUGAAAUGAUUGGCAUAGCAAAAACAGAUAUGCAGUGGACAUGUUUGGUACAGUAAAUAAAUAUGCAGCCAUAGCGUGGAUAGAUUAGAUACAAAGAAUGGAGUAAAGUUUAUCAAAGGAAGAAAAUUUACUUACAGUGCUGAACAUCCAAUAUUUAGUAAAUCAAUUUGGAUGGCGUGCAGAAUUCCUGUGUAUGACACUUAACUUAGCAAAUUCAAUUAAAGAUGCAUUCUAAAGAUGCAUUCAGUUAAAAAUGUCUACUGGAUUUGCUCCAUGUUCUAAACAGAGUACUCCUAUAUUAAUACAUCAAUCUGCCAUAACUACUCCAUGCCAGAACUACUCCAUGAUCUUGAAAUCUUAAGUCGAAGAAAUCUACCAGAACUACUCCAUGAUGAGUACUCCAGGCCAUUGUCUGAGACACAAUUUGAAAUUUGCCAACACAAUUUGUUCUACUGGAUCUACAGUAAAUAAAUUUGAGAACACAUUUUCUUCAGUCCCUCACUGACAACACAAAUUUUUUGGAUGCAUUCAACUUGAACAUGGAGUAUUUUCAGCAAAAAAACUUGAGUAUGGCAGCAUUUUCUGCAAAAAACAUCUUGAGCAUGAAGUAUAAGGGGUAUUUUCACCAAUUUAGAGAGAGUAUUUGAAAAUUUGGUCACUACAGGACCACUACACUACUCCAGGUCACUACUGUUCAGAAACAAACUUGGAAAGGUAAUAAAUCAGUUUUGAUUCUAUUGACAGGAGCACAUGAAUAAGAACUCUGUCUAAACAUUCAGUUUAUACGUCAACACUGAACUGUCUAAAUACUCAUGUACAGUACUGUGCCAUUCAGUUUAUUGACAGGAGUAUUCAGUAUGCUAUUGACAGGAGCAGUAGUAUCUCAACAAGCAGUACUCGCUGCUAUGGUGCGGCCAUGGAUGCAUGAAACAAGUUUAAAAACAAAUUUAAAUGAUGCUGCGAUUCAAAAAUUAAAUGGAAAAAGCUCAAGAUGAUUAAUCAUGACUACUGUCACAUGACAGAUUACUCCUGUACACUAUUGUGCCAUUUUAUAAGUGCAGACUAGUUCUAUAAGUGCACACUAAUUCUAGAAGUGCAAAUGUUUAGUUGUGACAUUAUACAGGAGGAACAUUCAGUCUAAUUCAGCAGUUGAAAAUGCAGUUGUUUAGUGCAGUUUAAAAUGCAGCAAUUCAGGAAUCACCUGAAUCAAUUCAGACCACUGCUGAAGAUGUCCUUGAACUGCCACUCCUUCCACCUGAAGAUGUUGCCACUCCUUCCAAGCACAAACUUUCAGACCAGAGCACACACAACAAUCCACCAGAAGAUGUCGCCGCUCCUCGAACUGCCACCACACGCGCCCAAUCGUCGGCCUUGAGCGAAGCCGCCGAAAAUCGAUCUACUCAGUAAGAAGGAUCCAUCCAUCAUGUUAAUUCAAGCUCGCGAGCUACAAGGUUGAAUUACUGUAAGUUUUGCAUGCUAUUGAUUGGCAGGAAGUGACUCUGUGCUCUCAUGGCCAACAAGGGUGAAGAUCCUCAGGGACUGUGCAUCUGUCCUGAGGUUUCUUCACACACACUCCGAUGGAUGCAUUGUACAUAGAGACAUUAUGGUGACAAUAUCUUUAUAUUUUCGAUCCCUCGACAUUAGCAUGCGCACGCAAAAUUUGCGAAGCCAUCUUAUCUUUUGUGUGCUGAAUUCAUUUUUACAGCUUACCAACAUCUUGCUGACAGAGGACAUGGAGCCUAAGCUGUCUGAUUUUGGGCUAGCAAAAACGCUGCAAAUGGAGGAGACCAAGGUCUUCACAUAUGUGGGGGGAACCAUUGGUUACAUGGAUACUGAGUACAUAACACACUCCAAGCUUACUUGCGUGCAAGUGAUAUCUACAGCUUUGGCGUGGUUGUGCUGCAGCUUCUGUCAGGAAGAAAGGUCAUCGAACUUGACAUUGUUCCACGCGAUUCUCUCACCAAGAAGGUAAAUUCAGGCAUAUAUUUUUCAGAAUCAUAUCCCUGUUACACUGAGCAGGAACUCGGCAAGUCAAUUUCAGAGUUAUUCUCACCAUUGUUACCUGAAGUUUUUGAUGCACCUAAUUUGGUCUCGGUUCUUGUCUCAAGGCCAAAGAUGCAUCGCCCCUCGGCCUCUCCCCGGAGGCAAAGCCCGCGCCGCCGCUCCAGUCACUGGCUGCGCCGCCGGCUUGUCCCUAUCCUCGAACGCCCUGUAGAAAUCUAGGAUGAUGAAGAAGAAAUUGGGUGGACAUGGCCCGAACAAUCGAAGAAGAUAAAAGAAGAAAUUGCAUGGGCGCAGUAGAUCGAAGGGAGGAGAAGGGGAAAAAGGAGACCUUUGACUUCGGCGGGCUACUUGGUGAGCUCCUCCACCUGCCUCUUUGCAAUCCGCCGAGCAGCCGCCGCGCCAGGAAUGCGAGAAAGGAGGGCGCCCCGCUGCCGUGCCCCGGCGAGGUAAACACAUGGCCGUCGGACAGGAGCGGCGGGAGGAUCGACAAAAAAAACGCGUGCUUCACGUUGGGGAACGAAGCGGGGAACGAUGCGGCGUGGGGCGUGAGGCGGGAGGGGUGGUGCCAGCGGGGGCGGCGUGGGGCGGGAGGAGCGGUGGCGGAGAGGGGCGGCGGGGGGCGGCAAGGCGGCACCCGUCGUCGGGUUCGGCCGGGAUGGAGUGAGAGCGAGAGCGAGGAAGAAGAGGGACCUCGGGUUCGGUCGGGAAAACGUGGAGGACUAAAUUGCAAAUAUCCACUUGCGACAUGUUUUUCGGGACGGAGGGAGUAUAUAACAAUACGAUAAACCUGGGAUUUCAGAUCGUUAGGAACAGAAAAGGAACUACUACUCCGUAGUAAAUUUCAUUGCACACUUGAUAGCGCCAAUGACACAUGCAUUCUUUGGUUCUAACAUUACACUGAUAAAGAGUACUGAAAUCAUCCCCACAAUCAGAAGGAAAAAAUAUACAGUAAAUCAAGCAUGUAACGGUAGUAGUAACAUGCAUGCUCUGCAUCUGCAACAUAGAUAAACCAAGCUAAGCUCUUGCGGAGCCAUGAUUGAGAGAUCAAGCUCGCAAUCUCAUACAUAGCAGUACCAAAUGUUUCUUGCAAUACAUCAUAAAGCUAAUAGACCCAAAUCUAGUGAUCGACUACUAAGUAGUAACUGCAAUGAGGGAUCCAUACUAUAGAGAGUCCCGUAGCAGCUCCGGAUUCCGGCUCAAGCCAUGCCUUCCUGCGCUGCAGGCUGCAGCUCCUCUAGCUAGCCACCGCAACCUCCACCGCAACCGCCACCACCACCACCGCCCCCUCCGCCGCAGCAAGCACCACCGCCCCCUCCGCCGCAGCAAGCACCACCGCCUCCGCCCGCAGCAAGAAAGAGGACGGUAUUACCGCCGGCUGAUGUGGUCGACGAACUUGCAGUAGUCGUCGCCGUCAGCGGCGCCCUGGAUUUCUUCUUCUUCGAGGUGUCGCCGCAGAGGAAGACCGAUAUGACCAGCACCACCAGCAGUAGAAGGAGCCACGGAGUCUGCUGCGCCUGCGCCCCGAAGCCCGCUGCAGCGGCGGAGGCAAGGAAGGCUCGCGCCAUUGUCCCUCUCCUUCCCUGACGUCUAGCUACCACAGGAUAUCUCUCACGAAUUUGAGUUUGGAUCAAGUGCAGUGCAGAGGAAGAUUUGAGGAGGAAGACAGAGUAGCGAGGGAGAGAGGAGGAGGAACAGAGUACAGCCUAAUCUCAGCACCCACGCCUCUCCGCCCUGGCCGCGAAUAAGUAGUCGAGGCUAGCGAGCCGACGCCUGGGGUGCUCGCUGAUGGGCCGCAGCCCAACUUGGCAUUUUGUUAGCUUCCCAGUGGUUUUACUGAUUUUAUUUUCUCGGUUUUGUUUGAUUUGUUCGUUUCUCCAGUUUUCUGUGGGGUUUUCCGGGUUUUUAUGUUUCAUGUUUUUGUUCCUUUUUGUUCUCGGUAUUUUUUUGUUUUUUAUUUUAUUUUUACCAUCGUUGGUUUUCAUUUCCUUCUUUUUUUAAAUGCACGGUGAUUGUUUUUAAUACACAUUGAAUUUUUUGAUAUAUUUUGAACAUUUUUUCAAUGCAUGGUGAACUUCUCUAAUAUACGAUGAACAUUUUUAUAUAUAAUGUUCUUCUUUUAAUAUACAUUGAUUUUUAAUAUGUAUUCACCAUUUUUUUAAUGGAUGAUGAUUUCUUUAAAUAUACAGUGAAUACUAUAUAUAAUUAUAUUUUUAGUAUACACUGAAGUGUUUUUUAAUAUGUGUUGAACAUAUUUUCAGUCCAUGACGAUUUUUUAAAGAUAUAUAGUGAAUUUUUCUAUAUAUACAAUGAACUUAUUUUAAUGGAUGGUUAGCUUUUCUUAAUACCAUCGAACAUUUUUAAAAUAUUUCUUAUAUUUAAUAGGCUUUAAUAUAUAUUAGAUCCGUAAAACAAUUCCAAUGAUCGGGUUAAAAAACAAAUUAGAAACCAAAGAGAAUAAAAAGAAAAAACACCCAAGUGAGCGCCGCUCAUUUGCGCCUUGCUCCUAGCAUAGUUGCCUCUGUUUGACGCCAACAUGCACCAGCCAGGUGGUCUUAUUGAGGUUGCUUCUUCACGUCGCCUAGGUCACUGGGUCGUAGCGCUUAUUGGGUCAACGUUUCAUUUUGGAUCGGGCCGAACCUUCUAGAGUAGUAGAGGUGGAAGUACUGGCCAUGACAUCCCUUCCCCCCUUCGAACGAUGCUUGUUGCCAAGCAACUGCUCUUGGGAAGUGUGGAACGAAGCUCAAAGUAAUCUUUCCAACAUGCCGUCAAUGUUGGUUGUGAAGACAACUUGACGAGGAAUGUCGAUUUUGCGAGAACAAUAUGGCGCUUUAGUAAAUGCUCCUGAACUAGAGGUAGUAUGUUAGGAGGUAGUUGCGCUGGCAGCACUAGUUCGACCAUGGAUGAAGGUGGCAGUGCUUGACGGAGCUGGGAGAUAUGGAACACUGAGUCGAUACGACUUGUCUCUGCGAGCUUGAGCUUGUACGAACCAUUAACCAACUUCUUCGCCGCCUGAAACACUCUGAAAUAUCAAAAGGAGAAUAUAUGGUUAGCAUCUGCCGCGAUGGAGAGUUGGACAUAAGGCUGCAGCUUGAGGUAAAUCCAGUCGCUAAAUUCAAAAAUGCGGUCUAAGCGUUUCUCGUUCGCUUGUCCCUACUUCCCCUAGUUUCCUCAGAGCAAGAGUGUUAUUUCAGUAGACUGACCACUAAUGUUCAUUCUUGCAUCCAUGACGCCAGCUCGGAAACUUAACAUGAUGCAGGAUCCAUAACCCUGAUGUAUUUUGGAGGAUGGCCAUAUAAAACUUUGAAAGGUGAGUUGCCCAAAGUGCAAUGGUAAGAAUUAUUGUACCAGUAUUCCGCCAGAUGUAGGCAUUCAAACCACUUGUGCGAACAGUUGGCGACGAAUCAACAGAAAUAAGAUUUGAGACAUUGAUUAAUCCUCUUCGUGGUGCCAUCCGUCUAUGGGUGAUAAGUAAAGCACAUCCUAAGCUUAGCGUCAGCAAGCCAAAAUAAUUCAAGAUACAUGUUUCUUUUAAAUACCCGAUCUCGACCAGAAACAAUAGCUUGAUGCAAUCCUUGGUGCUUGUACACAUUCUGCAUGUAAGCGUGUGCCACUUGUGCGGCUGUGAAAGGAUGCUUCGGUGCAACAAAUUGGCAUACUUGGAAAACUUAUCAACAAUAACCAUGAUGCAGAUAUAUAAGUUCAUGUCGACAAAGUGGGUUAGGAGUCCUGGAACUUAGAACACAAAACAAAUCACUACUGACUAAAUUCCUAUAUAUGUUCUUAAACCAGCAUGAUAUUCCAUGGGUGAAGUUGAUCUGAAAUGCAUACUAAAGUGAUGGCCAAGUUCCCUACUAAAGUUGUCAAAUUCUAGUGGAGAGACAUUUGUUCUAUACUCAGUGAAUUUAAGGCUAUGACCAUUUGCAAUAUAAAAAUGGUAACACUGCUAAGUUACGGUAUGACAAAUGGCAUGAUGACAAGUUGUUGUUAUUAUAUCCUAAGCUAUUUUUAUUUGUGAAAGACAAGGGUAUUACCUUUGCUUGUGCACAUGUAUAUGUUAUGAAUGAUUUCUAUGACAUGCUCCAUCUUUCAAUUUCUUCGAGUGUUGUUCAGCAAAGUUUGUAGCUACAGGAGCUUAUAAUUAGCAUAUAUGAUACUAUUGUUAAUGAUAGUUGGAAUUUCUAUUAAUCUAGCAAUAAUACUCCACCAGAAGGAUAUACACUGAACUAGUGGGACAUGGAAAUAAGGCACCCACCACCGCCACCCACCCCUCUACUUAGGCAAAUGACAUGAUUUCUGGGUCCAUUGGAAAAGCUUAGGUGUUCGUCCUAUGCAUUCGACUGAGUAAGCCAUGCAACACCGCUACUAUCUUCUUCCUCAACUUCAUCAUCUUCCUCCUAACUAAAGACCCAAAUCUAAGGGUCAUAGUCAUCUUCCAUCACAUGUUCCUUUCCUGACUUCGUCAAAGGGUACCAAUCUUUCGUUCCGUAUAUGUGGACUCCGUCCAUCCAUGCACAACAAAAGGACUGAAGGCUUUCUAUAGAAAUAAAUCGCAAGUGAUACCUUGCGGGGUGUGGUUGAUUUUUUUUCCUUCCAUUAUAUGAUGUGGAGUGCAUAGGAAGAAUGGAGAUCGCCAGGGUCCAGGGAUCUAUCGUCCCAUUUUUUCCCCGUUGCCUAGCAUCCAAACUAGCGACCCAAGGGUAAAAUUGGGAACCAAACGGUGAAUGAAAAUACACCUUAUAAUUUGGAAUACCCCUCAAAACCUUAUGCACAUAAUAUUACGGAACAGGGGAGUACGAAAGUUCAUCAUCACCUAAUUCAAAAAGUCCAUCAUUGUAGAGUUGUAAGUAGAAGUUUGUUUAGUCCAGCAAACUACAUUUUAGCUUUUCUUUGGUUUUUUUUAACUUGGAUUCUGUGUAAACCAAAGAAAAUCAAAGAAGAAAAACACAAUGAAAUAGUUAUCACUGCAUAGAAGUGCUAGUGUGUUUGUAUGAUACCUAUAGUACAUAGAUGUCAGAAAACAUGAAUUUAUGGCUCAAAUUGUUAUUUUUUUUGCUUUCUUUUGUUACAACUAGUGGUAAUUAAGAUACAUUGAACACCACAAAAUGACAUGAUAAUUCCACUCUUUGUAUUUUUCUUGGUUUCAUUCAUCCUAGUUAUUUUCAUACAAUAUCUCUAUAAGCCCUCCCUCUUCUGAUUUUUCUAUCCUUGUAUCGUCUCUUUAGUGCCACCCCUAAAUAUCAAUGUUGAAAGAGUAAUCAUCAUCAGCGAAGAGAUGGCAAAUUUUGUCAAAUUUAUAUCAUUUCUCAAUCAUGUAAUCAACACCUAAAACUAAUAUGUUGCCCUAUGUCUCUCGCUAAGAGAUUUGGUAGUUGGACGUUUACCCGUGUCCAGUCUUCAAUUUUCAUGUCACUAGUAUUACAUGAAUGUAUUUUUAUAAAGAAUUGUGGGCUAUUUUUUUUAUAAAAUUGUCCAUUUUACUGGUACACGAUAGGCAUUACUCCCUCCAUUCAUGGUGUAAUAAGUUUGAUUAAACAAGGUCUCGACCAUGAUCUAAGGUUUCUUCGCCAUCACACCUACUCCACUAGUAGAUCAUCGUGUGGGGAGGCCCUGAUCUAUACAUGGGAACUGUCCUUUCCCCCAUUUGUGCUUGUAGGAAAGAACCCUUACUAGUGUUCGGCUCUAAAACCCUAUUAGUGAUGAUUUGAGGCACGCGUCACUAGUAGUAACUCAUUACUGGCAGUUGGUUACCAAUGACGGGUAACCACUCAUCGCUGGUAAUAACAUACCAAUGACGGGUGGUCUGAAAGUGCCUGGUGCCCUUCCUAGUGACGAAUUGUCUGAAAGUGCCCAGUGGCCUUACCAGUGGCACGGUCCUACACUUGCGCUUGACACCAAUGUUAUUUUGGGAUUUAAAAAUUAAACAAUGUAUAGUUAAUCUUAAUCAAAGAACAAAUUCAAUUCCAUUUCACCAAAGUAGCACAAAAAAAUAAUUUCAUUCCAUUUCAUCAUACCAACACAAAUAGAAACCUCAUUAGAUUCACUCCAUUUCAUCAAAAAAUACAAAACUUUACAUUAUUUUGUUGGAGGAGAUACAAGACCGGACUGGCUUUGCGGAUCAAAGGAAUGGGGAUUAGGCUGUAAUCCUAACCUCGUCGAAAGAGGGGAAGGAGUAUGAUAUAGAUGGUGCAACAACACACCACCAAAAUCAAUUAUUGGGUAAAUGGCAAAUUGAUCCAAUGGGGUUGAAAGAAAAAAACAGGCAGAUUCUGGAGAAAAUUAUCCAUACCACUACCUGCCUGAAUACCCUCUAAUAUGCCCAGCCAAGUUCCGCCAUUUUGGCGGCACAUACCAGGGGGUAGCGACUGUUUAUUAAAAACACAGGACUCUGCUAAGUGGUAACACGAUGUAUAGAGUCUGACACCUGCCCGGUGCUGGAAGGUCGGAAGGAGAAGUGUGAUAAGCUUUGAAUGGAAGCCCCGGUAAACGGCGGCAGUAACUCUAACUGUCCUAGCAAUCAGGAGAGGGAAGAAUGGCAAUGGAAAUCAUAAAGCUCAGCGAGGAGCACAUUACUAUGAAUAACAAUGGAGAGGGACAUUAAAGGGGAAAACUGAGCAAAGAGACAUAAAAAUAUAUUAGAAAAGCUUUUCACUUCUACUUCAUUUUCUUGUUUACAUUCAUUACUUCAGUGAUUGAACAUGGGCAGAUACCUAUAAGGACCCCAUUUCAUUGACCUUUGCCCUUUUAUAUCCCUCCUUAAGAUGUGUUAUCCGGACCAACUCCCACGUAGAAAACCAAGAGCAGUGAGUUACAAAACCAAGGGCAGUUAGAAUCACGUAGGCAGCUCCUUCGCUUUACUAAAGAGCCAAGUUCGGACAAUCAACUCGGAAGGAAGCAUAUCCCCACCGCAAAUGGCAGCCCAGGAAAUGACAUCACCUCCAACUAAUAAGCAUGCUCUUUGUCAUCCUAUUUGGAGGAGGUGCAGGACCAAGAGCUGCAGAAACCCUAACCCUAAAUCGCAAUGGUUAGCCAAUGUCAGAGGCGCGUCCGAUAUAGUCAUAAACCCACUAGGUUGACACACAUGUUGAUCCCACCUUCCUCUCCCUCCGACCACUGGAUGUUUACCUAUAACCAGUUAACACAUUCAAUAUUUUCUUUAACAAGAACACCCAAAUUAUUAGGUAUCUUUUAAUUAUUAAAUAUCUUUACUAAAGAGUAGUUUAUAGAUAUACUAUUAGUUAUCAUUGGCAUUAAAGUAUCUUUAUUCAAAUUGUAUCUUACAACGUUAGUGUUAGGUAUAUUUACUAAUACAGUAGCUUAUAGCUUUAGAACUAAGUUUCUUCACUAAAAAAGAGCUUACACCAACAAUAUGUACUACUGAGUAUCUUUACUAAAACAGAACCCACUUUAGUUAUUUAUUGAAUUAUAGCUUAUAGCAAAUGUAAGUAUCAUUAUUGUUUUGCACCAAUGGGCAGGCAUGUGAACUUGUUUGCUAUCUGGAGGAAUGAUGGUUCCACAACGAUGUCGAUGUCGGGAGAAUCAAAGAAGAAUUAAAUUGGCAAUGUUAUCCGUGUCAUUAGGAUCUAUGCUAUUGUUCUUUCGAUUCAAUAAAUGUGUCUCAUAUUUCUAACCAUUGGGUAAAGUAAAAAAGGAAUCUUAUAUUGUAGGCUCUUAGAGAGGCUAUGUUUUGUGGAAUGCCAGGAUAUUCUUAGUGUUAUUGAGCGUGUUUUCUCUUUGAAAGGCGGGCAGAAGAGGACAACCGAAGAUUAAAUAUUGACAUGUGACGGGUAUUUGGUUUUGAUUUUUGUGGGAAAACAUAAGUUUUUUCAUAUCCGAUACAAUGGACCAUAGUAAAUACCUUGGUUAAUAAUGUUUCUCCGGAAUAGUGCCCUAAGAUUAUUGGUAUACAUCCACGCCAACAGUUAAUGACGAACAAAUAUGUCAAACGCAUGAAGAAUAAAAUAAUUAUGGUUCCAAAUUUAGAGCAAGCCGUGCAAAUACACAAGACACUUGCUAGUUCAUCUGCUCAGACCCGUCUUGCCAAUAAAUUAGGCAGGAGGGCAUCCAUUGUAUAGCAUAUAGUGGGGCGUUAGCAUGCAUGUGAUGUGAGGGUCCAACGGAAAGAUAAGGUUGCAUAUAUGCAGUGACUAGCGUUUUCUGGCUCCAAACUGAAAUAGGAGCAAUCCCUCACAUGAUGAGUGUGCAUUUCAUCCUUCUAUAUACAGGCGUACAUCAUCACCUGCUGGCUGCUGAGGCCAGGUAACGUCCAGAACGUUUUGGUGCAAGCCACAAUGACUCACACCGUCCUGCUUGCGGUAGCUGCAUGUGCCAUUGCUAGCUAGUAUUACCUGUGUGCAAACAAAUAUGGACCGUGAACUUGAGUCUGAGAGCUCAGUGUUGAUGAUAUCUUGAGCUCACACCUUAGGGCGUCCAACUGAAUAAUUAAGGUGUAUCGACCCGGGCGGAAUGAUGAACUUGCGGAGUAGUUUCCGCGGUGAAGAUAUCUGCUUGAACCCAUCAUUAACUACUGCUUAACAGUCGAUUUGACAAGGCUCUAACUAGCCUCAGUAUAUAUACAUAUAACAGUAGGAUAAACCGUGGGUUCUGUUGGAAAGAUGAGCAAAUUACUACGAAAUUUAAUCUGAAUAAACAGAAGAUAGAUCAUGACAGCAAUAGUAGAGAUUAAACUAAUCAUGCGAACUAGCAUAGUAGAUGAACAGAUCACAUCAAGGGCACAUACUAGAAACAUGAAUUCUACCACGAUCUCGAAUAAGAAGGAUAGAAUCACAUACGGUGCAGCACCGCCGGCGUUGACGUUGUCGCCCAUGUCGUUGAGGAUGAGGUUGCCGAGGUCGGGGAAGAAGUCGUCGUUGGCGAAGUCGUCGCUGCCAGCAGUCGCGCGAGUGCGCUCCCUAAAAAUCUGAUCGCCCCUCUCCCGUACAGGAUCACGAGAGGCGGCGCAAUGAUCUGGAACGGUGGUGUGAAACCAUACAAAGCGGCGGCGGCUAGGGUAGACGCCUGCCUGACUAUAUAGUGCGGGCCGGGUAGGUCGUGGGAGCCCACGUGCAUAGCACUGUCCUCGGCUCGGCUCCGCUCAAUCCCGCAACCCGCGGCGCGUCGUGACGAGGCGUGGCGUGGCGAGGCGGGCGAGGAGGAGGAGCGCACGUGUAGGUCUCCUCUUCUUAUGCUCAUACAAGUGGUAGAAGAGCUCACCUUAUAAAAAGGUGCAAGUCUCUCUCAACUUCCGUGGUGGGACUAAACUCUAAUUUCACUCACUCCACUCACAUGUGUGCAUGAAUGGGCCAAAAGAAUUUCAGAAUUUUAGUUGGGAUUUGGGCCAAAGACCUACUAGCAAAAUUCCAACAGGUUCCAGACCGCCAAGAAUCUGAAAAGAAGAGUUCAUUGCACAGAUGAUCAUUUGUUGCUACCACAGGUUUACUUGAUAAAGAGCAGUGAAUUAAACAUGUAAAAGUACUUAAUAACCUGCUCUAUCGAUCUGCAUCCUAGAUAACCUAGCUAGCUCUUGGGGAGCAAUCAAUUGACAGAUCCAGUUUCUUCGAGCCGCCCUGAGGUGUAGACUGUGUAGAGCUCCCUCUGUUUGUUUUGGUUUUUCUUUUCCUUUCUAGCUUCAGUUCCUUGUAACUGGUUUUUUCCUUCUUCAUCAAUCAGAAUCAGCCUAAGGCUGCUUUUUUCGUCAAAAUUGACAGAUCCAGCUCGCAUGCAUACAUCAAGCUAAUAGCCCUAGAUCAUUAACCUGAAAUCUAGUGAUUGACAACUAAGUGCAGGGAUAAGAUGUUGGUCACCCUCCCCGUUCAUCUCGCUCAAGGGCGGAUAAGAUGUUGUUCAAAUUUUCCCUGUUACAUACACCCUCUGUUUCUAAAUAUAAGAAGUUUUGGCAGUUUGAUUUAAGCUGCCAAAACGUCUUACAUUUAGAAACAGAGAUGGUACUUAUAUGCUAAACAUAACUUAUUCUGCUAGCUCCACAAGAUUCAGCGUUUAGCAGCAAAAUCAUCAUUUAGGAACAAGCUAUUGAGAAACUACAAAAAUCCAGCCAAACAGGUGAUCGAUCUAUCUUAUAAGGACGGGCACGCACUACAAACCAGGACAUAUAUGUCAACCAUUCCAGCCCACUCAGUUACCACCGUAGUUCAUCGCACACAGCUAAAAAGACUUUACCCAAACGGAUGGCGGUGCGCCUACUCUUUUCACUACAACUGACCACUCAUCUUCUUACACUUGCUCACAGGACAGUAAUUUGUUGCUGCAAACGUUGGGGGUUCCCAUGGCAUACACCCUCACGAAAGCAUCCCCAAGCAUCGGCAGCAAAUAUAGGGGUAUUAUGAAGAGAGGCAACACUAUCACAGCAGCUGCCAGAGCCUGCCACCAGACUUCAAUCGCGUUGUAACAGAAGAUGACAUGGGCCAUGAAGAAGAGCACCUCCAACACAAAGGCAAUGUUCUGCAUGCAGGAAGCAACAAGGAAAACAGACUAUCAUGUUAGCACAAGUAUGCAUGCACAGUCAGUUAGUUAGUUAUAAGAGGAGCGCUUNNNNNNNNNNNNNNNNNNNNNNNNNNNNNNNNNNNNNNNNNNNNNNNNNNNNNNNNNNNNNNNNNNNNNNNNNNNNNNNNNNNNNNNNNNNNNNNNNNNNNNNNNNNNNNNNNNNNNNNNNNNNNNNNNNNNNNNNNNNNNNNNNNNNNNNNNNNNNNNNNNNNNNNNNNNNNNNNNNNNNNNNNNNNNNNNNNNNNNNNNNNNNNNNNNNNNNNNNNNNNNNNNNNNNNNNNNNNNNNNNNNNNNNNNNNNNNNNNNNNNNNNNNNNNNNNNNNNNNNNNNNNNNNNNNNNNNNNNNNNNNNNNNNNNNNNNNNNNNNNNNNNNNNNNNNNNNNNNNNNNNNNNNNNNNNNNNNNNNNNNNNNNNNNNNNNNNNNNNNNNNNNNNNNNNNNNNNNNNNNNNNNGGUAGUACGGACAUUUUACAAAUUGUAUUCAUUAGAAUGUAUACGGGGUAGGUUUGUACAAUUCCCAGCCACACUCGUCCCUCAUGGGCUCAGCCCGUUUAGUUUCAUUUUUAGUCUUAAACUUAAAAAAACUGGGCGUCCGACAUGAGAUUCGAUCCCAAGUCCUCAGAAAACAUUGCGUAAGUGCACAUCCAUCUGAGAUAGCUAACCUUGCGUGCCAAUUGACCUUCUUUUCCUCUUUUUGAAUGAGAUAAAUAACGCUAAGAAAAAAAACUCUUUGCUUUUCUUUCGUUUUUAUUUUCCCUUUUUUUCGUAAAAUAGAAAUUAAAAAUUAUACAUAAACUUUUAAAAAAAUCAGAAAAAUACGAACACAAUUUGAAUUUUGAAAAUUUUGAAUUUGAGAAAUAGAAACAAUAAACAAAAAAACAAAAAGUCAAAGAAGAUGAAAAAGGAAAAAAGAAACAGAAAAAAUAAAAUAGGACAGGAAAUAAAAAGAAAAAAUAAAACAGGAUAGGAAAUAUAAGAUCAUGGAAAAAAUAGGGUCAUUUGAUGGAUGCCAAAAAUACAAGCUCUCAAACGAACCCUUCUCACCAACCCGAACACCCUCUGUUGAAUGUGAUCUAUUUCUGGCAUGCAUGAAAUGUCCUCAACUUUUUUUAGUAGCAGGCAUGUCCAUGGUAGGCAUCCAUGCGAGGUUUGAAUGAAUUUUCAACACAAUAUGCAAGUUGUGUCAUGUCCGGCCAUUUAUCGGCCAGUUUUCAUCGAGAAAACUCCAAAAAAUGUAACGAUUGUCGAAAACUCAAACAAAUUGGCAAGGUGCCUUGAUUUGAUCAUAGGAGUCGGUGGAAAAAAAUUUGAGACUAUUUUAAUUAUGUCAAGAAACAACAUACCCUCAGGUGGAGCCUUCUGGCCAUCUCGAACACCCUCCAUUGAACAUGGUGUAGUUUUAGACAUUCUUGAAAUAGCCCCAACUUUUUCAAGCAGGUGGGCAUGACCAUGAUAGUUAUCCUUACCAGGUUUGAAAUUUUUCUGACACCGUAUGCAAGUUCUGAUACGCCUGUCCAUUUAUCGGUCUUUUUUUUUAUCAAGAAACCUCUCAAAAUUAAAAAAUUGUCGAAAACCAAAACAACUUGGCAUGUUCCCUUGAAUUGCUCAUACAGGGUCAUGAAUAAUUUGGGGUCAUUUCAAGAAUGUCGAAAAACAACAUACUCUCACACGAAGCCUUCUCGCCUACCUGAACACCCUCCGUCAUGGUAUAUGUUUGGACAUCCUUCAAAUCACCCCAACUUUUGCAAACAGGUCGGCAUGUUCAUGGUAGACAUCCAUGUUAGGUCUGAAUGAUUUCCAACAUAUUAUGCAAGUUGCUACACGUUCGGCCAUUUAUCGGUCUUUUUUGGCCGAGAAAACUCCAUAAAAUGCAGAAAGAUUUGAAAACCAAAACAGCUUGUCAUUGUGCCUUGAAUUGGAACGUACGAGGCCCUGAGAACCGGCCCGGUUGGGCAGCCUCCUAUGAAUAAAGUAUUUAAUUUGUGAACAUGUUUUCAAAUUCGUGAACUUGUUUUCAAAUCGAUGAACUUUUUCAAUUUUGCGAACUUUUUUUGUCAAAUUCGUGAACUUUUUUUCAAAUCGAUGAACAUUUUUCAAUUCCGCGAAUGUUUUUCCUCCUUGGAGAUUGGGGUGUUCGUGUGUUCCAGGGCGGUCCAUCAAAAUCGAGGUCCCUAUGUCAAAAUCUAAGAUGGCCCUAUCUUGUUACAGAAAACGUCCUACUAGAUCAAUUUGUCGUCUAUGGAAGGCAGGUUGCAUGCAUAAAAAGUAUUUUAGGUGUUCUUUUUAGUUGCAUUCAUAUAUAUAGCGUUUUGGCAUUUUAGAAAAUAUCUCCACAAGCAGAAAGCCUACAGUUGAUAAUCGAGUCUUGAGAAGUGUGAAUAAAACACAUAAUUUUUUUCUUGGGUGGUCCAGAUUGACGUGCCGAUGGACUGGUUUUGCGCACCGGCGUAGUAUGUUCUUAUAAAUCUUGUGCUAGUUUUAUCACCAACGGGCCGCGUAGUGGACUGGUAAUUUGUGAACUUUGGGAGACGUGGUCAGGAGCUCGAUUCCUCGUGCGACCCGACCUAGCUCUUUUUUCAAGAUUUUUACGUCUUGCUUUAAAUAGCAAGUGACCUAGCGCCUGGUGGGCUGGCCCAGAUGUGCAUCCUAGCGACGUGCUUGUUGGUACGCUCGCCCGCGUAUCGGAGGUUUGGUUGUGGAGAACGUACUUUUAAAAAUACCAUCAUGCCCUUUAUUAUGAAGGGUUAUAGGAUAACACAGCUGUUGAUGUAUUUAGGGGGUGUACCGAAGCGGAAACGUAGCUAUAAAUGUCAUGUUGGUAUCCUUGGCAGAGCGAGAGGAAACUCCCAAUCACAUUAAAAAAAUACUGAACUCUCAAAUGUAAAGCAGAAGAACAGUGUUGGUUUGUAGCAUGGUGUUGUAGUAAAAAAUUCUGUCAUUGGUGGCAAUCUAAAGUUCUAAACAGACCAUCUGGUCAAUCGACAUGGAUCUAUGUGGUUCACUGCUUUGGCAGCUCUAUUCCAGCUCACAACUACAACUCUCUUCUAUAUUUUUAGGGGCCUGCUACGUGCCCGCGCUGAUUUUUUGUAAAGAUCAACCGGGUCGUGAGCCGUCUGAUCUGCCACGUCGAGCAGCCGAGCGUCUCUCCACCAUUGCAACACAGACCUUGUCUUGUUGCAGAAAUUUUUUGCAACAACUGUUUUGUUGAAAAAAAUUGCAACUGAGGUUUUGUUGUAAUGUUUUUUUGCAACUGAGGUCGUAUUGCGGAUUUUUUUACAACAAAAGCUUUUGUUGCAAAACAUAGACCCGUCAUAGACCAUUGCAACACAGCAUAUGUUUCAGAAACAUAGCCUCUGUUGCAGAAGCACAUUCGUAUGUGAGCCCUCACAGAAAAUAUUUGUAAGCAAGAAGCGGACGAAUCCACUGCUGUAGUUGGACACGUGUCAUGCGCUGAAGGUGGUGGACGCAAUCGCUGCGAUCCGCCGGCUGAUGGUAAGUGUUUGCCAUAUUUUUAAGGGAAAUAUCCCUUUCAUAUCUUGCGAUGGACAGGCGCUUGUCGGCUUCCUCGUCGGACUCGGAGGCUUUCGCCGCAACGGAGGCCUAGUUGCUAGCUUCGGCGACGGCUUUCGCCGAGACGGCCAGCCACUUGCCGGCUUCCGCAAGGGCGGCGGCGGCGGGCAUCGGUUCGGUGUGACGAUUCGCCCGCUCGCUCGCUCGCUGGUAAGAACAAAGGUAGUUAGAGAAAUGGCCCAUUCACACUUCUCUGGCCGGCCCAUUAGAGCCUCAUUUCUCUCUUAACACUCUCUUAUGCGCCCACAGGUGAGGCCAGCCCAUAUAGGGUCCCACAGCCAGUCCGGUUUUUUGGAACCUUUGGCUUUCGGUCUGGUUUCAGCCAGUAUUUUUUCUUUGUGUUAUUUCCAAUUUUUCUUCGUUUUUACUUCUAAAUUUUAAGAUGCAUGAUCAUUCUUUAACACUUGAAAAAAAAUUAAGUCGCAAAUAUUUUUAAAAAUUUGUGAACUUUUUCAAAUUCAAGAAUUGUUUUCAAACCCAUGAACAUUUUAAAAAAUCAUGAACUUUUUAAAAAUUUGUGAAUUUUUUUUAAAUCCACAAGCAUUUUUUGAUUUCACCUUUUUUCAAAAAAGCAACAGCAAAAGGCAGUGAAAAGUACGUGCGAGUGAGCAAGCCAGCGGGCGGGCGAGCCAGCAUAGCAAAUGGACCGUGGCCCGCCUAGUGAUCGACGUUCGCUACAGGAUUCUCGAAAAAGAAAAACUACGAGGCGCCUGAAGCGUUGAUUAUGAGUUUCCCAGACUACCCAUCACUUGUGACUGUGAUAUGAUCAACGCUACACACACACACGGGGAGCACAUUAGAGAGUCAACGGACAGGCUUGGCUGGGAUUUUUUGACUGGGUAGAAAUCUGGGUGGGGGGCCCACCCUCGGCUGAAAUUAAGGGGGAGGAGGUUAGCUAGAGAAGGUCCAUAGAACAUAUGUAAAAGCCCAUGCGUUUAGAAUUAGUGUUGUGAUAUUUGUCGAUGGUUCUUAUAGGCUUUUUUGCGAAAAAUAUUUUUCUCUGUCACAUGACAUUGUCAUGGAAAGAGACAGGUGACACUGUUUGGCGUACGUGCCUGAUGUGGUUGGGUGGCAUGCAUGGCCGGACGGAAGACGAUCGUCCUGCUGUUCCGAUCGACCCGCUUUGCUUGCCCAUGUCUCAAGCAGGGAGGACCUCAUAUAUACUGCUUGUAGGCCACCGGCAGGUCCACCUCCUCGGACUCGAUAGCCCCCUAAUGAUCAUUUCCUGUCGACUCAUUUCUUCUAAACAAGAAUGCAUCAUAUGUCUCGGUGCCAUUCGUUAGGGUCGGUUUCGUUAGAGGCCUGGAUACCGUGCCUGAGAGAAUGAGAUGAGCUACUUGGAUAGUGCCUGGAACGAUGCAAUUUUUUGCCUGAUGAGGCUAGCCUGCUGCGGGGGUGUUUGGUUCCUGUCCUUGCAUGUCGCUGCCUGUUGGGUUGUUAAUAAUAUUUUCAAACAGCUAGCCCUACUGUUUCUAGGUCUUAAGGGUCUGUUUGGUUACUACCCUCGACUCCAUGCCUGAGAAAAAGUGCGUCUGGUGUAAGCCUGAGCUGGUGAUGGCUUUGGCCUGACUAGGCAAGUGGUGUUUGGUUGGCAACCUGGCAUGAGAAGUGCUCAGUAGCCAAAUACUUUAAUAUUAAAAUAAGAACUCCAAUCAAUCAAUGUUGCCAGUUGACAUUAGACAUUAGGAGCUCAGGCAGCAGCUACGACACCUUAGACCGCUCCAGUUUGGAGGCCUGAGACAGGCUAAUGAUGGCAGGACAGGCUAAUUAAUAACGACAACAAGGUCUCCAGGUCAGGCGUUUAUCUGUUCUCCAGGCACCAACCAAAUAACAUUCAGGCGGAUACCAGGGAGCCUCCAAGCCAGGCAUGAAGCACUCAGGGUAGCAACCAAACAACCCCUAAAUAAUCCCAAGCUGUUGUUGCAGCACGCUAGGCGCAAGGGAGAGGUCGCCUGGGCCAGGCUAAUCACAGUGCAUGGGCUAAUCCUAGCUAGGCCAGGCUAAUCACACAGUUGGGGGAGGGUCAGGCCGAGUAGCCAUCUACUUUCUGUUGACGCAAAAUAAACAAGUCCCAGACACAUCCCAGGGACCACCCAGGUCAGGCGUAAGAUGGAAUGGACAAGUACCAAUCACGGAGGCUUGCUCCGGUGCACCCCUAACUCAAUUUCCUAGGGGUAUUCUUGACCCCGCCAUCUAUUUUUUCUCCGGCCCGCCGCUGCCCAUAUCCAAGCCCCGUAGCCCAUAUCCAAGCCCCGUAUAAUCCGUAUGACCCAUACGUAUGUAUACGGUGACAUCCCGAAAAAAAAUGAUGACACGACCCCACGACGGCCGAUCCAUCAACCACGCAGCUCAAUCAAUCACGCAGCUCCUGCAUCAUUCUGGUGAGUUUCUGUAGGAAUAUCGGCGGCAGCGAUCUUAUCGCCGGCGAUCUCGUCCGAGAGCGCGCGCGGCACCGUCGUCAACCUCCAGCGCUCGCAGGUACCGCAUCCCGUUUCCCCACGUUUGUCUCGCUCGCGGCAGCAUCAAACGAACUGCCGCUGUUUUCGUCGUAGUGGUUAACCUAGCGGGGCGGGCAACCUAGCUUUCUGGCGGUCCAGGCCAUCGCAGAUCUUGUUCUGGUAGUGCUGCUCGUCGUGAUAUACACAGUGAUCACGCGGGCUAAAGUGGGUUUCUUCUUUCUAGGGUUAACCUAGCGUCGGUUGCCGUCGGUUGUGUGCACGACGGCUCCGUUAUUUGAUGCGGCGGCUUACCUAGGUAUCCGGCGAUCCAAAAUAAUCACGACUGGUGCCGUGGGCUAGGAAUCCGGCGGUGCAUGUUAUCACGGGUAGCGCUGCUUCUCGUGAUCCAAAGUGAUCACGUACUGGAUUCGUGGGACGUACCUUAACGCCGCUUGGUGUGGAGAGGGGGGAGGAUCCAUGGCCGAUCAGAGGUCGUUGGUGUCGGUUGUGUGCACGAUCUGAACGCCCUUGGUUGGGGCGCUCUCCGGUUGGUGUAGUUUAUUUAACAUCCGUGAUCGUGCGCUAGGUGUUGUAUAUGUCAGCAUUGAUAAUGUUUGCACAUGUGAUGAUACAUAUUAAUUGUUGUAGGAAAUGGCGGAUGAUGAGUUAACUGAUAUGAUGUAUGACAUGGAGUUUGGAGAACUGAUGAAAGACUGGAUAGAAGAUUGGUCAGAUGAUGAAAAUUCAGAUCGUGGAGAUAGGUCAGAGAAUGGGAACGUAUUGGAAGAUCUUAAUGUGAGUGGCAUUAUCAUGUUGUAAUUUUUUGGUGGCAUCCGACAAUAUUAUAUUUUGAAAAUUUAUAGAUGGAUGAACAUGAUGAUGGUCAGGAAAACAAUGAGCAUGAUGAUGGUGAGGAAAACAACUCGGAGAUCUCGAACGAAGAUUACAUUAGUCAGGUAUGGAAGUGGAAUUUUUUGUUGGCAUGCAUGCAAAUUGAAUUAAUCCUGGAAUAUUAUAUGAUAAGUACUUAUGUAUUUGUGUUAUAUUUUUCAGCUCAUUUCCGAAUGUCAUAAUGCGUACGACUAUUACGGUGAAUCCGACGCGGAGACAGGCCUUGAUGUCGAACCAUUAGCUGCAUCUGAUUCUGGGGAGUCGCAAUCGUCGGUCAUCAUGAGUGAGGUAUGUAUGUAAUCAAUGUUGUAUGGAAGUAAUGUUAUACCAUAGAAAACUGUUUUCAUGGCUAUGUUAUGAUUGUGUAGGUGACAUAAGUUGAGGGGAAAAAGAAUGUCCAAGAUACUGCUAGUGCAGAUGAUAAGAGGGAUAUGUUCAUGCAGAUAAUACAAAUGACUUUUACGUCUCACGAGGCUGCGUAUGAUUUCUACAACAGCUAUGCUAGAGAUAAUGGUUUCAACAUUAGAAAGAAUAGGGUCAGGUAUAGCAAAACCGAGUCACGUCAUAUGCGUUAUAGGCGGUUUGUUUGUUCUAGACAAGGAAAACGUGACAACAGGUUGCUAACCGAGGAAGGACACAGCCGUAGGCUCAGACCCGAGACACGCUGCCACUGCGAAGCGCACCUGACCGUGAAGCUUGACCAAAAGCGUGGGGUUUGGUAUGUUGAUAGUUUUGAGGACAAGCAUAGCCAUAUCUUGGCAGGACCGGACAAGGUACCUUUUCUUUGGUCCCACAGAAAAAUCAAAGAGUACCAGAGAGCUGAGAUACUGUCCAUGGGAGCUGCAGGGAUUAGAAUUCACGACAUGAUGGAUACCUCCAUCAGCAAACAUGUAUGGUAUGGCGGUGUUGGUUUUACCAGGCGUGAAAUAUACAACCUUUGCGCUAGGGAGAAGAGGAAGCUGCUUUCAAAAGGUGAUGCUGCCACAGUCAUAGGCAUCAUGGUCAGUAGGAAACAGAGGGAUCCUAGCUUCUUUUUUGAGUACAAGCUAGACAAGGAAGGACAUAUGAAUAGGAUGUUCUGGUGUGACUCCCAGUCUCGUCAUGACUAUGAGGACUUCGGCGACGUGCUUGUAUUUGACAGCACGUACAAGAUGAACCGGUAUGGUAUGCCAUUCAUACCCUUUGUUGGUCUUAACAAUCACCGGAAGACCACUGUUUUUGCUUGUGCCAUAGUUUCGGACGAGACCGAAGAGACAUAUGUGUGGCUGCUGGAGACUUUUUUGAGGUCCAUGUGUCAAAAGAUGCCUAUGAGUGUUAUCACGGAUGCCGACGCUGCGAUGAUCAAGGCAAUUCGCCAAGUCUUGCCAGACGUGUGGCACCGUAUAUGUACGUGGCAUAUAGAAAAAAAAAUAUGAAGAUUCACCUCAGUCACAAGUCCUUGAAGGAGUUCCGAACUCUUCUGUACUACAGCACGUCCACGGCCACGUUUGAGGAGAGAUGGCACGCGUUUUCCAAAAGAUGGCAGUCGGAAAAAAUAGUAACAUGGUUGAGACGGAUGUAUAAGAAGAGGAGACUAUGGGCCGCGGCUUAUCUGACAGAGGGUUUUUGGCUUGGCAUGAAAAGCAACCAGAGGAGUGAAAGUCUAAACUCAUGCCUUCACCUCCACCUAGACGGUGAAAUGACCCUGGUGGAUAUGAUUUUGCACUAUGAGAACGCCGUUGUACGUAUCCGUGAGAAUGAGGCACGAGAUGAUUGCACGGCCUCACAGAGUUUACCGGUGCCAGUUACUAGCUCGAGGGAACUUGAGAUAGCCGCUUCUCACGUCUUCACUCCAACAAACUUCUAUAUGUUGCAAGCUGAUCUUAGGAAAAUUGGUGGCAUGGAGAUUGUAGAAAUAAAGCUCGGAGACGGAUCACAGCAGUACAUCGUGGCCUCGAAGAAUAACCGGAAGAGCCGUUUUUGGGUGGAGUACACUCCAGCGCAGAAACUAUAAGGUGCAGUUGCAGAAGAAUGAUUCGAAAGGGUCUACCUUGCAAGCACAUAUUCCAUGUACUGAAGUACUUGAAUAUAUCUGAAAUACCAAAGUGUUUAGUUCUUGUGCGGUUCACGAAAGACGCAAGGUUGGGACUGCCCGCCAGGCGCACAAGCGAUCUGUUGGGAUUUGGAUGGACUGGAGCAGCUGAAAGAAUGAAAUAUAGCCAGGUCAGUGUGUUGGCUUCAGAAGCUAUGCAUGCAGCAUGCAAACACCCAACUUUGUGGGAUCAGUUACAGGAGAGUUUGAAGGCCGUGAUAGCUAAGAGCCAUGAGUAUGAUCAGCUAAAGGAAAAUUUGAGUAAGAAAACGGCUGAUCUUAGUACUUGUGCAAUUGAAUAUGUAGAUGAUGGUGAAGGCAACAUAGUUGAAGUUCAUGAUCCUAUUAAAGUAUCAACGAAAGGUGCAACUAAGGUAGAUGAGAACCGCCCUAUGUCGAAAAAUGGUAGGCCACUUUCGUACGACGAGAUCAGAAUCAGGUGCGGCGCAUGCAAAUUGCUAGGGCACACUAAACGCAGCAAGAAAUGCAAACUAAAUAAGAAGUAAGUUUUUGUAUGCAUUGUAGGUUAUAAUUGUUUUUAACUUUUCAUUCAUUAACUUUUCCUGUUAUCGUGUGCAGAAGCGUGGUGGGCGAAGAAGAGUAGAACAGUUGCUAAAGUUAUGUUAGGAUGAAUCCAGUGAUCUAAUAGUGAGGUGUUUACAAUGUGUUACUGCAUACAUGAUACAUGAUAUAUACUAUUGCAAGAGGCCAGUACCUUGAGAUAGUGCUUGUAGCAUAUAUGGACUAAACAGGAGGCGGUCACUAGGGACUUUAAUCAUGGAAAAUGGAUAGCAUUUUAGCCAUUGUAAUGAUGGCAUCUUUUGUGUUGUCCACUGUAGUUAUAUUAUAUUAGAAAACUAGACGAUACCUGGCAUGUUGUUGCGGGAAUGUUUUGCAAUAUAUUCAUAGAGAAAUGGUUACGUGUAACAUGUAUAUGUUGUUGCGGGAAUAUUUUGUUUGCAUGUUGUGGUGGACCUUUCUCCAUACAUGUUGAAUGACGAGGUGGCAAACUUGCAUGUUAAGAGAAAUAGGUUAGUGGUGGCUAGUUGUUUAGAUAUAGAAGAUGUAAUUAUGUGUGGUAAUAAUUAAAAAAAAUUCACUCCUUUGGUUCACCACCAUUUAGAUAUAGAAGAUACCAGCUCACUUUGGUCUAUAGUAUAGACUUCGUACCAAAAACCCACCAUUUUCCCCUUAUAAAGAAAAGAAAAACCCACCAUUUUAUGGCUUGUAUUGUAACUCGGGCCGCUUGUCGCGAUGACGUGGAGGGGGGGUGACGGAUGCCGUAAGACGGCGCGACACAAGGCCGCUCCCAUUGCCGAGCCCAUUUAACAAUUUUUAUUUUGAUUACAGCCCGUUUAAAUGGGCCGCGCUGGCCACCUGGUCGGGGCGGUUCUUCCCUCGCGAUCUCCACGCGUGUUCUAUAUAUCCACUGCAACCGCCGCCGCCGCUGCCGCCACCGAUCCACGUCUUGCCGCCGGUUACGUUACGCCAUGGUUUCGUGGAGCGACGAGUCGAGCUCUUCUUCGGAUGGCGAAUCCAUGACUAGCCUGCAGGUACGCUCCUACUAUAUAAUCUCCAAAUAGUGCUAGGCUUAGGGUUAGAGUUCUUCAUUUCCGGUAUUUAACGCAGGGCGUUGAUUUGUGCAUUAUCUCUGUUGUUUCGUUUAGCUUCCUACGACUAUCCCUUGCUAUGAAUGGAGUGGCAUUGCUCACGAUUUGUCUUCUCGUUGUCUGCAUCGAGAACCUUGCGUCAGGCUAGUUGCUUUUGAUUCCUUGGACACUGGCAGACGUUUUCUUGCCUGUGGUCAGAAGGUAUGUUGUUCCGUACUGUAAAUAUAUGUUUAAAUUACCUCGUGCUUGAUUUACUUCGCGGUAAUCCAUUGUUCUGCCCAAAAUUGCAUACAUUUCAAUUAAUUUGUGCAUUUACAAAGUCCGUAUUUAUGUUGUUUUUUACGGUCUAAUAUUUGUUUUAGCACAUAAUAGCAUAUACUUGUAGUUAAUUGAUCCNNNNNNNNNNNNNNNNNNNNNNNNNNNNNNNNNNNNNNNNNNNNNNNNNNNNNNNNNNNNNNNNNNNNNNNNNNNNNNNNNNNNNNNNNNNNNNNNNNNNNNNNNNNNNNNNNNNNNNNNNNNNNNNNNNNNNNNNNNNNNNNNNNNNNNNNNNNNNNNNNNNNNNNNNNNNNNNNNNNNNNNNNNNNNNNNNNNNNNNUAUAUCAUUGCGUGCUACAUUUUGUGUUUAUAUGAUUGAGACCAUAUUUUUAGUGCAUUGCAUGUAAUUGUAUUGCAUUUGUGCAUAUAUGAUUGAGACCAUAUUUUUUCAUACUGUAGGAAGAAGUGAAAUGUAACUAUGUGGAAUGGAUAGACCCGGAGUGGUUAGUGGCUACGAAGUUCUGCCUGAGAGAACUGUGGAGCAUGUAUGACGAGAAGCUGAGACAGAAUAUUAAGAAUGCUGAAGAAAAAUGCAUGUUAAUUGGAGAAAAGAGGAGGACGGAGGAAGAGCUGAGAUUUUUCAAAAUGGACUUUGCUAAACUGGUGGCUGAUAAGGAGGAUGCUCUCACGCAGUUGGGCAAUGCAAGAUUGUCACUUAGCGAUCUCAAAGAGGAGCUGGAGAAGAAUAAGAUGGCAGAUCAUGGUUGUGCCAAUCUACAUCAGGUCCUGAGGGUAAAGGCUGAGAAAGACCGGGACCGGGUGGUGCUAGAGAGAGACCAAGUGAUGAGAGAGAGGGACCAGCUGAAGCAAGAGAAGAAAAAACUUGAGUAUAUUAUUGCAGAUUUUCUCAAACAGAAACAUGGGUACGUUGAUAAGAUCAAGAAGCUGAAGGAGAUUUGUGAUGAAUUUUAAGUAUGUUUUGUGGUUUAUUGUUGAACAGAAUGAUCAAGUCCUAUCUGCAUUGUGGCCAGUUCAUUUGUGUAAGGUCUAAGUAUAUUAUAUUAACCAAUAAAUUAUAUCACUUUCGAAAUAGUUUGCCCUUGUUUGACCUGCAUCCUAAUGCGGGUUCUUGGCUAAGCACUGAAAUUAUUUUGCUUCCACCGGAGCUCUAAAUCGUACUGAUCAAGGGGGCGAAAUAGUAGUUGAUCAUGUGAUUGAUGGUGCUACUGAUCCUGAUCUUCAUGAUGCAGAAAAGGAAAAGGCUAACAAAAAUGCAGCAAAAAAACUGUGCAACGAGAUUUGAAGCAACACAUAACGCCAAGGCAGUCUGGCGCAAGACACGAGGAAGAUCCACCUGUGGACGCUGAUCCCGAGAGAUCCAGCGGCAAUCAUGCUCUCGGGAUCCCAGGCGGAUCUGCCUACUCCACCAACCGCAGGAUCCACGGGUGGCCCGUCUGCGUCCGACACGCGGGCUGUCUCCACCGAGCGGUCGGGCGGGACCGGACCUGGCGCGUCCCCCCGCGCCAACUGGCGCUCGUCGACUGGGUCGCCCGCGCUGGGACCGGAUCUGUCGUUGUCUCGGGCGCGGGAUCCCACACCGGAUGGCACGACAGCCGAGGUUGAUUCUCAGGCAAACAAAAAGGAAUUUAUCAACUUUUUUUCUUAUUGUUGAAUAAUGCCAAAUCAAAUCAAAAAAAUAUGCAAAAGUAAAAAGGAAAUGAAUUACUCUUCCAUGGAAGAAAAGAAUGAACACAACAGCAAAAAACAUUAAGGUAGAGCAAAUGAAGGGAAGCAAAAAUUUAUUGGUACGAAACGUAUAGUCUGACUGCAUUACACAUACACAAGUAUGUGUGAGCGACCAAAAAUCCACACAAAAUCCAUGGUAUCGUGCUUAUUACAUGAAUGAUAGAAAAUCAAAGUUGUCCAUGCCGGGAAACGUGCUUCCGGACUUAAAACAAACGACUGAAACUAGAAUCUUGAAUCAUGUAUGAUGUCUUCACGCCUUGCUUUUCUUUGCGAUGUCGCGGAUUUUGUUCUUCACACAUUCGAGCGUGUUGGUAGGUGAGAGAACCAACUCGGCGAUGAGACGCCUUCUCCUUGCAUUAACCGUGCCCUGCAAUUUUUAGAACAAGGUUUAAUGAAUAGAAGUUGGUAUUAUACGAUAAUUGUACAAGUGUACGAGCAGAGAGGAGAAAUUACCUGGGUAAAAUCGGCGGUCCAUCGAUCCCCGUCCCAAUGCUCCAUAACUUCAAUCACAAAAAGGCCACAAGAGUUCCUAAUAUAUAUGCAAACAUUAGUCACCGUGCACACGAACAUGUCUUUCGUAAGUAGAAAAUGAUGAACCAUAACUCACCCGUCCUCUUGUAGUGGCAUGUCGAUCUGAGGUAUGAUAGGCCACUUAGUGACGUCUGGAUAUUUGCCAGGUGUAAUACGGUUUGCCUCUUCCAUAUCAAUUGCUAUUGCUAGUCGCUAUUUUAAAGAAAGUAGUAGUGAGAAACCUAUGACAUUUCAUAUGAAGAAUGCUCAAUGUCGGGGAGAGUACCAGUGCUUUCACAGUGUCGAGAGAGAACUCGAGAGGAUAGAGCGAAUCAAAAACUCGGAAUUCUUUCUUGCGGUUGUGCAUCACCACGGUGAUCCAAUGUGUAUUGCCGACGUUCAACGGGAUAAACGACUGAAAUGUGGAACACAUUUGUAAUCAGAUGCAAUUAUGCUUGUUGAAAUGAGUGUUAAUGAACUAGUAAAACAUAUCGUACCUUAUCACGGACGGUAUACUCGUGCAGAACCCUACGUACUGCUCCAGCUCUGCUCAGCGCACUAUCCAUGUUGUAUUUCGACGGUUUAGGGUUGUCUCGUGCCUUAGCACGAUCAACAAGGUAUUUGGACCUCCAGGCUGGACAGAGGUGCCGAUCAUGACCAACGCGCAGAGCCAAAUGUGUCUGAUAAGCAUCGAUAAUCUGCGUAAAAUAAUAGAACAUUUUAUUUUCAUAGGUGACACCUAGAUUAUGCACUUAAAUAGCAGGACAUGGUAAUAGAUCUUACGUCAUCCGCCAGCCAUGUAUGCUCAAGUACCGGUCGUAUACUCUCCACAGUCACAGAGGUGCCACGUUCAUUGUAGUAAACUCUUUUUGUCAUAUUCUUCUCAGACCGAGCAGCUGCCUCCACAAACGCAACAGCAGCAUCGAUGAGUUCCGGUGUCAAAUCGUCCUUAACAGAGCCUUCCAUGUCAUUGUCACUAAACAGAGCUGCAUGAUAAAUUACGAACGUCACGAACGGUGAGUACAUGAAAUGGUAGUAAAUUAAGCACUAAGAUAGCUACUAACGGUACCUCUAGUUGCGGUAGUGUUGCCGGAUGGCUUAGUACCACGAGCGCUUCGCUUGCCGGGCUUGUCAAGUUUAAAGGGGGAUUCAAAUUUCUUGGGAACAGUCCGUCGGCGCUUCCCGGAUAUAACAUCGUCUUCUUUUGCGGUUGCUGCAGACUUUUUCCCCUUGGUCUUACCCACCAUCCUGUCGAUAGAACUUGUAGAAAUGUCAAUGUCGGACAAUUCUGCUCGAGGAGAAUUACCUACAAUCCAAGGGUUCUCCGGUGUUGCGCCGCACUCAUCAGUAGGUUUUGUUGUCUUGUCAACAUUUAACUUGGCAGGUGUUUUCUAGUUAACAAAAAAAAUAAUGUGAUAGGUUCAGUUAACGAAAAUGAAGAUGCAUAAUUGAGAUAAAUGAAGACAAAUAAAUGAAAACAUACUUCCUCAUCAUCGUUGUUCUGGUUUACAACAGGCUCGUCAGGCUGUGUCAAAUCAAUCACCGGCUCUAGACCGUCAGAGUCAUCCUUGUACACGAAUUCUUUUUUUUCUGGCGGACCAUUCUCAAAGGAAUCCACUUCUAGGUCGGCAUCGUUGUUGCCGGAAGCCGCAGCAGCCGCUGGCUUGUACAUCACACCAUUUUGGUUCAACUUCUCUAACAAUCUCUGCAUUACAUAAAAAAUAUUAAUUAAUGUCGGCACGGUUUUGCAACUUCAAAAAUGUUGUAAACAUAGAAUUAAGGCUGUGUCACCUCGGCUACUUGUUCUGGUAUCUCCUUCAUUUGGCUGCGUAUGUAAUCCAUACACCGCUUCAUGAUGAGGUUCAUCAUCUCGUCCGCGUUUGAGGCUAACUUGGACUUCUUUGCCGCACCAACGGCGGGCUUCAUUUUUGGCUUUUCUGGUUCGGGUACUUUGCGCUCCUGCGCCCUAUACUCCUUGGUUAUGUUGUCUUCAAUCUGCAUGUGAAAUACAAGUAUAUGUGAUCAAUAAAAAUAUUAAUACAACUAAUUAUGUUAUAUAAAAGUUAAGAAGUACCCAACGUAAUGAAUUACCUUGAUGUUACCACGGCCACGGCCUUGGUCAUAAUCAAACUUGUCUCUCCUUGAGGCUGCAGCUUCAGUCCAAUUCCUCAUUAGAGGUUCCAUGGACAAGCUAGGAUUGAAUGCGCAUUCACCUUCCAGAGGCUGAACCUUCUCCCAGUACAGGUACUGCAUGAAUAUGAAAAAUUACAAUUAGUACUAUACAGCAGGUAAAUUAGCAAUCAUAUUUUUUUUUUUGCAAUGGUACAAGUCUGAAAGGUGUACCUGCAGGAGAGCUAAGUUCCCUCUCGGCCAUUGGCGGAGGUGUUUGCCUUUCCUCACGUUGCGAAGGCAGUCCAGCAGAACUGGGAGGGUGAAUGCAUUCCAAUUAAUCUUGGAUAUACGCUUCACAUCGUCCACCAAUGCGUAAUAUUGCUUUGGUAUAGUCUUGCUCGACAUGGGAGCAAGAACUGUUCCAAGCAACACGAGGACAACUCUCCGAAGGAAAUAGUCGUCGGCAGAUUUAUUUUUUGUGAUGUCCACAAUCAGAUCAUCGAUGACUAUGUUACCUGUGGUCUUGCUCAGGAAUUGAGGCGGCACUCGAUCUUUAACAUCCUCACCUUCCUCACCGAGAAUACCUUCUGCCGACAGUCCGUGGUUCUCUAAGGCCAAGAUGCACUCCACAUCCACGGCACCGAGAGACACUUCGCCAACCAAGUCUUGUACAAUGAAUCUGCCCUUGCUAGGAUCAAAUAUCUCAACCAUGUACCGGAUCAACAGUGUAUGCAUCUUCAGCGAAGGUAUCUGAAGCAUGCUACGGAGUGGUGUUUCGGCAAGUGCGGCCCGUUGACCGGAAGAUAUACCGGCAAUAAGUUUGCACCAUUUUUCUACAGCGCAAACAAUUUCUCCGUUGAGUUCAUCCAUCCUGUUAAAAAAUAUACUUGGUUAUAGUACCAUAAAUUAUGUAAUCAACUUUUUUCCUAACAUAUUGUUGCAUAAAACAUAAUAAUGGAAUACACUAUCCCAUAGUAGAUAGAAAACUAUACAACAUAAUUUAUUCAUACUGAAACAUUCAGCAGAGACACGUGCAGCACAUAAAAUGACAGUUUAACAAGUACUUAUUUAACCAAUUAGUUUCAUAAUAAAAAGCAAUCGGUACUGGAACAUGCAUCGGUGACAGGAUGGAUGGAUUAAAAAACAAUAAUUUAUCUAAUAAUUUAUUUUCAUAUGGUACUGUACAAAUAGAUAUAAGAAUCGGUGACAGUGCCUAAUUAACAGUAAAUUGAAAAGAAAAAAACGAAAUUAUGCAUACUGGAACAUGCAUCAAACAAACGUGCAUCACAUACAAUAUUAGUCGGCGUCUCAUAGUUGCAACAUGCAUGUCUUAGGGCAUUGCUAUAACUUAAAGUGACUAUGCUAUAACUAACACUGAUAAAAAAAAUUGUUGUUUAUUCAUAAAUCCAACCUACAAGUGAAAGACAACAAACAACAUGCAGAAACUAAUUUGCAAUCGUAGGGCUAUCUAAUCAAACACACGCACAAACAAAUCUAGUGUCAUAGGCCUAUCUAAUCUAAUACACGCACAAACAAAAAACAUCUACUCCAACAGAUGUAAUGCGAAGAUUAUGCGCUAAUUAAUCUUAGUCCUAUCGAAUCUAACACACGCACAAAGAAAAGCAUCAUGGAUGCGGUACGGUUGCCAACAUACUGGAUCGCUCGAUGAAGAUGGAAGUUCUCGGCGUUGUAAUGUGGACGCAGUUCGUCCACGACGGCAAGCACGCGCUGACGACCUGGAUGUUCUCGACGAUCUUGCUGGGGUUGGGCCGAUGCUAGGGACGCAGCUGUCGUGGACUCGGCGGUAGGAGCCGUCGUAGACGACAUGAAAGACGAUGCCGAGACUAAAUAGGAGGAGGAGGAUCUCCUAGGUCGUCGUAACCACCAGGGAUAGAACGCCCGUGAUCUUUGCCUUCCUUAGUUGAGGAGAGGCAGUACGUGCUCCUAAAUUAAAGGGAUAGGCUUCCCACGCUCGAGUUUUUUUGUAGAUUCCGAUCCGGGAAUUGUGUAACAAAUCGCAGCUGCUCCUCUCUUUGAGCGAUGAGGGGCUCGUUUCAUGUACUUUUUUCUUUUCUUUUUCAUAUUAGAAAAUUUUGAUAUCAAAUAAUUAUUUCAACUCAACCAAAGGGCCCCAAAAAAAUUUCACACAAUGGGAUGACCAUGGACAUCAUGCAUGCCAAUUCUCAUCGAUUUCCGACACUCGAUGCAUUUACUAGGAUUUUGCCGGCGAAAAGAACCCGAAACGUUGCCCGGACAUGACGCAACGUUCGUUCGGUGUCAGGAAUGGCUCACAUGUUGCAUGGGGGCCUACAUUGGGCAUCCUCACAUGGUGCCAAAGUUUGGUGUCAUUUCAUGCAGGCCAGCACAUAGCACAUGUGCAAUCACCAUCAUUCGGGUCUGCCGUAGGGGGAGCCCGAAGGACGUUGUUUUUCUGGACUCUACCAAAUGGCCCCAAAAAAAUUUCACGCAAUGGGAUGACCAUGGACAUCAUGCANNNNNNNNNNACAAACAACAUGCAGAAACUAAUUUGCAAUCGUAGGGCUAUCUAAUCAAAUACACGCACAAACAAAUCUAGUGUCAUAGGCCUAUCUAAUCUAAUACACGCACAAACAAAAAACAUCUACUCCAACAGAUGUAAUGCGAAGAUUAUGCGCUAAUUAAUCUUAGUCCUAUCGAAUCUAACACACGCACAAAGAAAAGCAUCAUGGAUGCGGUACGGUUGCCAACAUACUGGAUCGCUCGAUGAAGAUGGAAGUUGUCGGCGUUGUAACGUGGACGCAGUUCGUCCACGACGGCCAGCACGCGCUGACGACCUGGAUGUUCUCGACGAUCUUGCUGGGGUUGGGCCGAUGCUAGGGACGCAGCUGUCGUCGACUCGGCGGUAGGAGCCGUCGUAGACGACAUGAAAGACGAUGCCGAGACUAAAUAGGAGGAGGAGGAUCUCCUAGGUCGUCGUAACCACCAGGGAAAGAAUGCCCGUGAUCUUUGCCUUCCUUAGUUGAGGAGAGGCUGUACGUGCUCCUAAAUUAAAGGGAUAGGCUUCCCACGCUCGAGUUUUUUUUGUAGCUGCUCCUCUCUUUGAGCGAUGAGGGGCUCGUUUCAUGUAUUUUUUUCUUUUCUUUUUCAUAUUAGAAAAUUUUGAUAUCAAAUAAUUAUUUCAACUCAACCAAAUGGCCCCAAUUUUUUUUCACGCAAUGGGAUGACCAUGGACAUCAUGCAUGCCAAUUCUCAUCGAUUUCCGACACUCGAUGCAUUUACUAGGAUUUUGCCGGCGAAAAGAACCCGAAACGCUGCCCGGACGUGACGCAAUGUUCGUUCGGUGUCAGGAAUGGCUCAGAUGUUGCAUGGGGGCCUACAUUGGUCAUCCUCACAUGGUGCCAAAGUUUGGUGUCAUUUCAUGCAGGCCAGCACAUAGCACAUGUGCAAUCACCAUCAUUCGGGUCUGCCGUAGGGGGAGCCCGAAGGACGUUGUUUUUCUGGACUCAACCAAAUGCCCCCAAUUUUUUUUCACACAACGGGAUGACCAUGGACAUCAUGCAUGCCAAUNNNNNNNNNNNNNNNNNNNNNNNNNUGGGGGCCUACAUUGGGCAUCCUCACAUGGUGCCAAAGUUUGGUGUCAUUUCAUGCAGGCCAGCACAUAGCACAUGUGCAAUCACCAUCAUUCGGGUCUGCCGUAGGGGGACCCCGAAGGACGUUGUUUUUCUGGACUCAACCAAAUGGCCCCAAUUUUUUCACACAACGGGAUGACCAUGGACAUCAUGCAUGCCAAUUCUCAUCGAUUUCCGACACUCGAUGCAUUUACUAGGAUUUUAAAAAACAAUUCAAAUGUAAAAAAGAUAAGAUCUAUUAGAACGAAGAGGUGAAAUAAAAGAUAACAUAUUAUCUUACAUUUUGAAAAUAUUUCAAAUAUAAAGAAGAGAGCAAAUAUUAGAAUGAAGAAGUGAAAUAAAACAGAACAUUUUAUUUUACAAACUAAAAACAUUUCAAAUAUAAUAAAGAUAAGAAAUAUUAGAAUGAAGAAUUGAAAUAAAACACACCAUUUUAGUUUAUAUUUCGUAAAUAUUAUCAAUAUAAAAACGAGAACGAACAAAUGAAAUAAAACACAACAAAAUUUGGCAUAUUUUUUUAAUUUUAGUAAACACUGUUAGAAAUAAUAUAGAAAAAAGAGAUUUGAUUUUAAAUAUUAGAAAUAUAAACAAGAAAAUAAAUUUUGGAGUUAAGAAGUGAAAAACAAAGAGAAUAUAAAACAGAUCAGUGCGCGGGUAAGGCUGCCCUGGGCCAGCCCGCCCGAAUUGGGCCCAAGGCAGAGCCGCGCAAGGCACAGCGCAGCNNNNNNNNNNAAACGCUGCCCGGACGUGACACAAUGUUCGUUCGGUGUCAGGAAUGGCUCAGAUGUUGCAUGGGGGCCUACAUUGGGCAUCCUCACAUGGUGCCAAAGUUUGGUGUCAUUUCAUGCAGGCCAGCACAUAGCACAUGUGCAAUCACCAUCAUUCGGGUCUGCCGUAUGGGGAGCCCGAAGGACGUUGUUUUUCUGGACUCAACCAAAUGGCCCCAAUUUUUUUCACACAACGGGAUGACCAUGGACAUCAUGCCUGCCAAUUCUCAUCGAUUUCCGACACUCAAUGCAUUUACUAGGAUUUUAAAAAACAAUUCAAAUGUAAAAAAGAUAAGAUCUAUUAGAAUGAAGAAGUGAAAUAAAAGAUAACAUAUUAUCUUACAUUUUGAAUAUAUUUCAAAUAUAAAGAAGAGAGCAAAUAUUAGAAUGAAGAAGUGAAAUAAAACAGAACAUUUUAUUUUACAAACUAAAAACAUUUCAAAUAUAAUAAAGAUAAGAAAUAUUAGAAUGAAGAAUUGAAAUAAAACACACCAUUUUAGUUUAUAUUUCGUAAAUAUUAUCAAUAUAAAAACGAGAACGAACAAAUGAAAUAAAACACAACAAAAUUUGGCAUAUUUUUUUAAUUUUAGUAAACACUGUUAGAAAUAAUAUAGAAAAAAGAGAUUUGAUUUUAAAUAUUAGAAAUAUAAACAAGAAAAUAAAUUUUGGAGUUAAGAAGUGAAAAACAAAGAGAAUAUAAAACAGAUCAGUGCGCGGGUAAGGCUGCCCUGGGCCAGCCCGCCCGAAUUGGGCCCAAGGCAGAGCCGCGCAAGGCACAGCGCAGCGCACAGCCGUGGGGUGGUGGGAGUUUAGUCCCACCUCGCCAAGCGAGAGAACGCUGCACCAGUUUAUAUACCCGGCUGCGACUCCCCUCCCAAGCUCCUAUCAUAUGCAGGCAGUACAUUGCCUAACUCUCGGCCCCUCUGCCCCGUGGGGCCUACUAGCAGCAGAGAUAUUCUGCACCACGGGCCUGCAUCCUGGCCCAUGAACGGCUGGGUUCCUAGUCGUAUGCAGGCCGUGGUGUAUGAAUUCUCCUACUCUGGUAGGUGGGCACUUUUUUUUGGCAUAUUGCCAUGUGUUUUGAUCUUCAAAUCACACACUAAAUUAUACACAUGCUCACUUGCAUUCAAUACACAUUUUUUGCAUAUAUGACAAGUUAAUGUUUUGACCUUCAAAUCACCUAAUAAAUUUUACACAUGCUCACUUACAUGUAAUACACAUGGCUAUUAAUGGGAUUUCAACAAAAAUGAGGCCGUGGUGUAUGAAUUCUGCUCCCACAUGCAUGCCAUGGUCAUGGUAGGGUGUGCAUAAAGUUUGGGAUCAUUUGGUGGGACCGGCAAGGAAAACCUCUUUCAAACUUGCCCUCCGGCAAACCUGAAUGGUCCGGCUUGUACAUGGUUCAUGUGGAGGCAUGCAUGAGAUGACCCCAACUUUUUCGGAGCAUGUGGGCAUGGCCAAUGUGGUCCCCCAGGCAAGGUGUGCACGAAUUCGGACACAAUACACACGUUGCGUCAUGUCGGGGCACUGUUCUAGGGUUUUAUCGCUAACCUUGCAGGGUUAAGCUAUGUAUUUGAAUCUAGAACCAAAUUAACGCAACCUUAGAGUUGAAGAACUGCCUGAUCCAUAUAUCAUUAAUAAUGCUCUAUUUCCACUUCAAGCCAGCAUAAACCUAUAUAACCAAAAGCCAGCAUGGCCUGCAGUCUGCCUAACCCAUCAUCCUAGGCUUACAAAGUUCAUGAGCACCGCAAAAUAACAGCAACAACUACUAAAACAUCGCAACAAAGUAAAGGCCACAUCUUCAGCAGGAAGUAGAGUCUUCUUUUUUAUCCUUCCAGUCUUGCCACGUUGAUUCUCCACCCCUGCUUCGCUGUGUACACUUCACUUGCUACUCGCUCUAGCAGUCUUGCUCCCACCUCCAGCACCUUUUUUGUGGCUCCUUUGUCUGCAAAAUAGAUCAAUCAACAAUCCUAUUAGGGGCUACAUUUUUCAUGCAGAGAAAUAACUAUAGUUUUCCCAAUACCGCAGUACUAAAAUCACAUUUAUUAGGGGCAACCAAACAGCUCACUGUAAAUAAAACUAACAUAAUCUCAAAUACUGAAGUAUUCUCAAAGAACUUAGAACAUAGUAUGCUAUCAAAUGGGUCCAAACUGACUCACACAGAUAGACUAACUGAAGACACUGACAUGCCAUCACUCUGUUUUCUUGUCCUUCAACUUGCUGAUGCGCUCUGAGUGACGAAUGCCCAUACGGAUGUAGGUCUCCGCUUCAAUCGGCAUGGUCCUAUCUCCGAGCUACGGGAUCCCUGGACCCACAAUCUGCACGUCCGCCGGCUGCUCCUGGACAACAUCCUCCUCCUCCUCCUCUCCAGCACUGUCGUCCAGCAGCAGAACAACCUCCUCUUCCCCGCUCUCAUCCUUGCUCUGCUCCACAUCUUCGCUAUCACUCUCAUCCUCGCUAUGCCCCACAUCUUCACUAUCACUGUCAUCCUUUCUUUGCUCCACAUCACUGUCAGAGUGAACAUUGGACUGAUCAACCGGGGCAGGCACCGCGAGCAACACUCCGACAAGAUCUGGCACUGGAAUAGGAGGGGCGCGGCGGCGGGAGCGGUACAUGUACCACCUCGCACGCUGACGCGGAUCCGGGGAGUUCUCCGCUUCGUUCAUAGCCCAGAGGAAAACCUGGACUGGAACAACUCCUCGAGCAGGACCAAACAACGAUUUCUUCUCAUUGCCCGUAAGCACUUUGAUGAGACCCCUACCGUGGUCGAUGAACAUCUGCAAGCUGGGAAACCAGCUACAGAUCUCCUCCACAUUCACCCUCUUCUCCAGAUCGCCCUGACAGAACUUCCCAACUGCCUCCUCCCACAUUUCUUGAGCGCGGCGGCAAUCACUUGCCGACCGCGACCUCCUUCCCUUCUUGUCCCCCAUCGCCGGCGGCGCCAGAUGUGAGAUUUGAGCACACGGAGUGAAUGGGGAACAGAAGCAAAGACCUAGGGUUCGUAUCUGCCAGAUGAAAUGGGGAAUUUUUCCCCUCUCCAGCUGAUAACCGCGUGUGAGGCCGGCCUGGAACGGCCCACCCAAAUUAGGCCCAAAUCAAAGCCGCGGCAGGCACUGUCUCGGGGUGGUGGGAGUUUAGUCCCACCUCGCCAACGGAGAGGAGCUCGCACCGGUUUAUAAACCCACCUGAGCUAAUCAUCUCAAGUUCCUAUCUAAAGCAGGCAGCUCAUUGCCUAACCAGUCUCUCUCUGCCCUGUUGGGCCUACCGGCAACUUAUAUACAUUCACCGCGGGCUUGCAUCCUGGCCCAAUGGGUUACUAGUCGUAUGCAGGCCAUGGGGUUUCAUAUAAAUGCUGUUGGUCGGCUGGCAUUUUUUAUUAUUUAUUUAAUUUUUUGCAUAUGUCACAUGUCAAAUUUUGCAAACAAGUUUGAAUCAUUAAAUUUUCAAAUUAUAAAUUAAAUUUAAAAUUUAAAAAUAUUAAAAAUAUUUGGACCUAACAUUUCCACCAUGUGAGGAUACCCAAAGUAAAUUUUUAAAUUUGUAUUCAAUUUUUUGCAUAUGUCAAAUGUCUAAUUUUGCACACAAGUUUGAAACAAAAUAUGUCCUCUAGACUGACUGGUCAAAACAUCGGUCUAUACCUCAAGGGGGCAUUGUAAAGUAUUAUUUUUCCAAAAAAAAAUUCAUAGCCAUGUUUGGCACAUGUGGGUCACCAUGUACAAGAAAAUUUGGGUGAUUUGGAGGUGGUGGAAAAAAUCACGUAUGUUAAAAAACUGGCUUAAGUUAGACCAAAUGGUCCCUCCGGAUCGAUGUUGGGUUGGUUUACAUGUACAUGUACAGGGACCGGAAAUGCGCGUGUCAGAGAUCGUACUUGCGUGUACAUGUACUAAUGAUCCCAAACUUUCUUCAUGGCAUCCCAUGACUCCAUAGAGNNNNNNNNNNNNNNNNNNNNNNNNNNNNNNNNNNNNNNNNNNNNNNNNNNNNNNNNNNNNNNNNNNNNNNNNNNNNNNNNNNNNNNNNNNNNNNNNNNNNNNNNNNNNNNNNNNNNNNNNNNNNNNNNNNNNNNNNNNNNNNNNNNNNNNNNNNNNNNNNNNNNNNNNNNNNNNNNNNNNNNNNNNNNNNNNNNNNNNNNNNNNNNNNNNNNNNNNNNNNNNNNNNNNNNNNNNNNNNNNNNNNNNNNNNNNNNNNNNNNNNNNNNNNNNNNNNNNNNNNNNNNNNNNNNNNNNNNNNNNNNNNNNNNNGGGGGGGGGGGGUUAGGGUUCAGGGUACAUGCCACAUUGUUCACAUUGUCCAAUUAACACUUUGUAUAGAUUUUUUGGGUAAAAAAUGAACGAAAUAAUGCAACUAAUCUGAACGUAACGUUUGGCAUGUAUCAAACCAAGUAGCCACUAUUCCUAAAAAAACCAGUUAGCCACUAAUUUGGCAUGCAUCGAAGCGCAUUACUUCAAAAUAACUAUUAACCCUACAAUCACGGAUAUAUACCUUCCCAUUCUACCGCAUAUCAACCCUAUCCUAACCACCCCCAUCUACCUUGUUUCUCCUCACAUAGCCAUCGUCGGGAUCGCGCCAUCGCUUCUCAAGCGACCACGCCGAUGCCGGAUUAAAAAGGUCUCCUCCACGGCUCCUCCCAUCUUCGAUUGCAGUGCUGAUUAUUUUUUCCAUUGAUUCGACCAAGAAGUCAUUUCCGAAGAGAUUAGAAAAUACAGCCUUUGCCAUAGUUGAGUAGUUCUGGUGUAAUUGGAGUACAGGAUGUCAUGCAAGAGCUUUUUGAUUGAUAGUUUGUAGUAGUUGUUCGUACGAACUGGUUAUGAAUAUAUUUUCUCGGUGGUAUUGUUAGGAAUUAGUUGGAUGAGGUUGUGGAUACAGUUUUCAUACUAUGGGUAUAUGUGUUGUUGUAGGGACCAUGGUCUCAGAGGCGCAUAACAACCGUGCGGAGUACGACAAGUCUUUGCAUGAAGCGCGCCGGGAGAUUGAUUUGAAGGUGCAAAAGGAUCGCGCUGAGGUAGAUAAGAAACUCAAAAAAGAACGUUCAUACAUGGACAGGAUGAUAAAGGAGGAGCGUGAGGAGUUUUCCCGUAAGAUGGCGAAGAUGCGUCUUGAGAUUGCAGAAAAGUAUAAGUGGGACUGUGAGGACAUGGAAAAAAAGUUUUUCCUUGGCUACAAGGAAAUGCAUCAAACGUUGCAGAAGGACCGGAAGCUUGUGGAUAGUAUUAUACAGACAGAGCGAGUCAGGAUGGAUGCCUAUGUGUUGCAGGCACGUUCGGAUAUGGACAGCAAGCUGCUACAGGAGCGGUGGGACAUGGAUUAUAAGGCCAUGCUGGAGAAGGUCCGUUUGGAAGGACAUAUGUUAGAAGCCCGUGCGAUCUCACGGCCACCCCGACAACAUGUCUUCAAUUUUUCUCCCCCUGUAAGUAUCUCGCACCGAUUGUAUAUAUGAAGGACCUACGUAUUCUAUGAUACAAACAUCUUCAAUUUGUGCCAACCUUAUGUCGGCGAUUGUAUGUAGGCUAAGCAUCAUGAGACGGCACAAUCGCCAUCCACUCGAGACAUUGCGAUAGAGUCACCCGUUCAAUGCCACAUCACUCCACCCCAACAACAUAUCUUCAAUUCUCCCCUUGUGAGUACCUCGCAACGAUGCCAUACCCAAGAUAUGGUAUGACCUUUUAAAAUUUGUGUGUAAACCCACUGUCGACGUUUCAUACACAGGAUAAGAAACCUGUGAUGGCAGAGUCCCCAGUCACACCACAUGAAGGAUACAUUCCACAUAACAAGGUGAGAAGGUUUGAGAUGGCACAAUCCACAGUCACUCCACAUGAAGGAUGUCGUGGAAUUGUCACGGCAGAUGUCCUCGAGCUAGGACUUAGUCGUGGAGCCAUCGCAGCUAGGAAGCUUGAAGGGGUUAAUGCGGGACAAGGAACACGAGGGUUUAUACUGGUUCGGCCCCUUACGGUGAAGGUAAAAGCCUACGUCCAGUUUGAGGAGGUAUUGAUUAGGGUUACGAUCACCGGGGAGCUAAACUGCUAUGCCCGGCUCUGGAUGAGAUUGUCGUCGCCCCUAAACCGCUGUCGGGUCAUCCCUUUAUAUAGGGAGGCUGACGCCCAGCAGCCCUUAGAGUCCCGGCCGGCUUAUAAGAGUAUCCGGCUCGGACUCUAAACUAUACUUGCCUUACGCUACAAGUUCUACUGUAAUAAUGAUUAUAACUACGGGCCUUAAGCCAUAUCCGGGUCUCAGCCCAUCUCUGGCCCAUCGUCUUGAAACUUGGCUCCAGGCUUCUGGCAACGAUCGUAUGAGUAACCCGGCCCCUCCUGGCGGGUGACUCUAAGGUCUAUAUCCUCAACAUUAGGCCCCAGAUUGAUUUGAGCCGGCUCAUGUCAAUCUUCGACUCUUCUGACAGAAAAAAAUCUCCGGCUUAUCAUUCAUGUGAAGGCCAUAACCCGGAGUGACGUCAUCCUCUAGACUCCGGAUAAUCCGCCGUGACGUCAUUCUCCAUUAAGUCCAUUUUUUACUCCGCCAGAUCCGCAACGGAUCUUUGCUUUACUGUCAUUCCGAAAAUCGAGGCGUCGUGGGGGGGAGAUAAUCACGCCACGGUCUCCUUGAAUCUCGCGCCCACUUAUGACCUCGCCUUAUAAAUAGGCCGGCCCAACAGGUCCUUCUCACGCCUCUUCUUCCUCCUCGCGCCGUCGCUCCUCUGACAGAGCUCUGCCACUGCCGCCGCCGUCGCGCCCCUGGUCUUCAUCAACCCGGCCGCUGCAUCACCCUGACUCGGACCAGAUAACGGCGGCGACCUCCGCUCUUCUCCAACUCCGGUGAGUCUCCUUUGCCCUGUCAGAUGGAUCUACCGUAGAGUUCGUCGGUGUUCUUCGCGUUCAUCGCCAUUGCCACAAACCUCAGUAGUUCUCAUAGCCACUGUACUUAAUCGAUCUUUAACCUUGCAUAGAGUUAGUGCGGUAGCUGUUUAAGCCUCAUUUCAAGUACUAGUAGAUCUCCUUCCACUGUAUAGAUGUCUCAUUCGAGCUCAAGAACUUCCCUGCGUCCGUAUUUUAGGUCUAGAAAACUUUCUUUGCUCCGACCAUUUUGAUCCGAAAAAGUUACAGCAGUAUGCGAAAACCUGUUUUACCACACUUAGUAAAAACUGCAACAAUUGAAACUUGGCGGCUUACAUCUCCGGGUUAAAGAAAACAUGUGCCAUAGAACUUUCCGGUUUAAAGAGAACUAUGCUCUGUAGAAUCCUCCGGCUUAACUGUAGUGAAACCGUAGAUAACCAAUUUACUCCGAACCCCCCUGCGGCUUAAAUAACCCACUGUAUCUGAGAAUAUAUCAUUAGUCCCCUUCAUAAGCCGCCAUCUUAGUUUGAACAAUAGAUCUCCGGCUUAUAAUUAACCCGGACACUUUACUCUUUAUCAUAGACCACCAACUUUCACCAUGCCUCCCAAGGCUCCCAUCACUUGCAACUGGAUGAGGUCCAACGUCACCGACGAGACCCUGGCCAAUUUCGUUAAGUCCGGAUAUUUACCUAAGAAGGAAAUCAUGUCCUACCGUGCCCCUGACCCGUCGGAAGAGAGACCACAGCCAAGGGACGGGGAGGUAGUGAUCUUUGCAGACCAUAUGAGCCGGGGCUUCGCACCGCCCGGCUCAAAGUUUUUCAGGGACGUGCUCAACUUCUUUGACCUACGGCCUCAGGAUAUAGGACCCAACUCCCUAUCCAACAUUUGCAACUUCCAAGUCUUUUGCAAAGUGUACCUUGGAGAAGAGCCCAGUUUGCUGCUUUUCAGAGAGCUGUUCUACUUAAACCGCCAAAAUGAGUGUGCCAACGGGCCAAGUCUAGAGUUAGGCGGCAUCUCCAUCCAGCGGCGUAGGGACUAUCUGUUCCCUUACGCAGAGCCGCCGAGCCACCCUAAGGACUGGAAUAUGACUUGGUUCUACUGCCAAGAUACGUCCCCGGCUUACGAAAACCCGCUGCCCGGCUUUCGCCCAACGCGCCUGGAGCCGACUCAUCCGCUAUCCGACAAACUGACUGCCGCGGAACGCCAGCCUCUGCUUCCAACGAUCAAUAAGAUCAAAGCCCUGCUAGGCAACGGUCUGAACGGAAUUGAUCUGGUCCGGGUCUGGAUCUCAUGGCGGGUGAUCCCAUUGAGCCGCCGCCCCGGCUUAAUGUGUGAGUACACCGGGCGAAAGGAUGACCCGCAGAGGCACAGUCGCAAUGAUCUUCCAGAAGACGUUGCAGAGGAAGAGACCAAGGCUCUUCUAAACGAGAGCUUGGCAGACUGCGGAAGAACCGGGCUAGCCCCCUUCUGCAAGACCAAUCCAGCUCCAGCGGUAAGCCGCUGACUUUAACUUUUAUCUUCGUCUGCAUAUAACCUUCAACUGAACCAUUUAAGAAUCAAUCAUCAUAUCUUUCAGACUGAUGAUAAAUUCUGGCGGGUCAAAUAUGACCAUGAGGCGGCCAAGAAAGCCAGGAAGGCAAAGAAAACCGCCAAGAAAGCCGCCCCUCGCAAAAGGGAAGCAAACCCACUUCUUCGGAGCUAUUGCAAUUAAGCGACAGCUCCGAGUCAGAGGUAAUCCUUAAACCUUUAAAUUCUUGCCAUAUUUUUUGUUUGUUGCUGUCCGCCUUAUCAAUAUUUGCUCAUUGACAGGAUGACACCGGCGCCAGUAACCCGGUGGUUGAAGAGGUAAUGUCACUUUCCUCCGACUCGGAGCCUUUGCCACAGCUGAAAGUCCGAAGAGUAACCCGGAAAGUAAGCUUUUCACAUCCAUUAGCUCAUCAAGACCCUCAAUUUCUUUUGAAGCCGCAGGUUCACGAAAGCCGGCGUCACACCCGGGCCCGUAAGGACACCGACCUCUCCGCCGGGUUACCCGACGCAACAAGGAAGCGUCGCACUGAGGUUUUUUCUCACCUGUACCCUUUUCAUCCGUUGGCGGGUGUUAUCCGCCAGCCACUCAACUCUUCUGACUCCAAUUAUCAGGAGACCUCCCCCUCUUCGGGUGACUCCAUGCAGUCAAGUCUGCCGGCCUUCAAGACUGCACCCGGGUAAUAACAAUCUCCUUACAUUAUCUGUCUGUACUUACUCUUUGUGUGCCUAACACUUCUGUCUUUUCAGUGCCCAGGCGAAGCUCACCAAAAGAGCAAAGAAAACCAGGUCAGCCGGAGUGCCAGACUUGCCUGACCCAGAGGCGACGGUUCAAGAGCCGCCAGCUACCUCUGCGCCCGAAGCCACCAUUCCAAUGGACACGGCACCUGAGGCCCCUGCCCCGACUACCAAGACAAUGACCGAAGCGUCGGUUAACCCGGAGGCCUCCGGCUCAGCCCCACCAGCAGACGACCCGGACGUGGUAAUCACCCGGACGGAAUUCGUUGAGCCGGGGAGACCGACCGCGUUGGACAAGUGCUCCGCGAAGGGGGAGUUACUGCAGCCCCACCGGGUGAACCUGGACCUCUCCGGCUACACCGACUUGAGCAUUGGAGAGCUCGUCUCUGGCUACAUCAGCCAAGUCCACAAGAGCCGGGACGCCGAGGUUGCCAUGGUCAACCAGAUCCAAAAAAAAUCCGAGGUACCCUUCUGCCGUCUUCUUACUUUACUGCAUAGUUACAUUUGCCAUGCUAGCCCCCAAGUCGAUGACUUAUACUUUAUAUGUUGUAGACUUAGGUUCCGGCUUACUCAACUGAGCCGGCAGUACGUAGAUAGAGACGUUCAAUAUGCAUUAGCCCCCAAGUGCCAAGUGCCUUUGCUUGGAAAGCGCUUGGGACUUAUAUAACAACUGUUAAUUAACCCGGAAAUACAUGCAGGCUGUUGGCAAGAAACUAGAGGCGGACCUUGCGGAUCUCAAGAGCCGGCUAAAGAUGCAAGAGACGGAGACCCGGAAGGCAAACGCCAAGUUCGUAUCCAGCAUUGCCACUCAAGAAAAUUUGAAGACCGAGUUUGACGCUUAGAGGAAAGCCUGGGUCGAAGAGAAGGCCGCACUGGUAACCCGGGCGGAACAGGCGGAGAAGGCCCUCACUGAGAAGACCGCUGAGCUCUCCGGCCUAAAGCGCCAGGUUUCCCAAAUGGUGGCUGCUAUCUUCGGUAAGUCGCCUCACCGGCUUUCAUCAAGUCUGUAUAUGCUAUGAUUCAUCCUUGUCACCGGCUUAUCUGAUCUUGUUAAACAGGUCCCUGGAGCGCCAACCUCAACCAGAGCGUGGUCACCAAGUUAAAGGCCGUGUACACCCUGGUGGAACAGCUCUACACCGGGUCACAGCGUGCCUUAGCUGUGGUGGCCCUAUCCAACGAGGUGCCAACUCAUCUGGCCGAAGUCCUGCGCCGGCUCGCUGUUCUGCCGCAGCGGAUCCAGGAGCUACGACGUGCCUCCGCGAGAGCCGGAGCAAUUGCCGCGCUGAGCCGGGCCAAAGCAUUCCUGCCGGAGCUAGACCCGGCAGACAUCGCCCUGGGUUACCCAAGCCUGAAGGAAGACGGCUCAGCCUUCGACCAGAAGGACUUCGCGGCAUGUGUGAAGGCUGUACACCCGGUGGCCACCCUCAUCGGGAACGACACCGACUUAACCAAGUACCAGCCGGGUUAUGAUGCGGAGAAUCAGAGGAUUCCAACCCCUCGCUAUGAAGCCCUCAAUCUGAUCCCUCCGGCUCGUCAGCACACCUUCGCCCCGGAGAUUGACCCGGCCGGGUUAAUUGACGAAGAAGCCCAGUUCGAAGCUCUCAGCGGCAUCAACUGGAAAUCAUCGACCUUCGAGGUCUUGGGAUCAGCCGGAGGAGAAGACAGAAGUGAGCCGGGGACUUCAACUCAGCGGGCAUCAUAAGUUAGCUGGCGGCUUAUCAAACAUUGUUCCAUCUUUUAGACUUGAAGAAUGAUUGUAAUAGAGUAAAUGCAACAGUUUAUCUCUGUCGUGCCAUCGUGCACGUUUUGAACGCGAAAGCCCUUUGAAUUUGUCUCCUUUAUGUUUCUCCGGGUCAGAAUCAUCCCUUUGUUUUUCUCAACCUCAAAAGAUGCCUUUAAGUAUCUGCAUGGAAAAGGCAAAUCACAAGUCUCGAGGCGGCUUACCGCCCUAAGAAUCAGGUGUUUGAGAUAAAUAACCUGGAAUUCGAAUCAAAAAAGGACUGGCCCUUAAUUAUACUCUGAACAUAGCCAUAAUAACACACUUAACAGCCUGUAAGCAUCUUCCGGUUUAAAUAACCCGGGUAGUAAGGUUGAUACCUUAACUCCGGUUUACCUGUCUUGAUGACACCCAUGACGUGCAAUUAACACUGUAAACCAAAGUUAAACCGGCAAGUGAAACCCGGCCAUGCACACCUCAGAGUAAACUUGUGAAAAAACAGGAGAACUUAGGGGCUUCCGGUUCGAAUACGACCAGAGACCCGGCCCCAAGGGGUUAAGCCAAGAUUCGGAUAUGAUCAUACUGCCCCCAGUGGGUGUGGCGAUGCCAAUCAAGAGGGUACCGACAGCUAUGUUCUCUUUGGUUCGAAUACGACCCAUGUUUGAACAGGAAGCCCCCAAAUGAUUCUUAAAAUUGUUUAACGACGCUGAUUCGAAUACGAUCCACGUCGGUUCUUAGAGGGGUUAAACUAUGAUUCAAAUAUGACCAAAGGCAACCUCGCAAUGAGCUCGGCACUUUGCCAGUCAAAUGGGUAUCGACAGUUAUGUUCUCUUUGGUUCGAAUACGACCCAUGUUUGAACAGGAAGCCCCCAAGUGACCUUUCUGAUUACGGCUAGACUCGAAUACGAUCAUAAGCUGGAUCCUCCUUUAAAUCAGCAUGUGAAAAACAACACAAGCAUUUUUGGAGGAGAAAAAAGGACAGAGGUCCUGCUUUAUUGCUUAUCAUAAUAUAUACAUGUCUGAGACAAAUAUGUACACCACGAGAGCCGGUAGCUCAAGUGUAGUAAGGCCGAAGCUGAGCUAUGUUCCACGGCCGACGGGUCUCCUCCUCAGAUUUACGCGAAUCUUUAUGCUCCCGAAUAUCAAUGAGGUAAUAUGACCCGUUGUGCAAGUUCUUGCUGACCACAAAGGGCCCUUCCCAAGGUGGGGAUAACUUGUGUGUAUCUGUUUGAUCCUGGAUGAGCCGGAGCACAAGGUCGCCUUCCUGGAAGACCCAGGAUUUAACCCGGCGGCUAUGAUAACGGCGCAGGUCUUGUUGGUAAAUCGCUGAACGGGCUGCUGCCACAUCACGCUGUUCGUCCAACAAGUCCAGAGCAUCUUGGCGCGCCUGUUCAUUAUCCGUCUCAACAUAAGCCGCCACGCGAGGUGAAUCAUGACGGAUGUCACUGGGGAGGACUGCUUCUGCUCCAUAAACCAUGAAGAAAGGCGUGAAGCCUGUAGACCUGUUAGGAGUAGUAUUGAUGCUCCAUAAGACGGAGGGCAACUCCUCCACCCAACAACCCGGCAUCCGUUGUAAAGGGACCAAAAGCCGGGGCUUGAUACCCUUCAGAAUUUCCUGGUUAGAUCUCUCAGCCUGACCAUUGGAUUGAGGAUGAGCCACUGAAGAAACAUCAAGUCGGAUAUGCUCUCGUUGACAAAAUUCUUCCAUGGCGCCUUUGGAGAGAUUGGUGCCAUUGUCAGUUAUAAUGCUGUGCGGGAAACCAAAGCGGAAAAUCACCUUUUUCAUAAAUUGAACCGCCAUGGCUGCAUCGCACUUGCUAACUGGCUCGGCUUCCACCCACUUUGUGAAUUUGUCAACUGCCACCAAGAGGUGGGUCUUCUUAUCCUUGGACCGUUUAAAAGGCCCAACCAUAUCAAGCCCCCAAACCGCAAAGGGCCAAGUGAUUGGGAUCAUCCUCAACUCCUGAGCCGGCACGUGAGCCCGUCGUGAGAACCUUUGGCAACCAUCACAUUUACUGACCAUGUCCUCUGCAUCAGCGUGAGCCGUCAGCCAAUAAAAACCAUGACGGAAAGCCUUGGCUACAAGAGAUUUUGAGCCGGCAUGAUGACCACAAUCCCCUUCAUGGAUCUCCCGCAAGAUCUCUUGGCCUUCCUCAGGGGAGAUACAACGUUGAAAUGCCCCUGAAACACUGCGAUGAUGUAACUCGCCAUCGAUGACGAUCAUUGACUUAGCCCGCCGGGUUAUUUGCCUGGCCAGAGUUUCAUCCUCAGGCAACUCUCCCCGGGUUAUAUAAGCCAGGUAUGGCAUUGUCCAGUCUGGUAUGACAUGAAGAGCCGCCACCAGUCGUGCCUCCGCGUCAGGGACAGCCAAGUCCUCCUCUGUAGGCAAUUUAACCGAGGGGUUAUACAGGACAUCCAGGAAAGUGUUAGGCGGCACCGGCUUUCGCUGAGAGCCUAGCCGGCUUAAAGCAUCAGCCGCCUCGUUCUUCCUGCGAUCAAUGUGCUCUACUUGGUAUCCCUGAAAAUGCCCAGCAAUGGCAUCAACCUCGCGGCGAUAAGCCGCCAUGAGAGGAUCCUUAGAAUCCCAGGUGCCUGAUACUUGUUGAGUCACCAAGUCUGAGUCACCAAAACACCUUACCCGGCUUAAGCUCAUCUCCUUAGCCACCCGAAGACCGUGAAGCAAAGCCUCAUAUCCAGCCGCAUUAUUAGUGCAAGGAAACAUCAACUGCAGCACAUAAUGGAACUUGUCACCCUUAGGGGAAGCCAAUACAACACCAGCCCCCGAGCCCUCCAGCUGUCUGGACCCGUCAAAGUGAAUAGUCCAAUAAGUGUUAUCCGGCUUUUGCUCAGGCACUUGUGACUCCGUCCAGUCAUUGAUGAAAUCCACCAAAGCCUGAGAUUUAACAGCAGUGCGUGGCACAUAUUUGAGGCCAUGAGGUCCAAGUUCUAUAGCCCACUUGGCAAUUCUCCCUGUAGCCUCUCUGUUCUGGAUAAUAUCACCAAGAGGGGCAGAACUGACCACAGUGAUGGGAUGACCCUGAAAAUAAUGCUUGAGCUUCCGGCUCGCCAUGAACACACCAUACACGAGCUUCUGCCAAUGCGGGUACCGCUGCUUGGACUCAAUGAGCACCUCGCUGACAUAAUAAACCGGCCGCUGAACCGGAUGCUCCUUACCCGCCUCCUUGCGCUCCACCAUAAUAGCCACGCUGACGGCUCGUGCGUUUGCCGCCACAUACAGUAGCAAGGGCUCCUUAUCAACCGGAGCAGCAAGGACGGGGGGCUCUGCCAGUUGCUUUUUCAAAUCCUCAAAAGCGGUAUUAGCGGCAUCAUUCCAGACAAAGUUAUCAGUUUUCUUUGUCAACUGAUAUAAGGGCAUAGCCUUCUCACCCAAACGGCUUAUAAACCGGCUUAAAGCAGCGAUGCGACCCGCCAAACGCUGAACGUCAUUUAUACACGCCGGCUUAGCUAGGGAAGUGAUGGCCUUGAUCUUCUCCGGGUUAGCCUCAAUGCCUCUGUCAGAAACCAAGAAGCCCAAUAGUUUGCCUGCAGGAACACCAAAAACACACUUGGCCGGGUUUAGCAUCAUCUUGUAGACCCGAAGAUUAUCGAAGGUUUCCCUUAAGUCAUCUAUCAGGGUUUCCUCCUUGAUGGAUUUAACCACAAUAUCGUCUACGUAAGCGUGAACAUUGCGCCCGAUCUGUUUAUGAAGACAGUUCUGUACACAACGCUGGUAAGUCGCCUGUGCACACUUGAGUCCAAAGGGCAUAGACACAUAGCAGAAGGCUCCAAAGGGAGUGAUGAACGCCGUCUUCUCCUGGUCCUUAACUGCCAUCUUAAUCUGAUGAUACCCGGAAUAAGCAUCCAAGAAACUUAAGCGUGCACAGCCCGCCGUAGCAUCAAUGAUUUGAUCAAUACGGGGGAGAGCAAAAGGAUCAGCCGGACACGCCUUGUUCAAAUCCGUGUAGUCCACACACAUCCGCCAGGUGCCGUUCUUCUUGAGCACGAGCACCGGGUUAGCCAACCAUUCGGGGUGAAAAACUUCAACAAUAAACCCAGCCGCCAAGAGCCGGGCCACUUCCAGACCAAUGGCUUUCCGCCUCUCCUCAUUAAACCGUCGAAGGAACUGUCUGACUGGCUUAAAUUUCGGUUCAACAUUGAGAGUAUGCUCAGCGAGUUCUCUAGGUACACCUGGCAUGUCAGAAGGCUUCCAUGCAAAGAUGUCCCUAUUCUCACGGAUGAACUCAAUGAGCGCGCUUUCCUAUUUUGGAUCCAGAUUGGCACUGAUGUUGAUGAAUCUCCUGGAACAAAAUCAACAAGCUUAGUUUCAUCAGCCGACUUAAAUUUCAUCGCCGGCUCAGCCUCCGUAGUCGGCUUCUUUAGAGAAGUCAUGUCUGUUGGGUCAACAUUGUCUUUGUAAAACUUCAACUCCUCUGUUGCGCAAACAGACUCUGCAUAAGCUGCAUCACCUUCCUCACACUCGAGAGCCACUUUCCGGCUGCCGUGAACCGUAAUGGUCCCAUUGUGACCCGGCAUCUUGAGCUGUAAGUACACAUAACACGGCCGUGCCAUGAACUUGGCGUAAGCCGGCCGUCCAAAUAUAGCAUGGUACAAACUUCUUAUCUUGACCACCUCAAAGGUUAAUUUCUCCACCCUGUAGUUGUUCUCAUCACCAAAAGCCACUUCCAAUUCGAUCUUGCCGACUGGAUAAGCCGACUUACCAGGUACCACACCAUGGAAGAUAGUGUUCGACUGGCUGAGGUUCUUAUCAACCAGCCCCAUACGGCGAAAAGUCUCAUAAUAGAGGAUGUUGAUGCUGCUACCUCCAUCCAUGAGCACCUUUGUGAACUUAUAACCUCCCACCUGAGGCGCUACCACUAAGGCCAAGUGGCCCGAGUUAUCCACCCGGGGAGGGUGAUCCUCCCUACUCCACACUAUAGGCUGCUCAGACCACCGCAAGUAGCGUGGAACCGCCGGCCCAACAGCAUUAACAGCCCUCUUGUAAAGCUUCUGAUCUCGUUUGCACAAACUAGUGGUGAACACAUGAUACUGUUCACCGCUAAGCUGCUUUGGGUUGGUCUGAUAACCCCCCUGCUGCUGUUGAUGACCCUGACCAGACUGUUGAUUAAAGCCCCCUUGACCGUUCUGAAGACCAGAAUUUGAGCCGCCGCCCGGGCCAUGAAAGCCGCCGGCGCCUGAGCCGCCGCCCGGGCCAUUGUAACUCUUAAAGGCCUUCAUGAUCGCGCAAUCCUUCCACAGAUGAGUCGCUGGCUUCUCUCUAGAGCCAUGCCUUGGACAAGGUUCAUUCAACAGCUGCUCCAGCGUUGGACCUGACCCGCCGCCUCGGGGAGGGGGCCUCCCCUUGCGUCGCUGGUUAUUACCUUGGGAGUUGGCGUUGGCUACAAAUUCUAGGCUGCCAUCGGCCUUACGCUUGCCUCCUCCUUGGUUCCCCGGGUUAAACUGAGGACCCUUGCCAUUGCCGUUCUUCUUUCCCUUCCCUGUCCUUUCAUCGUCUGAAGGGGGAUCCUUGGUACCAUCGGAAUCGGCGUACUUGACAAGAGCCGCCAUUAGGGUACCCAUAUCGGUGCAGUCGCGCUUAAGCCGCCCGAGUUUCAUCUUAAGGGGCACGAAGCGACAGUUCUGUUCCAACAUUAAGACUGCAGAGCCGGCAUCCAUCUUAUCUGACGAAUGUAUGAUCUCCUUGACCCGGCGAACCCAAUGGGUCGUGGAUUCACCCUCCUGCUGCUUACAGUUAGUCAAAUCCACAAUGGACAUAGACUGCCUACAGGUAUCUUUGAAGUUUUGAAUGAACCGGGCUUUCAACUCAGCCCAAGACCCAAUGGAGUUCGGUGGUAGCCCUUUCAACCACGUGCGGGCAGUUCCAUCUAACAUCAUGGUGAAAUAUUUGGCCAUGGCCGCCUCACUGACCUCCAGCAAUUCCAUAGCCAUCUCAUAACUCUCAAUCCAGGCUGCAGGCUGUAAGUCAGCUGUAUAGUUAGGCACCUUCCUAGGGCCCUUGAAGUCCUUAGGUAGACGUUCAUUAUGGAUAGCUGGCACCAAACAAGGGACACCCCCGGUCCUGGUAGAAAUACCCACAUCAACGGACGUCGUUGGAUAAGCCGGGGGGGUCUGGUAAGACGUCAAUUGAGGCACCUGCUCCGCCUCUUGCCGCGCUUGGUCUGCUGCGUAAAAGGCUCCAUUAUGAGCCGGGCCAUGGCCAGGGGGCGGGUCAUGGCGUCGGACAUUACUUGAGCCGGUUGCUGAGACCAUGUGCCGGCUGUAACUCGGGCUCUGGCCUGGACGAGGGGUCGAGUGGAUCCUGUCCCGGCUGUAGGAGUACGCCUCUUGCUGUGCCAGUGCCGUCUGCAGGAGUUCCCUGACCCGGCGGGUUUCGAUGGCCGCCGGAGAGUCGCCGUCAACGGGGAGAGCCGCCAGUCGUGCUGCCGCAGCCACCAUGUUCUCCAGCGGGUUAUCAUAAUGACCCGGGGGUAUUGGCACAUACUGAGGCGGGGCAGGGGGCACCUGGGGAGGCCCCAUCACUCGUGGCUGAAGAAGGGGUCCAGACCCGGGCGCAAUGACCCCUGGCGGGUUACUAGAUCCUGCACCCGGCGUGUUGAAGAGAUUUCGUGGAUCGUAAACCGGUGGGAGUCGAGACUAGGCCUUCUGAUGCCUCCUUCUCAUGACCUCGUUGGCCGCGUUCUGAUCCAUCGUGAGUUGGAAGGACUGUGCCUAAAUCAGCUGAGUACGGGCGUCGAGAGCCGCUCGCUCCGCAGCCAGCCUGAUCCCCUCCGCUGCAAGAUCCUCUUUAGCUUUUAUCAAAUCCAAUUUUAACUGUGCCACCUCCGCGUCAUGCUGAGCUUGAUUCGCCGGGUCAACCGUGGUGGUUAAUAGGGCCGUCAUCUUGUCCGUGAGAUCCAUCAGCACCUGAGCCGGAGACGGCACCGGGUUUCCCGAUCCGGCAGCGGGGUUCUGAACAGGCUGUGCACCAGUCAUAAAGACUCCAACCUGACAUGGCUGCUCAAAAGGGUCCGGAAUAUUGUCACCGUCGGAACAACCCAUGAGCCUGCCAUCUAGAAGUUGGUACAACGAGUUUGAUUCAUCGGUGGCCGACUCGCCGUCAGAGCCGGCAGCCGUCUCAUCACCGGAUCCAGAUCGAUCGGAGAGUCCUCCAUGGAUACACCCCACAAAAGCAUGCCUUAAGGCAGGCCGGGCCCGGGCGGGUCGCGCAAGCUGAGCCGUCUCGAUGAGAUCAGCGCAGAGACCCGGCUCGGGGCCCGGCUCACCAAUCUUGCCAAUGAAAACGUGAAUUCCGCCGAAGGGGACCCGGUACCCGUACUCAAUUGAGCCGGCGUCGGGGCCCCAGCUUGCAUCGUCGAUGCAGAGCUUGCCGCGACGACUCUUGGUCAUCCGGCCCACAGCGUCUCCCUUGAGCCCUUCGAAGCUGCCCUUCAAGAACUCAAAUCCACCGUGCGCUGGUCCCACGGUGGGCGCCAACUGUCGUGGAAUUGUCACGGCAGAUGUCCUCGAGCUAGGACUUAGUCGUGGAGCCAUCGCAGCUAGGAAGCUUGAAGGGGUUAAUGCGGGACAAGGAACACGAGGGUUUAUACUGGUUCGGCCCCUUACGGUGAAGGUAAAAGCCUACGUCCAGUUUGAGGUGGUAUUGAUUAGGGUUACGAUCACCGGGGAGCUAAACUGCUAUGCCCGGCUCUGGAUGAGAUUGUCGUCGCCCCUAAACCGCUGCCGGGUCAUCCCUUUAUAUAGGGAGGCUGACGCCCAGCAGCCCUUAGAGUCCCGGCCGGCUUAUAAGAGUAUCCGGCUCGGACUCUAAACUAUACUUGCCUUACGCUACAAGUUCUACUGUAAUAAUGAUUAUAACUACGGGCCUUAAGCCAUAUCCGGGUCUCAGCCCAUCUCUGGCCCAUCGUCUUGAAACUUGGCUCCGGGCUUCUGGCAACGACCGUAUGAGUAACCCGGCCCCUCCUGGCGGGUGACUCUAAGGUCUAUAUCCUCAACAAAGGAUACAUUCCACAAAAGCAGGUAACAACACCGCAAUGUUGCUAUGCACAUAAAAAAUUAUGUUUGCCCCUUUACUUAUUGAAUGUAUUAACUCUGAUGUGAGAUACUAGGUGCUGGUCAUGGAAUUUUUUGUUAGUAGGGAUGAUGAGAUGUCACAUGUCCCGAGAGCAUACUUUGAUGAACACCCGGCAGAAGUCAGAAUUUUUGAACCCGCCAAAGUGACCUACGAUCUCAUUAUGAGUGAAAUGAGAGAUACUUUUGGUUGCAAACUGGGAGCAGAACUGUACUACUUCUUACCCGGGUCUGCAUGGAAGCUGCCAGAAGGAAUGUUCUUGAUUGCAGGACCAGAUGAUGUAGAAAAAAUGCUUUCUGAUCUGAAUGGCAGCAAGACAUGUCACCUGUACAUUGUGUACAAUAGAACUACGGGUUGUUUUCCCGAGGAUGACAUUGAUCCAGAGGUUCAAAUUUUACAUGUUACAUGCAUCUAGUUUAUGGCUACGUCAUUUUUAAGUUCUUCCUAAUACAAUUCCUAUGGUUUUCUACAGCAAGUGAGAAUCCAAGAAAUGGAGGGUCUUGCUAGAGAGUUGGCGGAGAAAGAACAAGAACAACUUCAGUUGUAUGGUUACAUUGAUGUUAAAGAGAAAAAGAUUGAAGCACAUGGGUCGUCGCCAAGCCCGACGCAAUCUCCAACGUCGCAACGCAAGAGGUCACUGGAUUUUGGCAGUGCAGAAGACCAUAUGGAGUAGGCUCAAUUGUUUUUCAACCAGUUUAAGCUUCAAACCAGGAUUAUUUUGUUGCAAACAAACUUUUUUUUUCUGUUUCACACUAUGUUCACAAUUAUGGUACAAUUUAUUCAUGAGACAGUUCUUUGAACAACAAUGCAUGUGUUUUAUGAUCAAUCAUACAGUUGUUUCUGAGUUGUUUGUGAGAUGGCAUUGCAUCUAAAGAAGUUUCCAUCUAUAAAACUUGUAAAAAAUCAUUUAUGAUGUCUUUGUUGAAACUGUUUUUUCGUGCCUUUCAUCUACACGUGUAAUCAUUAUAGCCUACAAAACCAUACAACGUCGCAAAACAAUUUCCAGUUGGCAUGGAUGCUUGUCAUGUUGGUACAAGGGUUUCAAAUUUUUUUGGGUCCAUUUCAAGCAUGCCGAAAAAAUCCGUCUUCCCAGACGGAACAUCCCCUACUACCCGAACGGCUAAGUUGAAUGACACCAAUUUUUCCAUCAAGCGCGCAAGCACACCCCCGUGGGCCGCGUGAAAUCUGAGCUAACCCCAAAACUUGCUGGUUUUGACGUCAAAUAAGAUAGAAAUAUCAGGGGAAGAAGAUAGAAAUAGCAAGCAAAACACAGAUAACCAACAACAUAUCAAAUAGACGGGUAGAAAUCAUAACAUAGUUCGGAUAGAUAAAGUUCAUGGUAGAACCAACAACAUGAUUUAAUAGAAAUAUUUAAAAGAUAAAAAACUUGCCCUAACACGCUAGGGCAAGACAAGCUGACGAGACCGGGCCUUCACCACCAUCUUCACUGCGCCUCCUCUCCAGUGCUCCUCUCCAUCCCGUCCUCGCCGAUAUAGUAGGGGAGGGUGUGCAUACCGUCGCGGGUGGGGAAGAUGCAGUCGAAGUUUGUGAAGAUGUUGUGGGUUGUGAAUGCGAUGAAUUCGCAUCCACACCAAAACACCUUGCCGAGGAGGUAGUACGCAUCAAAUCUGUUGGUGAAGGUGACGGUGAGCCCUAUCGGCGGAGACCAGGAGUUUGGACGCACUUCAUCCAGUCGGAACAUCACCGGCGAGCCCGCCGGGAGGUGGGCGAAGCCCGCACGGAGGAACCACUGGGCAAAGCCCCUUGCACCCCUCCAGCGUGAGAACGCCCACACGCGAAGCGUGCUCUCCACGACGACGCCGGCCGGAUACUGUCUCUCCGGCACGGUCGGUGGGAGCCGGUAGGUGGGGCCGUUGUACUGCAUCCUCGCGGCUCGCUCAGAGAGUGCUCUGGGUUUGGGGAAGAAGAGAAGGGCGGCGCAAAUGGAUGUGUGCAGAAGGUGAGGGCGGUGGUUUAAAUAGGGAAAGGGGAGGUCAAACGAUCCAUAUGCCACUUUAAUUGCCACGUUGAAUAGAUGCGGGUGGAUCAAAAAAGUGUGAACCCAAGGCUUUAAUUGCCACGUUGAAUACAUGCAGGUGGAUCAAAAAAGUGUGAAACCAAGGUUUUAAUUGCCACGUUGAAUCGAAAAGUGUGAAAACAAGGUUUUAAUCGCCUCGCUCGCAUGCAUGCACGUCCGCCACCCGCGCAUGCAAACCCACGUCGCCGCCCUUCCCAUGCAUGCAGGCCUCAGGCGCAGAAAACGAGAAGGCCCAACGGUCCAUCCAGCGACCCAGCGGGUGAGGCUGGCGUGGGACGGCCCACCCGAAUUAGGCCCAAGCGAGCUUCGCGCCGGGCACAUCCCAGGGGUGCAGGGAGUUUAGUCCCACCUCGCCGAACGAGGGGAGCUAGCACCGGUUUAUAUAGCGGGCUGAGCUUUCCCUCUCAAGUUCCUUUCUAAAGCGGGCAGCACAUUGCCUAACCGUCUCCGUCCCUGCCCUGUGGGGCCUACUUGCUACCUGUUUUCACAAUCUGGCGGGCCUCUGCAUCCUGGCCCAAUAAAUGAUUGGGUUACUAGUCGUAUGCAGGCCGUUGAAUUGUGAAAGCGGACAAGUAGGCGGGCUUUUUUUGUCUAUUUCAUUUUUUUCAUUUGUCACCAUUAUUUCCAUUGCAGCAUGUCCAUCAUGCUGCAUUUUGGGAAGAACAAGCUAGAGUUGUACACACCCUGAUUUAAUGCUCAAAACGCCGGUUUAUACCUCAAGGGGACAUUGUAAAUUAAUUGUUUUCAAAAAUUUCUUUCAUAGACAUGUUGCACACAUGAUCUCUUCCACAAACAAAACUAGGUUUCCAAGUUUUUGUAUUUUUUUGAAUUUUUUUUGAAUUUAUAAUGCCCUCUAGACUGACUGCUGAAAACAUCGGUCUAUGCCUCAAGGGGGCAUUGUAAAAUAAUUUUUUUUUAAAUUUCUUUCAUAGACAUGUUUGGCACAUGUGGGUCACCAUGUACAAGAAAAUUUGGAUGAUUUGGAGGUGGUGGAAAAAAACACGUAUGUUCAAAAACUGGCUUAAGUUAGACCAAAUGGCCCCUCCGGAAUGCAAUGAUUUUUUCGACCACCUCCAAAUCACCUCAUUUUUGGCACACAUGAUCUCUUGCACAAACAAAGCUAGUUUUCGAAGGUUUUACAUUUUUUUGAAUUUUUUUAUUAAUUUACAAUGCCCUCUAGACUGACUGGUCAAAACAUCGGUCUAUACCUCAAGGGGGCAUUGUAAAGUAUUAUUUUUCCAAAAUUUCUUUCAUAGCCAUGUUNNNNNNNNNNNNNNNNNNNNNNNNNNNNNNNNNNNNNNNNNNNNNNNNNNNNNNNNNNNNNNNNNNNNNNNNNNNNNNNNNNNNNNNNNNNNNNNNNNNNNNNNNNNNNNNNNNNNNNNNNNNNNNNNNNNNNNNNNNNNNNNNNNNNNNNNNNNNNNNNNNNNNNNNNNNNNNNNNNNNNNNNNNNNNNNNNNNNNNNNNNNNNNNNNNNNNNNNNNNNNNNNNNNNNNNNNNNNNNNNNNNNNNNNNNNNNNNNNNNNNNNNNNNNNNNNNNNNNNNNNNNNNNNNNNNNNNNNNNNNNNNNNNNNNNNNNNNNNNNNNNNNNNNNNNNNNNNNNNNNNNNNNNNNNNNNNNNNNNNNNNNNNNNNNNNNNNNNNNNNNNNNNNNNNNNNNNNNNNNNNNNNNNNNNNNNNNNNNNNNNNNNNNNNNNNNNNNNNNNNNNNNNNNNNNNNNNNNNNNNNNNNNNNNNNNNNNNNNNNNNNNNNNNNNNNNNNNNNNNNNNNNNNNNNNNNNNNNNNNNNNNNNNNNNNNNNNNNNNNNNNNNNNNNNNNNNNNNNNNNNNNNNNNNNNNNNNNNNNNNNNNNNNNNNNNNNNNNNNNNNNNNNNNNNNNNNNNNNNNNNNNNNNNNNNNNNNNNNNNNNNNNNNNNNNNNNNNNNNNNNNNNNNNNNNNNNNNNNNNNNNNNNNNNNNNNNNNNNNNNNNNNNNNNNNNNNNNNNNNNNNNNNNNNNNNNNNNNNNNNNNNNNNNNNNNNNNNNNNNNNNNNNNNNNNNNNNNNNNNNNNNNNNNNNNNNNNNNNNNNNNNNNNNNNNNNNNNNNNNNNNNNNNNNNNNNNNNNNNNNNNNNNNNNNNNNNNNNNNNNNNNNNNNNNNNNNNNNNNNNNNNNNNNNNNNNNNNNNNNNNNNNNNNNNNNNNNNNNNNNNNNNNNNNNNNNNNNNNNNNNNNNNNNNNNNNNNNNNNNNNNNNNNNNNNNNNNNNNNNNNNNNNNNNNNNNNNNNNNNNNNNNNNNNNNNNNNNNNNNNNNNNNNNNNNNNNNNNNNNNNNNNNNNNNNNNNNNNNNNNNNNNNNNNNNNNNNNNNNNNNNNNNNNNNNNNNNNNNNNNNNNNNNNNNNNNNNNNNNNNNNNNNNNNNNNNNNNNNNNNNNNNNNNNNNNNNNNNNNNNNNNNNNNNNNNNNNNNNNNNNNNNNNNNNNNNNNNNNNNNNNNNNNNNNNNNNNNNNNNNNNNNNNNNNNNNNNNNNNNNNNNNNNNNNNNNNNNNNNNNNNNNNNNNNNNNNNNNNNNNNNNNNNNNNNNNNNNNNNNNNNNNNNNNNNNNNNNNNNNNNNNNNNNNNNNNNNNNNNNNNNNNNNNNNNNNNNNNNNNNNNNNNNNNNNNNNNNNNNNNNNNNNNNNNNNNNNNNNNNNNNNNNNNNNNNNNNNNNNNNNNNNNNNNNNNNNNNNNNNNNNNNNNNNNNNNNNNNNNNNNNNNNNNNNNNNNNNNNNNNNNNNNNNNNNNNNNNNNNNNNNNNNNNNNNNNNNNNNNNNNNNNNNNNNNNNNNNNNNNNNNNNNNNNNNNNNNNNNNNNNNNNNNNNNNNNNNNNNNNNNNNNNNNNNNNNNNNNNNNNNNNNNNNNNNNNNNNNNNNNNNNNNNNNNNNNNNNNNNNNNNNNNNNNNNNNNNNNNNNNNAAAUGGCCCCUCCGGAAUGCGAUGAUUUUUUCGACGACCUCCAAAUCACCUCAGUUUUGGCACACAUGAUCUCUUGCACAAACAAAGCUAGUUUUCCAAGGUUUUACAUUUUUUUUGAAUUUUUUAUUAAUUUAUAAUGCCCUCUAGAUUGACUGGUCAAAACAUCGGUCUAUACCUCAAGGGGGCAUUGUAAAGUAUUAUUUUUCUAAAUUUUAUUUCAUAACCAUGUUUGGCACAUGUGGGUCACCAUGUACAAGAAGAUUUGCGUGAUUUGGAGGUGGUGGAAAAAAUCACGUAUGUUCAAAAACUGGCUUAAGUUAGACCAAAUGGCCCCUCCGGAAUGCGGUCAUUUUCUCAACCAAUUCCAAAUCACCUCAAUUUUGGCACACAUGAUAUCUUGCACAAACAAAGCUAGGUUUCCAAGGUUUUAUAUUUUUUUGAAUUUUUUAUCAAUUUAUAAUGCCCUCUAGACUGGCUGGUCAAAACAUCAGUCUAUAACUUUGGGGGGCAUUGUAAAAUAUUCUUUUUCCAAAAUUUCUUUGAAAUUUCUAAUGCCCUCUUAUAUUUGUUUAUAAUGCCCUCUUAUAUUUUCUUUGAAAUUUAUAAUGCCCUCUUAUAUUUUCUUUCUAUUUUUUUAAUUUAUAAUGUCCUCUUAUAUUUGUUUAUUUUUUUAAUGCCCUCUUAUUUUUCUGUAUUUUUUUAUUUAUGAAGUAAGGUUUCCAUGAUGGCUAGGCUGGCCCUUGCUUUUCGUUUUGUUUAAUGCCUUCAGUUUAUUUUUUUAAUGCCCUCUUAUAUAACUUUAUUAAAAAUAAAGUAGAUCUUAUUUCAAAUUCCUUUUUUUUGCACACAUUAUUUUUAACUAGUUUUACAUUACUCUUGUAAAUUUACAUUUAAUUCCUUCACACUUUGAUGAUGGAAUAUUUGCUCUGUUAUUGCAACAUUGGUUCAAAUGAUGGAACAUUUGAUCUUUUUGCUUAUUCAAAUUACGCAUUGAUGGAAUGUGUGAGGAUAAACAAUUAUCAGUAACUUUACGAAACCCCUUGUAAUAUAAUUCAUGACAGCCAAUUUGGAACAUUGCCAGAUUCAAUAUUUGGUAUAAUUGGCACAUGCGCACAGCAAGUUGCACUUGCGCACAGCAUAGACAAGUGUUGCAGCAUGUCUGAAGCAACACUGAAGCGCCAUUUGUGAUCAUUGCACCAUCGAAACAACAAGUAAACAUGAAGGAAGCAUUCACCACCAAUAAAGUUAAGGCCAGACAUAUAUAGAUAGCAUUAGGUACCAGGCAGUUCACAACAGAUCCAGUUAAGACACACAAUACAUUACAUUACAUUACAUUAAUAGAGGUAGUUUUUAACCAGUUCAGACCCAGAUGCAGCUUUCCAAAAGUAAAACAUCAUCAAAUAUACUGAUGAUGAGUACGGCUUCCAGCUUCUGAUGAUCAGCAUGAUGUAGGACUAGAGGUUAGGGUUUCUCAGGACCUUCAGGAGGGCAGAAUGCUCAGCCCUGAUCUUGUACUCAUCACUGGAGAUCGAUGUAGCCCGGCAAUGUUCCAUCAGAUGCUCCAAUAACCCAGACCUGGGCUUGGGCUUGCUGCAGAAGGGGCAGCGGUACUUUUCCGUCCUCCAGUUGUGGUACAUACCAGGUCCUUGGGUCCUGAUCUUCAACACCACCUUCUCUUCAAACGACUCGACGUUCCCCUCGUCCACAUCAUCUCCAGAUUCAUACUGCACACAUUAAUGACUGACAUUAAUACAUUAUGCAUUCAAAUACUAUAAACACACUAACUCAAUGCACAAAUAACAUUUCAACUAGGCCUUACCUCAUACGGCUCAUCUUCAUCAGAGUCAUAUGGGUAGAACCCAGUCUUGUCCCUCUUCCUCUUGUUGCCCACAACCACAAGAUCCUCCUCCUCCUGCUAUAUUGUCAAACAAGCACAUCAAUUACAAUGAAUUGAAUUGUAGUUCAAAGAAUGUCAUUACACACAAAAUUGUGAAUGUGAACCGCAUUGGUAUGUUGCAAGUGACCAAAUGCUUUCCUUAUAAAUACAGAAUCUAAGCAAUCAAUCAACAGACAAAUGCUUUCCUUCAUAAAUGCUAAUGAAAAUCCAAGCUGGAUUCUUGACAUUCCCUGGAUUAACCCAACACUUUUCUUUUGAAGGAAUCCCCCCCCCCACACACUACUUAAUGGAAACAUAUAGUAUA